rnacentral:lncRNA from 1 species
UUUUUUUUCGUUUCCGAGAGGCACGGCCGUGACUCUCGCUAAAGCACAACCGUGCCUCUCGCGGAAGCAAAACCGUAACUCUCGCAAAAGGAAAAAAACAGAAAAUGCGUUUUUUUCGGUUCCGAAGAGGCACGGCCGUGACUCUCGCGAAAGCACACCCGUGCCUCUCGUGGAAGCAGAACCGUGAUUCUCGUGAAAGGAAAAAAAAACAGAAAACGCGCUUUUUUCCGUUUCCGAGAGGCACGGCUAUGACUCUCGCGAAAGCAAAACCUUGCCUCUCGCGGAAGCAAAACAGUGACUCUCGCGAAAGGGGAAAAAAAGAAAACAUGUUUUUUCGCGCAAAAAAAGGAAGACCGGUGGAAAACCAAAACAUCGAAAAAAAUCGAAAAAAAACGUUUAAAAAGUCGAAAAUGCGUGCAAAAAAAAAUCCGAAGAGAGCGCCCAGAGCGCGACACAUGACGAAUGGCUGAGAGCGCGCCAAGUGGCGCUGAUCUUUGCGAGGCUCUCAAAGGAGCGCUCGUUAACUAGUUGCUCUCUCUGUUGCUCUUGCUCUUUGCUUUGUGUUUGGGUUAGACGCUUGCAUGUAUAUCACGCUGCAGGUGGAACUGGGAUGAAGUGAAAUUAGCCAAUUCAACCCACUUAAAUUCCUUAGUUGGGCUCCCAUUGGACAGAGAAAGAAAUAAGUGGGCUAGCCCAAUUAGCCCACUGGAAUCCCACUUGACCCACCAACGCCGUCUCAGUCGUGUGUUGACAUGCAGGAGCGAAUAGUGGAUCAACUAAAAUUAUUCACACACCUAAAAAUAUUACGUAAUAUUAAUGGAUCAACUAAAAUUAUUCACACACCUAAAAAUAUUUAAGUACUAAAUAUUUUUAGGAUAUUACCGGAACAACUUCAAAAAUUGAUACAACAACAUGUUUGACAUCUAUAUAUAGUACAUAUAGUACCGCACCAACUAAAAUAAACGGACAUCCUUUUUUUACGGGAAAACUGACAUCCACAUCCACAUAUAAUACGCCAUAUUAUUUGAGCAACUGAAUAUAUUCACACAACUAAAUAUUAGACAUCCAAAAAUAUAACGGUUACUACUAGAGCAAAUACCAAUAUUCGCACACCUAAUACAAAAUAUUAGUGGAGCAAAUAAGAUCUACAAUAUUCGCACAACAUCUACCGGAGAAAAUGUCUGUAAAAUUAUACCCUUAAAGCGUGCGAAGCAACGCCGACGAACAGCGGCCUUCAAUCACCGGAGCCGGAGCUUCACGUCCACCACACUGCCGCAGCUUCAUCAGUUCAUCUUCACCUCCACCACCUCCACAAAAUUGCUCACCACCAUCUCCACCACCUCCACAAAAAUGCUCACCACGACCACCACGAGCUACCCCAUCAGUAGAUCGAGGUCUCCCUUGCCUCCCCCAACUAUCUACAAUGUAUCUACGGUGGCAAAUCAGGAAGAAAAUGGCUCACUUUGGAGUAUAAAUGGGUUACUUUUUAGUCGGAAGAGAGAAGAAAGAAGAACAGAAAGAAGAACACAGAAGAGCGAGGGGAUAAGGUCACGCGAGGGAGAAGGAGCCGGGCGACCCGGGGCUGGGGACCCUGUCGUCCUCCUAGUGGACGAUCGUCCUGCAGCUGGACGGCUGGGCCCUGUCGUCUGGGCCCCAGCCACCGACGGCCCAUGCAGGCACGAGUGGGAGCGCUGCGACGUGGCCGGGCCAAUCGCCGGCUGCCACGUGGAUUACGGGCCACCUGUCGUCCUCCUAUAGGCCGACUGGACUCAAUCGUCCAGCAGUAGGACGAGAGCCGUAUUAUUUUUGGAAAAUAAAAUUUCGGUGUAUUAUUUCUGAAAAUUAAUAAAAAAAAUAUUAUUUAAAAAAAAUUAGCGGAGGCGCCGCGGUGCAGCCGCCGCUGAUGGACUCCCAUGAUAAGCUUUAAAAUCUGUCUUAUCUCAUAUUGUAUGUUGCGAAACAUAAGGAUAUAUUUGAUCUCAUUUGACAUUGAACUUUGUAUACUUGCAGGGCUCUUCAAAAUGCAUGCCAGAGGAUUUAACAUCUUGGAGAUAUUCAAAACGGGAAGAAAGAAAUGGCUCAUGUCGACCAUGUAGUCUCCGGUACAUGUUGACGACUCAUAAAGUUCCAAUAGCACUCUUUGUUCCUGGACAUAAAUUCAUUAGAAAUUUUAGCAUUAUUAGAUGUACUCGGUGUUUGUAUUCACAAACUUUCAGUCAUUUGUGGUGUUUGUUAAUUAAGUGAGUGAUGUUCACUUUUGAAGCAAAAAAUGGUGCUACCGUUUGGUUGCAUGUAGCUGAACCAGAGCAAAAGUAGUCCUACAGUCUACAUAUUGGAUACACUCACUGUACACAUGCAUGUUGUCACUGUACACAUCUACAUGUUGGCUAUCACCCACCGAAGUGUGAUACUUUUUUUUUCUGAGGCCGGUGCGUGCAAGGGUACACGCUCGAGCCUGUCGCGUCGCACGCUCCCCGCAGUCAGGCAGAGGAGCCCGCAUGUUACAAGUCGGAGGGGGAGCAUGCAACGCACAACCCGUCGCCAGCCUCUGCCAAACCAUGCAUGUACCCACCGUCUGACCGCAGGGCCCACUCGGCAUCAUCUCCGUAUUCAUCUGGCUCCGCUGUUCGUGUUCGCUGCACGUGGAAUCACCUGUAAUUUUGUUCAUUUUUUCUUGAAAAGAUAAGAUCUGUUGUAAAUUUGCCUGGAAGUACAAAGCAUCUCAAUUAAACAUAAUAAAACAUUACAUGAGAUUUCAACACCACCCAACGACAACUACAGCCGUCGACGUACCGUUGUCGCCGCUCCUCUAUCGGAGCUGGCUUGACCUUGUCGAUAACAACCGGUAAAUCUUCGUGCACGUGCCCCUAGGGACUAACGCCCUGGAGCCGUAGUCGUGGCCGUUGAACCCUUGCAUAGAUCUGAAGCACCUGACAUCAAUUCUCGCCACAUAGGCCAGGCUUUCUUUCAAUACGAUUGUAUCACCUCGAUAUAUCUAUUCAAUGAAAAGUCCUUUAUCGAAAAAAAUCAAUUCUCUCCACAUAAUGAGAAAUUAUUACCUCAUCGCCCCAAUGAGACAUCAGGAAUCUACGCCGGAGCUCCAUCGACGCCCAGAUGGACGAACUCGAGGAGGAUCGGAGCCCAAAAGACAACUCAAAGGAAAAGCGCCUCCAUCCACCCAAGAGCUGCACCUGCGAGGACUAAAAACCCUAACCUAAACUAAUCAGGGCGGAGGCACCGGGAUUCCCCUCCCCACCGCCGGUCGCCGAAGCUACAGGCAGAGAGGAGGCGAAUCCACGACGCGCUGGUGAAGUUUGGAGGGAGAGUUUACCUAGCCGCCUAGGGUUAGGGGAGAAAAACAAGAGGAAACACGUAUCACAUCAUGCUAAUUAAUCGUAUUCAUACUCGACAAAGCACAGAGGUAGAGAACCGUGACAACAUCCUCAAACAGAAAACAACACUCGUGGCAAAGCGCGGAGCUUUCGCUCCGUACCUCACCCAUGUCACAACAAAGUAACAAGGACGUCCAAGACAAGUUCAUACCACCAGAUCUUGAUCCGGGCGCCGCCACAAUCGAAUUACAAACAAGCUCGAGCCACUCGCUGCUACACCCUUGUCACCUAGCUACAUGAUCAAGAAACACAACCACCACCGCCAACAUGAUGCUCGCCGAAGAGCCAACCAUGCAGACCACCACCUAGGGUUGCCGCCCCAGUGCCUANNNNNNNNNNNNNNNNNNNNNNNNNNNNNNNNNNNNNNNNNNNNNNNNNNNNNNNNNNNNNNNNNNNNNNNNNNNNNNNNNNNNNNNNNNNNNNNNNNNNNNNNNNNNNNNNNNNNNNNNNNNNNNNNNNNNNNNNNNNNNNNNNNNNNNNNNNNNNNNNNNNNNNNNNNNNNNNNNNNNNNNNNNNNNNNNNNNNNNNNNNNNNNNNNNNNNNNNNNNNNNNNNNNNNNNNNNNNNNNNNNNNNNNNNNNNNNNNNNNNNNNNNNNNNNNNNNNNNNNNNNNNNNNNNNNNNNNNNNNNNNNNNNNNNNNNNNNNNNNNNNNNNNNNNNNNNNNNNNNNNNNNNNNNNNNNNNNNNNNNNNNNNNNNNNNNNNNNNNNNNNNNNNNNNNNNNNNNNNNNNNNNNNNNNNNNNNNNNNNNNNNNNNNNNNNNNNNNNNNNNNNNNNNNNNNNNNNNNNNNNNNNNNNNNNNNNNNNNNNNNNNNNNNNNNNNNNNNNNNNNNNNNNNNNNNNNNNNNNNNNNNNNNNNNNNNNNNNNNNNNNNNNNNNNNNNNNNNNNNNNNNNNNNNNNNNNNNNNNNNNNGGGGGUUGGGAGUUUUGGGGGGUUAAUUUAGGUGUUUCAUAUAUUGUGUUAGCUAGCUAAUUAAUAGAGAGAAGUGUCCUCUCUUAUAUCCGUGCUUGGUCGACGCUACGUACUAUAUACGUAUAGAGAGGACUAGACACGCUAGCUAGUAAGAAAAUGAAGGAAACAGAAGAUCGUCAUGAACAUAUGCAUACAGAGAGAAGUGAUAUCGACCACCUCUCCUUCUCUGAGAGAUUGGUCGAACAACAAGUUCUCGUAUAUCUAUCCGACACUACUGGCUACAUAUAUACAAUAGUUAUCUCUUACAAUAUAAUCUCCUAAUUAUAUACGAAGUCAAGGUCCACAUGGUAUUCUCUGUCUUCAGCGAUCACAUGGUCAAGGAAGAAUGCCGCCAAUUCCUCUUGAAUUGCUCGCAUACGAUCUGGUGCUAGGAGUUCAUUCCGCAUCCGAAAGAUCUAAUUUGAAGAAGGGGGUCAAUACAUAUAUAUACAUAUAUAUAUAUAUAUAUGAAUAAAUGAAACUCAACACAAAUGAUGGUAAUAAAAUAAAAUUGUGAAUAUUAUUGCUUACGCACUUCAUAUUGUUCGUCAGAGUAGCCCCGCUCACAGGUCGUGUGGCGGAUGGACUCGCAAACGUAGUAUCCACAGAAAUCAUUCCCUUGUUCCUGCCACAACCACUUUACAAGAAAUAGAGGUCAAUCAAACUGAUAAGCAAGCAUGCUAAAUGGUAUUGAUGAAACUAGCGCUUGAAUCACUAGGAGAUGCGCGGAACAUGCUACUAUAGUACUUACUUUCGGGUGUCUAAAUUGCAGCUUCUUCGGCAGUCCCGGAGAUUUUUUGGUGAAUUUUCUCCAAACCCUGCCAGACAAAGAAAACAAUUACUUGAUAUCAGGAAAUGAACAAAGUUGCUGAUAUGGUGGAUAAUGAUCGAUUUAACUUACUUCUCGAGCAUUUGAGUCAUGUCCGCAUAGUCCUGGGGAUCUUUUCGUCUCAAGUCUAAGACGGUUACUACUCCCUGCUCAAGCUUAAUCUCUAGGAGAAUAUAGUGGAAGCUGCGCACGCAUGCAUAAGUCAUCAAUUACAUUACUAUAACCUGGACUAAUAAGGGAAACCGAAUAUGCACAAGACAGUAACACUCACUUGAAGUUGUAAGGAAAGAGUAUUAUAUUUUUGUUUUCAUUUAUUACCAACGAUCGUAGCAAGUUGGCCUCGGUAUUUUCGGCAUGAUAUUUAACCUCAGUUGCAUCUAUGAGAUUUGUGUUAAUGAAUCCACUAUCACCGAUUUGUCUUUUCUUCAAUUCGGCGAUCUUCAAUCUGCAUAAUAUAGUGAGGAUAAUUAUAAAUACAUGCAAUGAAAGAGCUGAUCUAUAUAGAGAGACUUAAUGACAGAAGUAGUAAUACUUACAAACAGUAGCAAGUGACCGUUGAUUUAUCGAGGGCCUUUUGAUUGAAAAACUGGAAGAACUCCUCAAAUGGAACAUUCAACAGUUCAAUUCCAACGAGGUCAUGCUCCUCUUUAACUCUCAGCAUCAAAGUAUCCCUCCCCCAGACUCUCUGCAGGUUUUCAUGUACCAAUCAUGUAAUCUUCGCAUCAUCGUUGUUAGAGAUCUUUCAUCUUUGAUGAGAGGCUUCCCGUAAUGGUAUUUGUGUUCGUCCACCUCCAAGAAAUCAUAAUGUACAUCGUCGGGCAGGUAAUCUCCAAGAUUGCUAUAACCGGCCACCAUCCUCGGAUCAUUAGCGACGAUGUCUUUAGACACCUUGAGCGGGGGGCACGAUCGGUUCGCUUGUUCGCCGAGCUGGGCAAUUUAUUCCCAGCUCAUCGUUCUUUUAACCUUUGAUCACUGACAGUACUUCCCGACCGCUCCGCUUCGGCAAAUGUCUUUCCAAUAAUGCGCUCAUAGUUGCCUUUCGGCGGAGACUUUGGUGGUUUUGUCAGGGCAGCCAGAGUGCGCUUCGCUUUCAUCAGAUCUACCUUCUCCUCCGGAGGUGGAUGCUUCUUUGCUUUCACCCCUUCAAAGAAGUUCUUCACUUCGGCUCGCACAAUCUUCGUGGUUUCCUCCUCGGUCCUCUCGUAUGGUAACUUCUCUGGAGUCUUCAGAGAAGGACCAAAUCUGUAUUGCCUCCCGCCUCUGGCUGUACUGCUAGACGCCGGCAGAGCAGACGGAGCGGCUGAGGCUGUCUUCUUUCCUUGCUUACGAGGCGGUGGAGAAGGACUACGAUGCGCCGGAGCAGCCGGAGCGGCGGCGGGUCUCUUCCGCCCUUGCUGACGAGGCGGAGAAGGAGGAGGCUGGCUGCUCCGGCACGCCGGCGUAGGCGGAGAAGGAGGCGGAGUGCCGCCACGCGCCGGAGAAGGAGGCUGAGUGCCCUGAUCACUCGCCGGAGGAGGAGGCGGAGGAGGAGGCGGAGUGCCGCCACGCGCCGGAGAAGGAGGCUGAGUGCCCUGAUCACUCGCCGGAGGAGGAGGCGGAGUGCCCUUACUCGCCGGAGGUGUCCAGUUCGGAAGGUUGAUGAGCUCCUUUCGCCAUAGGCAUGGAAUCUUCAGAGCAGAACCCAGCCGAGUCUCCCCUUCACCGGUGGGGUGGUCAAGCUGGAGGUCCUCAAAUCCCUCCAUUAUUUUGUCCACCGUCACCCUAGCAUAUCCUUCUAGAAUCGGACGACAGUGAAAAGUUGCGCCGGGUUCAGGAGGUCGAACAGAGCCGACAGCCGCCUUGACUUUGAAGUUCUCCCAUCGCUUCAUAAGGUGGCAAUGUUGAGACUCCGUGAUAGCAUCCACGGGGUAGCUAGCAGGAGCCGUCAAGACAUGCUCCGGCAGAAGCAGCUCGGUGGAAGCCACGCUGCUUCUCCGCUGAGAUAGCGGGGUAGCUUCGGGGGUAGUUUCGGUAGGUCGAUUGCUGCGAGCUACGUCUCGUUCCUCUAGUGCUUGAACCCUUUCGUGCAGCUUCUGAAUUUGGGUCUGCUCCACUUUUUUCCUCCUCUCCUGGCUUUUGUAACCGCCUGCGUCCGGAAAACCAGCCUUCCAUGGAACGGAGCCUGGCGUGCCUCGUGUCCGUCCAGGGUGCUCAGGAUUCCCGAGGGCCAUUGUGAGCUCGUCCUUCUCUCUGUCUGGAACGAACGUCCCUUGGUGCGCUGCAUCGAUAUAGUGCUGAAGCCUCUUGACUGGUAUUCUCAUUUGCUCGUCCGUGCAAACGCACUUCCCUGAUACAGGGUCCAAGGUUCCGCCAGCCCCGAAGAACCAAGUCCGGCAACGGUCUGGCCAAUUCACUGUCUCUGGUUCGAUCCCUUUAUCAAGCAGAUCAUUCUUAGCCUUGGCCCACUUAGGCCGGGCUUUGAGGUAGCCACCUGACCCCGUGCCACCAACCGGGACCAAAGGCCCCCUUUAAUCCCGGUUGGUGCCACCAACCGGGACGGAAAUCCUUGCACAGCGGCGUGGUGGUGGGAGUUUAGUCCCACCUCGCUAGCUGAGAGAGAGCCGCACCUGUUUAUAAGGUGCGGUGCGCCCGAGCUGUCGAGCUCCUCUCUAAAGCAGGCUUACGGGCCUAACCUCUCUGUACAUGCCUGUGGGCCUACUGGGCCUUCUGCGGGCCUGAAUCCUGGCCCAUGGAUGGGUUUCUAGUCGUAUUCAGGCCGUGGUGGCCCAGUAGGUGGCAUAAUUUUUAUUUUUUGCCUUUUUUAUUUUUUCUUUUGCUUUAUUUAUUUUGUUUUGUUUCUACUUACAACAAAAAACUUAUUUAUUUUAUUUUAUUUUGUUUCUAAUUACUUAUUUAUUUUACUUUAUGAUAAUUCUUCUUGCUAUUAAAGUUUCUAACAAAAAAAGUUCUUUAUGAAAAUUCUUUUUGCUUUCAAUGAUUUUGAACAGAAAAUACUUUGAUAAUUUUAGUUGCAUCAAUUUUAUAUAAUUUUAGUUUCAAUAAUACUAGAGGUUGCUUAUAAUGUUUUGAACAGAAAAUACUUUGAUAAUUUUAGUUUCAUAAAUUUUAUUUAUGUUAUUAAAGUUAAUUUUAUUUCGUUUCUACUUAUAUAUUUUAUUAAAGUUUAUAUUAUUUUGUUUCUAAUUACUUAUUUAUUUUAUUUGUUAUUUUUCAUGCACCAUUUUUCAUGCAUUUACUGAUUAUUUUGAGCUAUAAGACCCUAAAAGUGAAAAGCAUUUCAAAUGAACUCUGAAAAGGUUGAAAGUUGGCAUGGUAUCAUCAUUUCAUCCACAUAGCAUGUGCAAGAAAGUUGAGAGGGUUACGGCAAAAACUGGAUGCACUUCGUGUACAAAACGGACAAUCUCUUUCGAAGUAUCAGGAUUUCAUACGGAAACUCGUCAGUUACAAAGGUAUUUCGUUUUUCAAAACUUAUUUGAAUUCCUGACUUUUUGUGUGUUCAAAAUACACCAUUCAAAACCACAUCAUCAAUUUUCAACCCUUUCUGACUUCAUUUGUUAUUUUUCAUGCAUUUAUUGAUUAUUUUGAGCUAUAAGACCCUGAAAUUGAAAAGCAUUUCAAAUGAACUCUGAAAAGGUUGAAAGUUGGCAUGGUAUCAUCAUUUCAUCCACAUAGCAUGUGCAAGAAAGUUGAGAGGGUUACGGCAAAAACUGGAUGCACUUCGUGUACAAAACAGACAAUGGUAUCAUACUCGUCUGUUACAAAGUUGGCAUGGUAUCAUCAUAAUAGUUGCGGGAGAAAGUCUUCACUUUUUCUUCGCUUGUGUCAUUUCCUUAUUGCGCCGUAACCAUGGAUAAUCUUCAUCAUUUAUCAGGAUGCUUGGGUCAGCCUUGACUUUGAAGGGAGGAAUUUCAUGAAACUUUUCAUAAUCUACAGACAUGUCUGUCUUGCCCUCCACUCCCACAAUGUCCAUUUUUCCUGAAAGAACUAUGUGGCGCUUUGGCUCAUCGUAUGAUGUAUUCGCUUCCUUAUCUUUUCUUUUCUCGGUCUGGUAGACAUGUCCUUCACAUAGAUAACCUGUGCCACAUCAUUGGCUAGGACGAACGGUUCGUCAAUGUACCCAAGAUUGUUCAGAUCCACUGUUGUCAUUCCGUACUGUGGGUCUACCUGUACCCCGCCUCCUGACAGAUUGACCCAUUUGCACUUAAACAAAGGGACCUUAAAAUCAUGUCCGUAGUCAAGUUCCCAUAUGUCCAUUAUGUAACCAUAAUAUGUGUCCUUUCCCCUCUCGGUUGCUGCAUCAAAGCGGACACCGCUGUUUUGGUUGGUGCUCUUUUGAUCUUGGGCGAUCGUGUAAAAUGUAUUCCCAUUUAUCUCGUAUCCUUUGUAAGUCAAUACAGUCGAAGAUGGUCCCCUGGACAACGAGUACAACUCAUCACAAACAGUGGUGUCACCUCUGAGACGUGUUUCCAACCAACUGCUGAAAGUCCUGAUGUGUUCACAUGUAAUCCAGUCGUCACACUGCUCCGGGUGUUUGGAGCGUAGACUGUUCUUGUGUUCAUCGACAUACGGGGUCAUCAAGGUAGAGUUCUGUAGAACUGUGUAGUGUGCUUGAGACCAAGAAUGCCCGUCCCUACAUUAUUGAGUCCGCUCCUAGCGUGCCUUUUCCAGUCAGUCUCCCCUCAUACCGCAAUUUAGGGAGACCUAUCUUCUUAAGGCCAGGAAUGAAGUCAACACAAAACCCAAUGACAUCCUCUGUUUGAUGGCCCAUGGAGAUGCUUCCUUCUGGCCUAGCGCGGUUACGGACAUAUUUCUUUAGGACUCCCAUGAACCUCUCAAAGGGGAACAUAUUGUGUAGAAAUACGGGCCCCAGAAUGACAAUCUCGUCGACUAGAUGAACUAGGACGUGCGUCAUGAUAUUGAACAAGGAUGGUGGGAACAUCAGCUCGAAACUGACAAGACAUUGCGCCACAUCACUCCUUAGCCUUGGUAUGAUUUUUGGAUCGAUCACCUUCUGAGAGAUUGCAUUGAGGAAUGCACAUAGCUUCACAAUGGCUAAUCGGACGUUUUCCGGUAGAAGCCCCCUCAAUGCAACCGGAAGCAGUUGCGUCAUAAUCACGUGGCAGUCAUGAGACUUUAGGUUUUGGAACUUUGUCUCUAGCAUAUUUAUUAUUCCCUUUAUAUUCGAGGAGAAGCCAGUCGGGACCUUCAUACUGAGCAGGUAUUCAAAGAAGAUUUCUUUCUCUUCUUUCGUAAGAGUGUAGCUGGCAGGACCUUCAUACUGCUUCGGAGGCAUGCCGUCUUUUUUGUGCAAAGGUUGCAGGUCCUCCCGUGCCUCAGGUGUAUCUUUUGUCUUCCCAUACACGCCCAAGAAGCCUAGUAGGUUCACGCAAAGGUUCUUCGUCACGUGCAUCACGUCGAUUGAAGAGCGGACCUCUAGGUCUUUCCAGUAGGGUAGGUCCCAAAAUAUAGAUUUCUUCUUCCACAUGGGUGCGUGUCCCUCAGUGUCAUUCGGAACAGCUAGUCCGCCGGGACCCUUUUCAAAGAUUACGUGUAAAUCAUUGACCAUAGCAAGUACGUGAUCACCGAUACGCAUGGCUGGCUUCUUCCGGUGAUCUGCCUCGCCUUUGAAAUGCUUGCCUUUCUUUCGACAUUGAUGGUUGGUCGGAAGAAAUCGACGAUGGCCCAGGUACACAUUCUUCCUGCAUUUGUCCAGGUAUAUACUUUUAGUGUUAUCUAAACAGUGCGUGCAUGCAUGGUAUUCCUUGUUUGUCUGUCCUGAAAGGUUACUGAGAGCGGGCCAAUCGUUGAUGGUUACAAACAGCAACGCGUGCAGGUUAAAUUCCUCCUGUUUGUGCUCAUCCCACGUACGUACACCGUUUCCAUUCCACAGCUGUAAAAGUUCUUCAACUAAUGGCCUUAGGUACACAUCAAUGUCGUUGCCGGGUUGCUUAGGGCCUUGGAUAAGAACUGGCAUCAUAAUGAACUUCCGCUUCAUGCACAUCCAAGGAGGAAGGUUAUACAUACAUAGAGUCACGGGCCAGGUGUUGUGAUUGCUGCUCUGCUCCCCGAAAGGAUUAAUGCCAUCCGCGCUUAAACUAAACCAUACGUUCCUUGGGUCAGCUGCAAACUCAGCCCAGUACUUUCUCUCGAUUUUUCUCCACUGCGACCCGUCAGCGGGUGCUCUCAACUUUCCGUCUUUCUGACGGUCCUCACUGUGCCAUCGCAUCAACUUGGCAUGCUCUUCGUUUCUGAACAGACGUUUCAACCGUGGUAUUAUAGGAGCAUACCACAUCACCUUCGCAGGAACCCUCUUCCUGGGGGCUCGCCGUCAACAUCACCAGGGCCAUCUCGUCUGAUCUUAUACCGCAAUGCACCGCAUACCGGGCAUGCCUUCAGAUCCUUGUAGGCACCGCGGUAGAGGAUGCAGUCAUUAGGGCAUGCAUGUAUCUUCUGCACCUCCAAUCCUAGAGGGCAUACGACCUUCUUUGCUGCGUAUGUACUGUCGGGCAAUUCGUUAUCCUUUGGAAGCUUCUUCUUCAAUAUUUUCAAUAGCUUCUCAAAUCCUUUGUCAGGCACAGCAUUCUCUGUCUUCCACUGCAACAAUUCUAGUACGGUGCCGAGCUUUGUGUUGCCAUCUUCGCAAUUGGGGUACAACCCUCUUUUGUGAUCCUCUAACAUGCGAUCGAACUACAGCUUCUCCUUUUGACUUUCGCAUUGCGUCCUUGCAUCGACAAUGACCCGGCGGAGAUCAUCAUCAUCGAGCACUGGUUCCUCUUGAUCUUCAGCAGCUUCCCCCGUUGCAGCAUCAUUGGGCACAUCGUCUGGUUCCUCUUGAUCUUCAGCAGCUUCCCCCGUUGCAGCAUCACCGUAUUCAGGGGGCACAUAGUUGUCAUCGUCCUCUUAUUCUUCACCGUCUUCCAUCAUAACCCCUAUUUCUCCAUGCCUCGUCCAAACAUUAUAGUGUGGCAUGAAACCCUUGUAAAGCAGGUGGGUGUGAAGGAUUUUCCGGUCAGAGUAAGACUUCGUAUUCCCACAUUUAGGGCAUGGACAACACAUAAAAUCAUUCUGCUUGUUUGCCUCAACCACUUCGAGAAAAUCAUGCACGCCCUUAAUGUACUCGGAGGUGUGUCUGUCACCGUACAUCCAUUGCCGGUUGAUCUGCGUGCAUUAUAUAUAAUUAAGUGUGUCAAAAACCAUUACGGAACAUCAUGAAUAGAUAAUUAAGUGACCAAAUUAAUAGAAGUUCAUCAUCAAAUAAAAACCAAAGUACAUACAUAGUACUCAUCUAACAACAUAUAGCUCUCCAGAGCAUCUAAUUAAUUAAACCAUACAUUGAAACUAUGUAAAACAUUUCAAUGCGAAAACAAAUGCGAUUAUAAUCACAACCAAGGUAACAAUUGAUCCAACGGCAUAAUGAUACCAAGCCUCGGUAUGAAUGGCAUAUUUUCUAAUCUUUCUAAUCUUCAAGCGCAUUGCAUCCAUCUUGAUCUUGUGAUGAUCGACGACAUCCGCAACAUGCAACUCCAAUAUCAUCUUCUCCUCCUCAAUUUUUUUAUUUUUUUCUUCAAGAAAUUGUUUUCUUCUUCAACUAAAUUUAACCUCUCGACAAUAGGGUCGGUUGGAAUUUCCGGUUCACAUACCUCCUAGAUAAAUAAAAUCUAUGUCACGUUGGUCGGCAUAAUUUUCAUAAACAAUAAAUGAACCAAUAGUUAUAAAGAUAAUAUAUACCACAUCCGAAUCAUAGACAGGACGAGGGCCGACGGGGGCGGAUACCAAAACCAUCGCACUAUAUAAUAACAAGCAAUAAAAUAGUAAGAAAAUUAGACAAGUAUCUAUCUAAAGUAAGAAUUUUUUUUCUUUCAGAAAGAAUAUAAGAACAAGAGGCUCACCACGGUGGUGCCGGCGACGAGAUCGGCGCGGGCGAUCGACGGCGGUGAAGACGGGAAUGAGACGUGACGGGCCGCUAAACCUAGAAAAAUCUCGAGGAAAAUGGAGCUUUGAGGUCAAGCUUCGAGAGGAGAAAGCUUAACUAGUGUGGCUCGGGCAUUUCAUCGAACACUCAUGUGCAUAGGAGGUGAGCUAGAGCACCACAAAGCCCUCCCCUCACCGGCCAGAGAAAAACAGAGCACUGGAGUGCUCUGCUCGCGGGCGAGGGGUAUAUAUAGGCACCUCAUUGGUCCGGGUUCGUGGCAUGAACCGGGACUAAAGGGCAGCCUGUGGUCCCGGUUCAAGCCACCAACCGGGACCAAUGGUGGUGGGCCAGGAGCGAGGCCCAUUGGUCCCGGUUCGUCCCACCAACCGGGAUCAAAGGGUCCAGACGAACCGGGACCAAUGCCCCCACGAGGCCCGGCAGGCCCCUGGCCUCACGAACCGGGACCAGUGCCCCCAUUGGUCCCGGUUCUGGACUGAACCGGGACUAAUGGGCUGACCCGGCCUGAACCAAAGCCCUCUUUUCUACUAGUGUCUACACCGAUCGUGCAAGGGCUGCCACCGCGGCGACAAUGACCACCUGGCGAGGAGGAGGAGGCGUUCGCGGCCCCUAUAGCCGCAACUUCAAGUGAUUUUGUUGUUGUAAGAAACUUUAGAGAAGAAAGGUCGAAAAUGUUUAUGAGAAGAAAAAAAGAUUGUGUUGUGAGCAAAUGGAACGUGCUAAGGGCAUCUCCAAAGCGCACCCUCAGACCGUUCGCAUCCGUCUGGACAUAGUGGUCUAGACUCAUUUUGCAUGCGACCGUAAAGGAUAUCGAGUUACUCGCGAAUGGAGGUGGCUGGGAGGCAUGGCCGGCGAUGGAGAGGCACUAUGCUACAACAUCGCUUCUCCUCAUGCGUUGCCGCCUGUUGUUGCUCCUAUGUAUGGAGCCUAAGGUCGAGGCCGCCCUAUCGCCAGGGAAGGGACGUGGGCAACACUGGAAGCUGCGUCGGUAGGCCACCGACUCGGACAUGGCGGGGGAAGACGGUUUGGUGAGGACACCAGCCUGCCAAAAAAGGUGAGAGGAGAAGGAUGUGUUGUUAGCGAGAGUGAGAUAGAAGAUUGGGGGAGAUUUUCUAGAAGAAGAAGAUUAGUCGCAAGACGUGGAGGGAGGAGAAAGCGGUGGAGGUAGUUUUAGAAAGAGUCGUGUUAAGCGGCCGUGUAAAUCCCUAAUAGGUUGUAAAAAAAAUGAAUGCACACACAUGUCAACCAUAGAAGUUUUUUUUAGGGAUGCCAACGAUAUAAGUAAAAUGUAUGGGCGCGAACCAAGCUGUGGUUGGAUGGUUAGUGGGACAGUGGUAUCUUCAGCCCAUCAUGGUUUAAGUCUUGGUGCUCGUAUUAUUUAUGGAUUUAUUUCAGAAUUUUCAACGAUGCGCUUUCAGUGGGAGGAGACGUUCCCGUCGACGACGAGGCGCCUGCAGUGACUUUCUAAAUCUCAAGAUGAUAUGAUGGCUCAGUCUCUCGAUGGUGCUCAUAGGGGUAGGGUUUACAUAUAUGUGUUCAUAGAGAUGAGUGUAUGUAUGCAUAUACGAGUGCUUGCGUCUGUACUAUGUUCAAAAAAUGUAAAAUGUAUGGGCCCAAGUACUCGAAUUCCACGACAUCAAGGUUCAAGGGUAGCUUAGCCACUUUAUUUGACCAGAUCAAAACACAUCCAUCGCACCACUUACCGUCUCUGCGCCGACGGCACGGCGAGAGCUGAUUCGAAAAUGAUCGCGCGCCGGACGUGGAGCGGUGGCAGCGCCCGGCCGGCCGGCCUGCUGUCGCCGUAGCCGUACUUACCACCGUCCCGACCAUAAAUAGCCGGUGAAACGGUUUCGAUCCGACCCGUGGACCCACCAACUUAAUUCGCUACUCCUACCUUCGUUUCACCUGCAAGCUAGCUAGCCUGUGCUCAGUCUGAACCAGCAACACGCACGGUAGUUGAGUAACCUCAGAGUGCAUUUUUUUAACAGUAAAAACGGCACGAAAUUAAAAAGCCACGAGAGUUGGUGCGAGAGGGGAGAGCAUGAGGCGCGGUUGGUGUCUGAAUGACCAACGUAACUACGUACGGCUAGAUUCUCGGAUACAGGGGCCACAUACGUGCACCCCAUAGAUCUGACUGCUACUGCCAUCAAUACCACAUACGUACUACUACGUACGUACGCAUAUAGGCUAGUCAUUUGAGUCGUUCACGUACAUACCGAGCGGAUGUGGACAAAUUAAAAGUUGGCGUGCAAUUAGUUAAGUUCCCAAUAUUUCGGGAGCCAGAAAAUAGCUAGACAGACAAUGACUUACGUAACAUCAGUGACCAAUAUAAGCAUGGUUCUACUUUCUAUAUAUGAACAUCUAAUUACGUACGUGCGCGCCGCGGCUAACCAUCACUCUCAUCGAUCGGCGCAUGAUAUUAGUUCGACAGUGACGCCCUAUCAACCUCAUCAUCCACCGCUCGACGACAGCUGCUCGUAUAUGCAUAUGCAUGCUGCGGCAACGUCGUAUCCGGCCACCAAAAGGGAAGAAGAAUUGAUUGAUCGCGCCAUUUUGAUACUGUAGCUGCAUACGUGAUUAGCAUUAAGGGCCGUGACCUCGUAAACCAUACGUCGUUGUCGUUUAGGUAGGAGAAGGAGUACUCAGCUACCUCUGCCCAUGCAGCGACGUCGACCUCGUACUUGGAUACUAGGCGGGAAUGUUCAGAGAAAUGUGCCAACGCGCCUCAUUUCUGAAACUUGGAAAAAUUGGCACGCGAACGUAAUACUGCAUUGCUACCACUACGCUACUGAAGCUCGAAUUGAGACGGAGGGGCUGACAGUUCAGGAGCGCGCGCGUACGUACACCGUGUAGCCGUACGCACUGUAUAAUACUACUAGGCACCAGCAUGCAUGUACAGCCGUAAGGCAGAUGCAGGUUUCAAUGAGCUGCAGGUACACAAGAACAUCUCACCGGCACGCAGUCAUUACGCACUAGGAAUAUCUCGCCGGCAGUGGUAACUGCCCCCCGUGGCAAUCGAUCAGUAUACAGUGAUCCCUGUGACUUGGCCUGCUGCUUCGGCUGCAAUCCAUCUCAUCUCAGAGUUAACUCUGCGUUUCAGCUUCCAUGGUGUCUCUCCGGGGAGGGAACACGGGAAUUCAAUGGCCUCCAUAGGAAGGUGAGUGAACCAACCAUGGAUCCAUCCAUCCAUCGGCGGAGUGUCUGCUCCCAUGCACGUAUGAGCCACAUGGUACAUUUCUUCUUUAAUUCUUGAGAAUCUUGCUCGUGUCACAUUAAUUUUUCAUGGCAAUUUGGCAGCAACGGCGGAUAAAAACACCGACAUGUUCAUGCCGUUUUGACUGAUGAGUACUACCAAAAGUUCUCGGAAGAGUCAAAUACACCACGGGUGCCUCAACUUGUUCGGUGCGGUCACUUUGAUGCCUAAACUUGUAAAAUACACGAAACCGGUGCCGUAACUUGUCCGAGCGUUCAAAUAUGGUGCCUCCAUCCGUAUCCAGGCAUAUGCACUACCCACAUGGCGUGCCAACGUGGCAUCAGCCCACAUGUCAAUGGGAGUGAGAGAAGUGUGCUGGUUGUUUUACAGAAAACUCCUUGUACUUUAUAUUUUUUUUGCAAAAGCUCUUGACAUUUUAUUUAAAUACGUCAAACUACAUUGAUCCCACCUGUCAAAUCUAGGUCUCGCAUGUCAGCACAUGGGAUAAAAUAGUAAUAACAAAAAAAGAGCACCCGACAGGGUUCGAACACAUGUGCUAAUCACUACGCCUAGAAUAGUUGACUGUGCAAUAUCCUAAUACGCUUCUAUUUGUCAAGAAACCGGGUGAAAUAAUAAAAAGAAAUAAAAAAGAAAAAGUUGAUUCGUGGGAAAUUAAAAGAAAUUCUCACCUUUGAAAAAAAGAACUAUUCAACAUAUUACCUGCCAUGAACUUAAAAAGGUGUUAGUGCAUUAAGAAAUUGUAGACGUGUUUUUCAAAAAUGUCUGUCAUGCAUUCAAAAAUUACAACAUCUAUUUCAUAAAAUGUUCAAUAUGUAUUAAAAAAUUAGUGUAAAAUUAUUCUUACAUUUCGACUAACACGUCUAACAUGUGUUAACACAUUUAUAGAAUUUAUUGUUUCUACACAAUGAUUUUUAAUACAUGUUGAACAAUUUUCAGAAUACAACGUUGUUGAUUUUUAAUAAUUAUGUAUUCUAAAAAUACAACAAAGAUACAAAAUAAUUCUGCGUGUUUGUGGUCCUGAAUGAAGAUGCAAAACAAAUUUGUAAUAUUUUAUAAUAUACAUUGAACUGUUUAAAUCAACAUAAAUUUUAGAAAAAGUUCAUGGUUAAAUCUUCGAACUACAAAUAAUAAAAAUAGAAUUAAAAUUUAAAUAGACAAUAAUUGCAUGUUGAUAAUUAUUAUAUUUUAAUAUUAUAAUAUUUUAUAUCAUAAAAACCAAACAGUAACUUGAAAACAUAAUAGAAAUUGCAGAGUGAUAGAUAGACCUUCCAUCUAACAACUGUACACAAAGUACUAGUUUGGGUGGCUAGCGUGCUAGCGUGCGUACUAGUUAUGUAACGUGGAUGUCCCAGGGUCGAAACUAAUUCAAAGACACAGUUUUCUUUUUUCUGUUAUUAGCAUAUGCAGAGCAAGGGCUGACUUGUGACUUUAUUAAAUUUUAGGGGAUUUUCUGAAAAAAAACUCAUACACAUUUCACCCAGCGCAGGCAUCGCUCACACCCACUGACAUGUGGGUCAGCCACUAGCUAUCCACGUGGACAUCACAUACGGUGGCAUACGGGCGGAGGGACCAUAUAUGCACCGUGUGACAAGUUACAGCAUUGUUUUUGUGUAUUUUACAAGUUUAGGCACUAAACUGACCGUAACGGACAAGUUAAGACACCCAUGGUGCAUUUAACUCUUCUCAGAAAAUAACGUGGGGACGAUCCGGGCCUUUAAAUAGCAUGGCAGCCGGAGGUGGCACUGUUUACGAAUCAGGAUAGGGAGACCAUGCGGUCUACUGCUCGCGACUAGUAGUAUAGUAGUCACUAGCCCAUGCCAGCCUGAUCCUCAAUUGCCAGAUGACUUUGUUCCGCGGUUGUUUAUAGCACUUCCGUUCGUCUAUAUCUCGUCAGAUAUAUUACUGCAUCACGAAGCUAACUAAACUGAAUCCUGUCAAGAACAAUUGAGAAUCUAUACAUGGACAUCAUCCAUGGUUCAAUACAUGAACAUCAACAUUGAUCACAAGCAGCAGGUACGUACUCCCUCCGUUCCAAAAUACUUGACUUCCAUUUAUCCAAAAAUGGAUGUACCUAUAUACUAAAACAUGUUUAGAUACAUCUAUAUUUUGACAAAUGAAAGACAUGUAUUAUGUAACGGAGGGAGUACCUCACAAGCAACCAUGCAUGGAUAUAUAUAUUUAUCUGCUAGCUAGCUGAGCACGCAUUAUUACAAACUAGCUAGAACCUGCCUGACACGCUGUACCAGCUGAAAUACAACACACGUACUGACUGAAUACAUAAACGUUUAAUUUCUUGGACAAAAUCAAGAAGGCUGCCGCUGCUAUAUAAUAUAUGAAAACAAAAUGAUGGAAUUGCAAAUGAUGGAGCGAGGAGGCUGAACGACGGAUCAUGGAUGAAUGUGGUUGUAGCUAGCUAGUCGUGGAGGUGGCGGUCGAGGUGGAUGAUGGUGGAGAGGUUCAUGGGGGAGAUGUAGUCGGUGGAGCCGGUGAGGUAGUUCUGGGCGAUGAGGCGGUUGGCGCGCUCCGUGGGGUGGAAGGCGUCCCAGAACACGUACUCGUCGCGGUUGGCGCAGAGGCUGGACACCAUGGUGCAGAUGCCGAUGCCGUUGAACCGCCCCUGCCCGCAGCAGGCCUCGGUGGAGGUGACGAAGCCGUACGCCUUGGGGUCGGCGAUGAAGUCGUCGUGCAUGCGCCGCGUGUUCACGGCCACGAACACGGCGCCGUUGCCAUUGCUAGAGCCGACCUCGGCGUUGAGCUCGUUGAGCAUGGCCUCCAUCUGCGGGUUGUAGGCCUCGGAGGCGCGCUGCAGCUCCGGGUCGCAGCUGCCGUCGAGGCUGUGCAUGGCGAGCUCGGCCGGCACGCAGCCGAUGGGGCCGACGCCGGUGACGAGGAUGCGGCGCGCGCCGAGGCCGUGGAUGCGGCGGAGCACCUGCUUGUACUCGGACAAAAUGUACUUGAUGUAGUCAGGGAGGGAGAACUCCCGGGAGCGGGCGGAGUAGGGCACCAGGUAGUAGUUGUUAACGAAGUCGUUGCCGCCGAGGGUGAUGAGCGUGAGCGCGCCGCCGACCACCCGCGCCGCCCGCUCCGGGCCGUAGAGCUUGGCCAGCCGGUGCUUGUACUGCUCGAAGUAGGUCAGCUGCUUCGAGAUCCGGAUGAUGUUGGCCUGCACGAUGAUGCAAUUCAUUAGAGUAUGUACAGUUAAUUAUUGAAUGGAGUGUGCAUGAAAAACGACAGAUCGAUAGGUGAAUGGCAGCACGUACGAACUGGAUGCCGGUGUCGUUGAGGAUCCCGAUGCCGGCGGAGGCGAAGUUGGCGCCGACGAGCAGGUUCUGGCCGUCCAGCUCCGGGCUCAGGUACGGCAGCACCGGCACGGAUCCGAUCUGCUCGCCUGCGUGCAACAUUGUUGUAAUCAAUCAAUCAACCUGUUAGCCUCAACUACAGAUAUAUACCACCGACGUACGGCUGGUGAUGUGCAUCCAUGAAUGCCCGAGCACGCUACUCAACUGAUGAGGUCGACGACGUUCUUGCCAUUGGAGAACCUCCCCGUGGCGCGGUGGUCCGGGGUGUCGAUGCCGUAGGGCCACGAGUCGGCGCGCGCCGACGUCAGGAGGUAGUUGUUGUUGCCGUUGUCCACCAGCGAGUCGCCGAAGAUGAAGAAGGCCCGGGCCGCGCUCGCCGCCGGCAGGGCCGGGAGCACGCAGAGCGCGACGGCGAGAAGGGCCACUUGCCACGAGGAGGCCGCCAUUGCUGCUAGCGCUCCACACUCCACUUCACUCACUUGCCGUAGUAUGUGUUGGUACACCUAGUCCUAGACCUAGUGGAUGCACUGAAACGUUGCGUGUAGUCGCCAUUUAUAGCGGAUCUGUCUAGGUAGGCACUUGUGCAUCUAGUGACUGACCCUCUUGCUUGGAUCAUGCCGUCGUCGCCGGAAUUUACUCCGCGUGGCCCGGACGACGUGCGGGUUGGUGCACUGCCUGCCUCGUCACAGCGCUCGCGCGAGGACCUUUAAUUCUCUGGUAAUUAUGUCCUGUGGUUUACACUAAUUAUGUGCCGGUUUUGGGGUUUGGUUGGUAUGGGCAUUUCCAGAUGUGCAUUGGAUCUUUGCGGUUCCGCAGCAUGUAUUGGUCUGUCAGUCCGUCACAUGAAUGAUGAGCUCUAACCGGUCCUACAAAAGGGUGAAAUUGAUUUAUUGAGAACAUCAAGACGCUCCCUUGUAUGUGCUGGAAUUACCUCUUGUAAGAUCAAAUAUGCUUCGCCCAGAUAACUGUUGGUUAACGAGGGAGAUAAGUAUUUCAUUGUUGAGCAGCCUGCAGCCGUGCACUGGUAUGCAUAUUGCAUACACGCUUGCAACUCUGUUCAAUUACGUGAAGCAUCUGGUGGAACGAUUUCAAGUACCCUAGGGGUGAAUGAAUUCCAGUCUAUAUGAAUAUAUGGGCAAAAUUUCAUGUUUUGACCCUUCUCGCAUACAAAUUCAGGAUUUGACCCCGGUUGGCAUAUUUUGAGAUUUGACCCUUUUUCUUACCGCCAGGGGCGCUGGCGGUAGGGUUAGACAUCCUACCGCCAGGAGACCUGGCGGUAGGGUACAAAUCCACGUCAGCACGCGGAGACGACCGCCGUCCCCCUCCAUCGCACCCUACCGCCAGGGUCCCUGGCGGUAGGCUGUCUAACCCUACCGCCAGAACCCCUGGCGGUAGGGUGCGAGCAGUUAUUUCGCCCGAGACCCCGCGCCCCUGCCCAUCUCCCCACCCCUCCCCCUCCCCCGUUGGCAGUUUCUUCUUUCUCCCCCCCUCGCCCCUCUCUCCCUCUCUCAUCUCCUGCACUCCCCCUUCGGAUCUUCAUCGUUUCUUCUUCGUUUUUGCGGAUCGAGAUGGCCCCGAAGAGAGAAACGUAAGCUCCUCCGAUCCCUCCAAGUAGUUUUUGCAAACUUGCUUACGAUUCGACACAUUAUUUGCUUGAAAUCCCUCAUAUUUUUGAACUUAGAUUGGAUUUUUUUCCACCUAGGAUUGUUUUAGCUUGAUUGUAGUUCUAUUUCUUAGUUCUUUAGUAACUAGUGGUAUUGAAUAUGAACUCUAAUCAAUAGUACAUAUGUUAGUGUGAAGAUGAACCCUAGUUCCUAAUUUUGUUUCUUAAAAAUGUUAUGAUGUAAUGCAUGUGGGAGGACUUGUUUUGUUUUAUGAUGCAUGUUGAUAUGAUGAUAUGAAGAUGUUGUUUGGAGAAAAUACAUUCAAGAUGAACUCUAUUUAAAAAAAAUUGUUUAAAAAAUGAUGAUAUGAUGCAUGUUGGAGGAUUUUAUUUUGAUAUGAUGCAUGUUGAUAUGAUUUGAUCCAUCAUGUGUAGUAGAUGUUGUUGGAGGAAUAUGCUUAAGAUGAACCCUAGUUCAUGUAACCAAGAAAUUUCAUUUUUUGUUUAUGUAUGCUUAUGCUUAUGAUGCUUUUGGUUAUGAAAUUUUAUUAAGGCGGGCACCUCUUGCGGACAACAUCGGCCCACGGUACUUCAUGCUUGACAACGCAUUCGACAAGGGUCAUCGUGCCCGUUUCAUAGAGAAAGGAGUGGUAAGUAAUAUGAAGGAAAUAUUGAUCAAAGUUUUCGGAUUGAUGAAAAUAAGUUCCUAACUUUUGCCGUCCACUUUUUGACAGAUACUCCAGCCACUGCGCAUGAGGGGUCACGGGGUUCAUGGGAAUAUGGACUACGACGAGCGCUACAUGCCGUACUUCAAGAGAGCCCGACUGUUGGGUUUCGUGUUGCAGUUCAAGCGUCAGCCGCCGACGCUUGUCCACACAGCUCUGACAGCUUUGAUUAACCGGUGGCGACCGGAGACCCAUUCUUUCCAUCUGCCAUGCGGGGAGAUGACGGUGACCCUCGAGGAUUGGUCGAUGAUUACUGCCAUGCCGAUCGAGGGUCAUGCACUCACCGGGUGAGUGGAGAGGACCAACUGGCAGCAGAGGGUUACCACCCUCAUCGGCGACUGCCCCGGUGCUAAGGGUAACCGUACAUCCGGUGUAUCGUUGCCCUGGCUCUCGGAGCACCGGAAGACAUGCCCCGAAGGCGCAGAUGAGGCAACUGUGGAGUGGUACGCUAAGGCCUACCUGUGGUAUCUUCUCACGGAGGUCGUGUUUCCAGACAGCUCCGGGAACUCUGCCAACUGGUCGUAUCUGUUCUUCCUUGCCGACUAGGAUGCAUGGUACAGUUGGGGGACCGCAUCUCUCGCCUACCUAUACCGUUCGGUAAGAGAGUAUCUAAUUGCCUACCUACGAAAGUAUGUCAAUGACAUUUUGUUAUAUCUGAUCCUCAUUUGAUGUUUUGCAGCUUGACGACGCAACCCAGGGGACGGGAGACAAGUCCAAUAUGGGUAGCUUUGUCUAGGCCCUCUCCAUUUGGAUGUGGGAGCGGCUGCCGGUGGGGCGUCCGGAGAAGAUGCCAAGACGCCCAUGGGGUGCCUAUAGCGAAGAUGGCGACGAGACUCGACACCCCACCGUAGCUUACGAGUGGGACGUUGUCAAACUCUACACGGGCCUAAACAAGACUUCGUACAAGACCUACACAAACGAGUUGGACGAUUUGACGCAUACGCAGGUAUAUGAACUCGCUCACCACCUUUCUCUUUGAUUCCACUUUUGGCCGAGAGUGGGAACUUACCAAUGUAUAUGUAAUAGGUAAACUGGUGGCCGUAUCAUGACCGAGAGUGGGACUUCGAUCUAAACGUGAUGUGCGAUGCGGACAGUGGUCUUUGGCAGUGCAUCGUGCCCAUGAUCUGUGUGUACGCCGUCGAGUGGCACUUGCCACACCGCGUGGCCACGCAGUUUGGGAUGUAUCAGCAUACCCCACCGGGCCCGCCGACCGAUAUCGACGGCCAUGCGCUCCACAUGUGAGCGCGCUUGUUCUUCGUGCCCAUGAUUUCAUUGCGUUUGACUUUAUUAUGAUGUUUCUUGUGGCCUAUGCCUUGCAGGUUGAGCCGGCAGAAGAAUCAAUCGAUCACAGACUGGGGAGAGGAGCAUAAAACUCAUGUGACAGAGUGGAACCGACGAAGGUUCCGUAAAGAUGGGGAGAGGAAAGUGACUGACCGGGAUGCUUACCUGGCCCGACACAUGAGGUGGUACGAUGAUGGCCAGAAGCACCGCCUUCGUUCAGGCCUUGGUGGACGGCGGAAGACAUCGCGGAGCUGGAGACGGAUGACCCCGAGGAAGAGGCCUACCAGACCGGCAUCAGAGACAUGCAUAGUCGAUUUAGGGAGUUUGCACCCCUCAUCAACAGAGUGGUAAGUUUGAACCGACGUUGUAUUUAAAUUAUUUUAUUCGUCAUCGCGACUGACAGUCCGGUGAGCUGAACAGAUGCAUCUUUGAAGCCUCAAAUGCACUAGGUAAUGCCCCCGGGAGCGUACAAUCUGAGAACAAAGUGAGGGGGGCGGUGAAGGUACAAUUUCAGCCUCCUCGGAACAGAUGCAUCUUGUUCACUUGCAAUCAUAAAUCUGAUACUUAUUAUGCCCUUGUUUCAUUAUGAGUGCAGAAGUUCGUGAAGUGUUGUCGCAAACUGGUAGGGCUGCUUGGGUGUGCUGGAGCUGGGUCGGUUGAAGCUUAUCAUCCUGUAGCCACACAGGGUCACAUCGGCUCAUCGAGCCAUGUUCCCUCGUCGUCUAGGUUGGUUGAGGAGGAGGAGGAGGAGGAGGAGGAUGAGGAUGAGAGCAAUGGGGAGAAGGAGUACGAUGAAGAUUAUGGACCUCCACCAACUCAAUCAUCUCAACCAUCUCAGCUGCCGAAGAGGAAUCCGAAGAAGAAGGAUUUGCUGAGUCCGGGCCCUUUCCAGAGACCGGUUACUCGACGGCCCAAAAAGAAGACUGAAGAGACUCGUUCAAAGAGUAACGAGGACCGUACCUCCAAGAGGGGAAGGAGCAAGUAAUUCUGCUCUUGGAUACUUGGCUCUUGUAGUUGGGUUGUCUAGUGGUUGUGAAACUACGUGGAACUAUGUGUUUGCUAUUUGUGAAACUAUGUGUUUGCUAUUUGUGAAACUAUGUGAAACUCCGUUUACUAAUUAGUUGAACUUCGUUUGACAUGUCUAUGUACUUCAAGUUUUGUUAAUGUGUAUGUGUUUGCCGAAUAUAUGCAAGCAGAUGGAUCAUAGUGCAACUAGUACUACUCGUCAUCAAUUGGAGGGGCAAUUUUUUUUGUUUUUGUUUUAAAAUUAACGGCGUUUCAGUGAUAAACAAAAAUCAAAGACCUAGUAUGAAUUUUGGACAGAGUACUCUGGACUCUGGAGUGAGUGAAGUUGGCAUGGUGAUGAUGAAUCCAUUUCAUACAGCACGUAGUUUCUUCAUUCAAAGUGACCUAAAGCAACUUGUUAUUAUUAUUUUUGCGCAAAUAAGGCAACUUGUUACUCAUUCAAGAGGGCAGUUGGAUCUAUCAACUACGCACUGAUGCCUGGAUUUAGAUGAGCUGUAUGCAGUAGCAGUACUUAGCUUGGAGUAUAACCUUUUCCAAUGAGAAGCAGAGCUCACAAUAGCCCACGUGCACUUUCAUUGCUGGUCACUACAAGAGCUGCAAUAAAAAACCAGGGCGGACCAUGAUAGGCAUUCACUCAUACGUGGACGUUGUUUGCUGUAAGCUAGGCGGGUCAUGGCAUAGUUUAGCCCCAACUAAGCUCCGCCAGUGCUAACAAGUGAUACGACGUUUAGUUCUGUAGUUAACCAAACCGGCAGCACAAGUUAGUUCUGUAGCCAUUGGACUAACCGGCGGCAUAUUUCUGUAAUUCACUAAUCACACUUUUCUGUCCAUGGCUUUCUUCCCACACUAGUGAAAGUAAAGCACACACUAGUUAGUUCUGUAGCCAUUGUGGCAUGAUCUUGUCAGUUAUACUCCACAGUAUAUCCUUCUCAAGAUUGCUACUCCGAUCCGGUACUUAACCAAACCGGCAGCACAAGCACAAUCAAUGGAGAUCAACCAACGGCAGGUUAGGUACCACCUUGAUCGACGGAUCACCAUUCGACCGCCUCCUCAUAUAAUUGCCUGUCUCCUGCAGGUUCUAACUAGCUAGGGUUUAUGGCUUAGGAAAUUAGUGAAUCUCCAACGACAACCCGCAAAUUUUCUACCAGCAGGGGGACCAGUCCGUGAACACGGAUGCGGGAGACCGUCAUCUAAUCGUAGCCGCAUACAUUUUAAACUAUUUUUUUUUAACAAAUCGGAUGAAAUUCAUGCAAACACUGUCGGAUUUCACAUAUACAUGAUGGAUUUUAUACAAACCGGACGAAAACGGUUAUAUUUUGGACAUAUUUUAAAUAAAAAGGUAAAAUUAUGUGCACGUACGGUCGCACAGAGAUUCACUCCCACGACAUGGAUACAUGACACUAGUCUACGGUCGGCCGCGAGGGAUCCCUUGGUUUUUCCCAUAUCUGGCAGCUCGCUAACCGGACUGUCAGGAGUCCCAGAGGCAUAUUCUUCCUCUGUAUCUUUCCUAUGUCUGGCUACGUCGCUCAUCGGAGUGACAAAGAGGGUGCUUCAGCUGGAGGGGAAGUGUGCUUCCGUGGAGCUCAGACGGGAGCCCAGGAUUGUUUAAGAUAAAGAACCACAUAGGUCACCGGCUAACAAGCCGGCGACGCGCCGGUGGUGGCCUCCCGUGUUCUACUUUCCCUUGAUGUUGGCGGCAUGCUGGCCACCGACUCAUCGAUAUACGCGCAACCGGCUUCUUUCUCUACCGGCAGGGUGCGGCUACGCGUGCAUUGACGGUGGAUGGCGCAGUCGCAGGCACGGGAGGCGCGGGACGACACAACGUCGUCCACGGCAGCGACGAUGCCCGUGUCGCCGUGCUCCCCUCCCCCUGCCGGCCUGGCGCAACUCGCCGCUCCUCUGCGAGCUGGCCUGGAGCAGCGAGUUGGUGAAGCACGUGCUGGCUUGGCGCGGCAACUUGCUUCAUCGGGCUUGCCGAUGGAGGUAGAGCAGCGAGCUGCCUCGCUCGUAUCCGGCAGGCUCGGCGGGACACCCAGCCGGCUUUCAUGCCGGAGAACUGCUCUUCUUGCUCGCCAGAUGUCAUCGAAAAGGUGGAGAAAAUGGUGGAAGGAGGAGAUGGGGAGCACCGGAUUGGUGCCGUUCUUGCCCGGCGUCUGACCUCCUUCAAAAUAGCGGAUGGAGGGAGGAGCUUGCCCAUCGUUGUGUUUAAUGUUGGCCCGUUCGUGAACGGACGUGUGGCUGGAGUAGGUUUCUCGACUUCCACGCGGGUUUAAUGGAGGUUUGAAUGCGGUGAUGAGGCGUGUUCAACCGUGAGUGCAGCGGGCGGCGCCUUCGUGGACGGUGCACCGCUUCAACAGCGGAGACAAUGAGAGGCCGCGUCCGUCCUGAGCCGUUUUCAAUGUGUAGUGGCGCACUUGUCGGAUGUGGGGUUCCGGCAAACCCUUAAGGUUCGAACACUGGGGUGCGCGCGAAGUCUUUCCCUCCUACCGAUCGACACCCUAGCUCGCUAAGAUCUCGCGGACGAACUCGACGAACUUGCAACACAGAAAUACACGAGAUUUAUACUGGUUCGGGCCACCGUUGUGGUGUAAUACCCUACUCCAGUGUGGUGGUGGUGGAUUGCCUCUUGGGCUGAUGGUGAACAGUACAAGGGAAGAACAGCCUCGUGAGGUUGAGGUGUUCUUGUGCUUGGUGACUUAGCGGGUGAGAGCGGGUGAACUGCUCGAUCGGAUUCUCCUCCCCCUCUACUGUGGUGGCUAGCCCUACUUAUAUAGGCCCUGGUCCUCUUCCCAAAUAUUGUGCGGGAAGGGAGCCAACAACGGCGGGCAAAUUUGAAGGGGGACAGCUAGUACAAGCUAUUCUUACAAAAGCGGUCUUCGCCUGCGAAAAGCUCUGUGGUGACGCCGUCUUGGGCUCCACCAUGACCUUCGUCUUGCCGUCCUUCUGGUCUUGGUCUCGUUGCACCGAUAUGGCAACCUUUGCCUGAGGCCUCAGUACUCCUCGCCUGCGCUGGCCUCCUUAGCACCAAAGAGGAAACAAGGACGCUGCGCGCGCUGGCGCCCGCCUGGUGUCGAUCGUCACGGCUCACGUCACGAGAGCCUCAUGAGGUUUGCCUCGCCUUGAUAUCUCCGCUCCUCGUGAGCCUGCCUGACUAGGCCACUCUCGAGGAGGUCUUGCGUCGUCCGCCUCGCGAGGCUUGGCCCCUCGCGAGGGUCUUGGAUGCUUUGUUGAUGAAGAUGGGUCGUACGGCCUGCUGGCUCAGCCACGCCGUGGGCCGCAGGCAGGCAAGUCUGGGGACCCCCAUUCCCAGAACGCCGACAGUAGCCCCUGGGCCCAAGGUGCGCUCGGGCUUGGCUUCGCGGCGAAGCCAAGGGUCAAGUAUGGAGCACUGCGGGCCCCAAAAGCCUGCGGCCUCGGUCGACGCGUGGCGGUUGAUUGGAUGUGGGCAUCUCUGCUUCCCCACGCUGCCUCGACAACUGCACGACUUGACAAGUCCCUGCAACAUGCAAGGAAAACCAUCAUUACCUGUGAUCGUGGGAGACGCCGGUUGGCCUUCUUCCGCUAUAAAUGAGGAGGGGGCGGAGCCGCCAUUGCCCAUCUCUUCCUCGCUCGCUUGUUUCUUCCUCCUCGCUCCGUUGUUAGCAGUGCCUCCAAUGGCGCCACGAAGGAAGUUCUCUGCCGCUGAGAAGGGGAAGGCCCCUCGCGAAGGACCCGGCUCCCCGGCGCCCAAGCGUGGGCGCGACCGUCCGCGCAAGCACGCCGAGACACCCGCCGUGACCCAUUGUCGCGGCGGCGCCGCGGCACGCGAAGGGGGUCGUCCCAGCCACGGCGGGCCAAUUGACGAAGGGAGGCGUGCCAUGGUGGCGCGGCCUCCCCGUCCGCGCUUUCAUUCGGCGGAGGUGCCGCCGGAGUUCGUCGUUUGGUCGGAGAACCCGGCCGGCAACUGGCUCCAGCUUCCGCGUUUCUUCAUCAGUGAACUGCCGGCCUGUGGUCCAGGCGGGCUCUGCCGCAGGCGGAUGGAUGCUGCAGCAAGGUUUCUUGGGUCGCGGUCGAGACUUCCGCCGCGGGCAACAUAGCCCUGGCCCGCGGCUGGCAGACAUUCGCCCGCGCGCACGGCCUGAGCAAGCAGUGCACCCUCCAUUUCAAGUUCGAUGGCGAUGCGACCCUCUACGUGAGGGUGUUCGGGGAAGAUGCUUGCCGCGCCGGAUGCUGCCCCGAGGCGAACGACGGCGAGGAGGUGCUCGACCUUGGCGACGGUCGUGAUGAGGAUGAGGGCGAGCCCGCCCCUGGCGGCGACUGUGCUUCGCCCAACUACGGGGGCUCUUCCUCCGGCGACAGCUCCAGCAGUGGUGGCUACGACCAGCCACCGCGCCGUCGCGCCCGCUUUGAAGGCGGCAGCGGGUCGUCUCGCCGUCGCGCCUCGGUGAAGCGCGAGGAGAGAUCCGGCUAGGCUCGGGGUGCUGCUAGGUGCCUGCCUCCAUGGACCGCUGCUACACCGCUUUUGUUUUGCUCUUUUUCCCGCAUCAAGAAUUAAACUAGUAUGGGCCCAGGGGGGCGUGUAUCGAACUAUGGUUCCUUGGUUGUUGCACUAUGCGUGUUGUUCCCGUGCCGUGUCGUUACUUUGCGCAAAGAUAACCUAACCUGGUACGUUCAGGAUGCCCUCUUCCUCACGAGGUGUUUGUUUCCUCGUGUCCAUCUUGCCUUGGUGGCCUGCGUUCGCUUAGGAACUGCAAAAAUUCAUUAGGAGGUGCGCUAAAAGGUUUGCUGUUCACCUAGCCCUGACCCGGCAUUUUGUAUCGCGGUACCCGAGGGGCACGGAUUAGGAGAGAUGCGCCAGCUUUCAGGAUCGAACGAGGGUGGCUCCCGAGAAGGCAGAGAGGAGAAAAAUGCUCGCGAGGGCACCUGCCUAGCCCCCUCGCGAGGUAUGCGAGAGAGAGAGAACAUGAGUAAACCAGAGCCGGGAAAUGCGGUAAGAGGCGAGGGAAUCAAACCAGCAAGGAACACCAAAAGCAAACUUUGAUUAAGGAAAAGCGAGCCAACUACGGAAAGCAAAUGAAAAGCCGCGUCCGGCACCUAAUCUAGUCUUCAAGUCUUCUCACCAGCGCGGAGCUAAGUGCUGCCACUAGGCGUGGGCGGGAGCCCCAGGGCCUGAGGCCGCCGCUCCUGAGACUCCGGGGUGUGUACAACCCCAACUCAUUAUUACGUGAGAGUGUCAAGGGCGGCGAUUCUUCACAGACACCGGGCCUUCUUCACAGGCUCUGGGCCUUUCUUCACAGGCUCUGGGCCUUGCUUCAUGGGUAGAACUUCCGAAGGUGCUGGAUGUUCCAGGCGUUUUGGAUAGGUAUGCCAUCUUGCGUCUCCAGGCGCACGACGCCAGGCCUGGAGAUGUGGACGACCUUGAACGGGCCCUCCCACAUGGGUGAAAGCUUAUGCAGCCCUUCCCUAGAGAGGACCCGCCUCAGGACUAGGUCACCCAUUUCGAGGGUCCUGGAGCGGAUGUUGCAGCAAUGGUAUCGCCGCAGCGCUUGCUGGUACCUUGCCGCCCUCAGUGCAGCUUCGCGACGACGUUCCUCCCCCAGCACGAGAUCCAUCCCCCGCGUGGCGUCCUGCUGCGUUUCGUCGAACGCUAGGACCCGUGCGGAGCGAUGCUUGACCUCAUGAGGGAGAACUACCUCAGCUCCGUAGACGAGGAAGAAUGGGGUCUCGCCUGUUGGCUUGGUGGCGGUGGUGCGGAUGGACCACAACACGGUCUGGAGCUCGUCGUGCCAGCCCCUGCCGCAGGCCUCCAGCUUUUUCUUGAAGGUCCUGGUCUUGAGGCCCCUCAAGACCUCCGCGUUGGCGCGUUCAGCCUGACCAUUACUCCUGGGGUGGGCCACCGAAGCGUAGCAGAUCUGCGUUCCAAGGUUAGCACAGUAGGUUUUGAAGAGGUUACUAGUAAACUGCGAGCCGUUAUCUGUGAUGAUGCGGUUGGGGACCCCGAAGCAGCUCACGAGGCCCUUGAUGAACUUGACAGCAGAGCCGACCAGGAUGGUACGGACGGCUUCCACUUCCGCCCACUUGGUGAACUUGUUGACGGCGAUGUAGAGGUAGCGGUAGCCCCCUGGCGCCGAGGGAACGGGCCUAAGAUGUCCAGCCCCCAGACCGCGAAUGGCCAUGUAAGCGGGAUGGUUUGGAGGCCCUGAGCUGGCUGAUGGAUUUGCUUGGCGUGGAAUUGGCAAGCUUCGCAGGACUUCACUAGCUCGGCCGCAUCGUUGAGUGCUGUAGGCCAGUAGAAUCCGUUGUGGAAUACCUUGCCGACGAGGGUCCGAGACGACGAAUGGUGUCCGCAGUCCCCGCCGUGUAUGUCAAUCAGUAACUCCCUUCCUUGAGUACUGGAGAUGCAGCGCAGCGUGACAUCGUUCGGUCGUUUCCUGUACAACUCGCCGUCUUGGAUACAGUAAGCCGUGGCCUGCCGUGCCACAUGCUCGGCGUCCUCUUCCUUCUCCGGCAGCGUCCUUUGUAUCAGGUACUCCUUGAAUUCCUUGGUCCAGCAUUCCUCCUGAGGCUCGAGAGCCAAUAGCAGCCGAGCUCCUAAGGUUGGGCCACAGGCUGGGGCUCCCGUGGCCGGAGGCUGUGGGAGCUCCUCCCGAGGCUGAGUAGUGCUUGACAGUGGCGGCAUAGGUGAUGGCUUGAAAAGCCGCUCCUCAAAGACACCGGGUGAAAGAUCGUGGAUGUCGCCUAGAGGGGGGUGGGGGUGAAUAGGCGCUUUAAAAUAAUUACGGUUUAGGCUUGAACAAAUGCGGAAUAAACCUAGCGGUUAAUUUGACAAGCACAAAACCUACAACAACUAGGCUCACCUAUGUGCACCAACAACUUAUGCUAAGCAAGAUAAACAACUAAGUGAUAGCAAGAUAUAUGACAAGAAACAAUAUGGCUAUCACAGAGUAAAGUGCGUAAGUAAAGGGUUCGGUUAAGAGAUAACCGAGGCACGCGGAGAGUGGCCGAUUUACCCUCUUUUGCAAUGAGUUUCGCUACAGCACCUGCUGCUCUAGCUAAUUUUGCAAUUGGGUCGUUGCGAUUACGGGUUGGCUGUCUAAUUGUCCAGGCGGUAAUGAUAGUAUCUUGUACCUGAACCGAAUGAAAUCAAAAUUUCAUGUUCGGUUUUGAAUUAGAGACGUUAAAAACACCAGGAGCUGUUACGCCAGGCGCAGUAGCAUGGAUUUCGUAAAUCUAAACAACCUUUUCGUAGGCGUCCCCAGAUUGGCCCGGGAAUCCGUAAUGGAAUGGUAGGGUUAAAAAAAAAGGUCCCUACUUCUGCGGCGAUCGGAUUGCACUUUUACCCAAUUUGGGAAGACAUUUUGGGCUAUCCGGACACGUACUUUGAGAAUAUGUUGUUUUCAUUGCAAAAUGAUGGGUCUCCUUCCAUAACUUUCCAAUUACGAGUACGAGAAUUGAAAGACAUGAAAAUUCUCAAUUCUCUACGACGUCUAGUCUUUCAAUUCUCGUACUCGACCCCAUUGUCUCCACCCCGUAGGAACUACGAGAUCACCCCAAGGACGCCCAUAACUUGGGCUCCUAGAAUAUGGCGCCCUUGGGACAAUCUAUUUGAUUGCAGGGUUUUGUUCCGAAGCAAACAUAUCCGCGUGUAUCCCGAAGUUCACACCCUUGCGGAUGCUAAUCUCCGUUUGGAGCGGUGUGGAGGCACAAUGCUCCCCAAGAAGGCACUAGGGCCACCGUAAUCUCCUCACGCCCUCGCACAAUGCAAGAUGCCGUGAUUCCACUAAGGGACCCUUGAGGGCGGUCACCGAACCCGUACAAAUGGCAACCCUUGGGGGCGGUCACCGAACCCGUACACUUUGGCAACCCUUGGGGGCGGUCACCGGAACCCGUCAAAUUGCUCGGGGCGAUCUCCACAACCUAAUUGGAGACCCCGACGCUUGCCCGGAGCUUUACACCACAAUGAUUGAGCUCCGAACACCACCAACCGUCUAGGGCGCCCAAGCACCCAAGAGGAACAAGCUCAAGGGCACCAAGCACCCAAGAGUAAUAAGCUUCUCAACUUGUAACUUCCACAUAUCACCGUGGAGAACUCAAACCGAUGCACCAAAUGCAAUGGCAAGGGCACACGGGGUGCCCAAGUCCUUCUCUCUCAAAUCCCACCGAAGCAACUAAUGCUAGGGAGGAAAAUGAGAGGAAGAACAAGAAGGAGAACAUGAAGAACUCCAAGAUCUAGAUCCAAGGGGUUCCCCUCACAUAGAGGAGAAAGUGAUUGGUGGAAAUGUGGAUCUAGAUCUCCUCUCUCUUUUCCCUCAAAAACUAGCAAGAAUCCAUGGAGGGAUUGAGAGUUAGCAAGCUCGAAGAAGGUCAACAAUGGGGGAAGAACACGAGCUCAAAAGAUAAGGUUCAUUGGGGAAGAAGACCUCCUUAUAUAGUGGGGGGAACAAUCCAACCGUUACCCCCACUUCAGCCCCGCAGAGAGCGGUACUACCGCUUGGCCAGCGGUACUACCGCUUGCCCCUAUAAGCGGUACUACCGCUCCCCCUCGCGGUACUGCCGCUGGGCCCAGAGCGGUACUACCACGGUGGCAGGGCGGUACUACCGCAAGAGAGCGGUACUACGGCCCCCACUGCCGCGGCUAGUACCGUAGAACCCGACACGAAAAAGACCCCUCGAAUCGAGGCGGUACUAGUACGAGACCGUAGCGGUACUACGGCUGGGGCCCACCAGCGGUACUACCGCUCUGGAGCGGUACUACCACUCUUAGAGCGGUACUACCGCUUAUAGCACCCAAGCGGUACUACCGCUCCGGCCCGCGGUACUACCGCUAGGAAACCAAAACUGCCAUAACUUCUGCAUAUGAGCUCCGAAUUGAGCAAACUUAAGCUUGUUGGAUUGAGAAAGACGAGUAGCAUCAAAACAGCGAGUGAAACCUCCAAUCGAGAAGAACCGGCAUAACCUCCAACAUCGAAAACAUCAUAGAAGAUGCGAGUGAACUCCGUUUUCGAUGAACUCGAGCUUGUCACCAAGAUGACCAUAAGCUCCGAAACUCACAAAGAGAAGAACCAAACAAGAACCAAAAAAGAUGAUGCAAGGAUGCAAUGGUUUGAGCUCUCUAUGAACGAUACGAUCAAGCUACUCAUCGAGAGCCCCCCUUGAUAGUACGGCAAUCGAUCCUAUAACCCGGUCUCCCAACUACCAUCAUGAGACCGGUAAAAUAGAAAACCUAUCAAGAGCAAACCUUUGCCUUGCACAUGGUCCACUUGAGCUAGAUGAUGACGAUCUUGACUCCCUCAAGUUGGACCACCUUUCUUGGUUGUGUUGGCUCGAUGAAGACUAGUGGAUUGCUCCCCCAUACUCCACUAUGGGUGAGCCACUCUUCCGCACAUCUUCACAAGUCCAUUGUCACCACAAUGGACGGCAAGCUUCAAGCAUUUGAUCUCUUCAUGAUGCUUCACUUGAACUUGCACACCGCAACAUCUUCACAAGUCCAUUGUCGCCACAAUGGACGGCAAGCUUCAAGCAUUUGAUCUCUUCAUGAUGCUUCACUUGAACUUGCACACCGCAACCUAACCCCACAAAGAACUCUCACGAAGAUCAUGGGUUAGUACACAAAGCGUAAUUGACAAUGCUUACCACACCAUGGGAUCGCUUGAUCCCUCUCGGUACAUCUUGUGCGCUUUGUGUGUUGAUCAACUUGAUUCACUCUUGACUUAGUCUUGAUCAACCUUGACUCUUUCCAACUCUCUUCAUUUGGAUGAUGUCUUGAAGGUAAACAUGAAUGAUCACACAAUCUUCUUCUUCAAGACAUGCUUGCAAUAAGCUCUACUCUCACAUGACCAAUCUUUGGAUAAUUCCUUAAUAACACCUUGCUCACCACGUAAACUCCUUGAAACCAACACAUGGACUUCAAGAAAUGCCUAUGGACAAAUCCUUCAAAUAUAACUCAAGGCAACCAUUAGUCCAUAGAGAUUGUCAUCAAUUACCAAAACCAAACAUGGGGGCACCGCAUGUUCUUUCACCGGGCUCUUGCGGUUGCCGCUUGGAUGCUCUCCUGGCGAUGUCGUUGGCUUCCUUGUUGGUGCCCUGAGGCACGUGCUGCAGCUCCAGGCCCGAGAACUGUUUUUCCAUCUUAUGCACCUCCGCGAGGUACGCCUCCAUGUGCUCGUCCUUUGGCUCGUAUACCUUGUUGGAUAAGUUGACGAGGAGUUGUGAGUCGCCUCUGAUAGUGAGGCGCUUCACCCCUAGGGCCGCUGCAGCCUUCAGGCCAGCUAUGAGGCCUUCGUAUUCUGCGAUGUUGUUGGAGACCUUCUUGCCGUGCUGGAAGCAGAGCUGCACGGCGUAGUAAAGCUUGUCCUAUGUGGGAGAAAUGAGCACUGCUCCAGCCCCCGCACCCUGGUGCGCAAAGGCGCCAUCGAAAUACAUGACCCAGCCGUCUGGGGCUUCGCUCCCUGGCGAGGUGGAUCGGUCGUCGCCUUCCUCAAGCACCGGGGCAUCCGUCCAUUCAGCCACAAAAUCAGCGAGCGCGGCCCCUUUGAUGACUCUGGUAGUGCUGAACUCCAACUGGAAUGCUUGCAGCUCUAUAUUCCACUCCGCGACCCUUCCGGCUGAGUUAGGGCUCCUGAGCACCCUCUCCAAUGGGUAGGGUGAGACGACCUUGAUGGGGUGCCCCUGGAAGUAGUGUCGCAUCUUGCGUGAUGCCACCAAGAGUGCGAGCAGGAGUUUCUGGGGCAUGGGGUAGCGUGCCCUUGCGUCCCGCAGUACAGUGCUGACGAAGUACGCUGGGUGUUCGACGAGGGCUGGCACACUGUCAAGGCUCAGGUCCUGCGGAGAUCGGGGCUCAUCCUGAGGUGGAGGAGUUCCUGAGACCUGACUUUCCUCAGGAGCUUCUGAGAUGUUGGCCUGCUGAGCUUGGUCUUCCACCGCUGAUGCCCUUGCUGCGCUUUCCUGGCCCUACGCCGCUUCAGCUCCGGCUUGGCGCAGCGCGCCCUUGGCUCGGCGCUCCCCCCGAACCGCCACCAAUGUCGCGCUGGCGGAGUACGGGGUAGCGGCAAGAUAGAGCACCAGAGGCUCGAGAGGCCGUGGCGCCACCAUUACCGGAGGGCUGGUAAGGUAUUUUUUGAGGUCUUGGAAGGCCCGGUCGGCCUCCGGGGUCCACUCGAACGGGCCUUUCUUCUUCAUGAGCUUGAAGAAGGGUAAGGCGCGCUCUCCCAGUUUGGAGAUGAAACGCCCCAAUGCGGUCACCCACCCUGCUAGCUUCUGCAUCUCUUUGAGGGUCUGUGGCGGGCUCAUGUCCUCGAUGGCCUUGAUCUUCUCUGGGUUCGCCUCAAUCCCUCUGUGGGAUACGAGGAAUCCCAGCAGCUUGCCGGAGGGGACGCCGAACACGCACUUCUCUGGGUUAGGCCUUAAGUUCACCUGGCGCAGGCUCUCGAAGGUCUCCUCCAAGUCUUGGAUCAAUGUCCUCGCCUCGCGAGACUUUACCACUAUGUCGUCGACGUAGGCCUCUGUGUUUCUCUCGAGCUGUCGCCCCAGGGCGAUGUGCAUGAACCGCUGAAAGGUCGCGCCCGUGUUGCGCAGCCCGAAGGGCAUGCAGGUGUAGCAGUACACCCCACAUGGUGUCAGGAAGGCCGUCUUCUCCACAUCUUCCACUGCCAACUUGAUCUGCUGAUACACCGAGAAUGCUUCCUGGAAGCACAGCAGGUCGCACUCGGCGGUGGAGUCAACUAUGUGGUCGAUGCGCGGGAGCGGGAACGGAUCUUGGGGGCAGGCCUUGUUAAGGUUGGUGAAGUCGACGCACAUCCGUUCCUUCCCACCUUUCUUCGGCACCACGACGGGGUUCGCCAGCCAUUCGGGACAUCGAACUUCGCGAAUGGCACCCGCCGCCUCCAGCUUGCGUGUCUCCUGGACGAUGAAGGCCUGCUUCUCAGUGGACCGCCGUCUCGCUCGCUGCUUCACGGGGCGUAUAUUUGGGCAUACCCUCAGAUGGUGCUGAAUCACCUCCCUCGGGACCCCUACCAGCUGGUUAGGCUCCCAGGUGAAUGUCUCCUUGUUCGCGCGCAAGAACCUUACCAAGGCCUCUUCUUGUCCCGGGUCAAGGCCGGCUCCUAUGGUAAAGGUGGCUCCUGAAGACCCGUCCUCGUUGACCGGCACCUGCUUGGUUUCCGCCUUGUCUUGCGUGAACAACUGCUUCUUCUUGGUAGGCGCAGCUUCCUUGGCCUCGGGGGUGCCGGCGUCGGCGGGCUGUGCUGCUGCCGCGGUCUUGAAGGCGAGCCUGAGUGCUGCCACGGCUUCCUUAGUGUCCCCCUUGAUGGAGAGGACGCCUUUGCUCCCUGGCAUCUUCAUGAGGUUGUAGGUCGGGUGAGUUGCCGCCAUGAACUGAGCGAGAGCUGGGUACCCGAGGAUGGCAUUGUACGGGAGACCGAUGCGGGCGAUGUCGAAGUCCACCAGCUCGAUGCGGUAGUUGUCGCGUGUGCCGAAGGUGACAGGGAGGCGGAUCUGCCCAAGAGAGUUUGCAGCUCCACCGCCCACUCCAGAGAAGGGCUUGCUGAGGCUGAGCCGCUCGAGCGGCACGUGAAGAAGGCUGAAGGCUUCUACGGAGAGCAAGUUGAGGCCGGCACCGCCGUCGAUGAGGGUCUUGGUAACGACCACGUUGCAGAUGGUGGGCGUGCAGAGCAUUGGGAGCAUGCCCGAGCCCGCGGUGGAGCCGGGGUGGUCCUCUGAGCCAAAAGUGAGGUCGGCCUCCGGCGCAGCCCAUCCCGGCGGAGCCCCCGGGCGCUUGGAGGCGGCCCCGAUCUGACGGAGCAACGGCUUGACGUGGCGAUCCGAAGGCGGUGCUUGAGAGCCGCCCAGCAGGGCCGCUACUGCGUGGUGCGCCGGCACCGCGUAGCGGGUGGUGAAGAGGUCGCGGAGUUCCCCCCAGGAGGCCACCGUGGAUCUGCUACCUCUUGAGCACUGCGUUGGUUUUCCCUUGAAGAGGAAAGGGUGAUGCAACAAAGUAGCGUAAGUAUUUUGCUCAGUUUUUGAGAACCAAGGUAUCAAUCCAGUAGGAGGCUACGCGCGAGUCCCUCGCACCUACACAAAACAAAUAAAUCCUCGCAACCAACGCGAUAAGGGGUUGUCAAUCCCUACACGGUCACUUACGAGAGUGAGAUCUGAUAGAUAUGAUACGAUAAUAUUUUUGGUAUUUUUGUGAUAAAGAUGCAAAGUAAAAUAAAAGCAAAGUAAAACGCAAUGGAAAUAACUAAGUGUUGGAAGAUUAAUAUGAUGAAGAUAGACCCGGGGGCCAUAGGUUUCACUAGUGGCUUCUCUCAAGAGCAUAAGUAUUUUACGGUGGGUGAACAAAUUACUGUUGAGCAAUUGAUAGAAUUGAGCAUAGUUAUGAGAAUAUCUAGGUAUGAUCAUGUAUAUAGGCAUAAUGUCCGAGACAAGUAGACCGACUCCUGCCUGCAUCUACUAUUAUUACUACACACAUCGACCGCUAUCCAGCAUGCAUCUAGAGUAUUAAGUUCAUAAGAACAGAGUAACGCUUUAAGCAAGAUGACAUGAUGUAGAGGGAUAAAUUCAUGCAAUAUGUUAAAAAACCCAUUUUGUUAUCCUCGAUGGCAACACUACAAUACGUGCCUUGCUGCCCCUACUGUCACUGGGAAAGGACACCGCAAGAUUGAACCCAAAGCUAAGCACUUCUCCCAUUGCAAGAAAGAUCAAUCUAGCAGGCCAAACCAAACUGAUAAUUCGAAGAGACUUGCAAAGAUAACCAAUCAUACAUAAAAGAAUUCAGAGAAGAUUCAAAUAUUGUUCAUAGAUAAACUUGAUCAUAAACCCACAAUUCAUCGAUCUCAACGAACACACCGCAAAAGAAGAUUACAUCGAAUAGAUCUCCACGAGAGAGGGGGAGAACAUUGUAUUGAGAUCCAAAAAGAGAGAAGAAGCCAUCUAGCUAAUAACUAUGGACCCGGAGGUCUGAGGUAAGCUACUCACACAUCAUCGGAGAGGCUAUGGUGUUGAUGUAGAAGCCCUCCGUGAUCGAUGCCCCCUCCGGCGGAGCUCCGGAACAAGCCCCAAGAUGGGAUCUCGUGGGUACAGAAGGUUGCGGCGGUGGAAUUAGGUUUUUGGCUCCGUAUCUGAUCGUUUGGGGGUACGUAGGUAUAUAUAGGAGGAAGGAGUACGUCGGUGGAGCAACGUGGGGCCCACGAGGGUGGAGGGCGCGCCCAGGGGGGUAGGCGCGCACCCCUACCUCGUGGCUUCCUGGAAGCUUCCUUUACGUACGGUCCAAGUCUCCUGGAUCAUGUCCGUUCCGAAAAUCACGUUCCCGAAGGUUUCAUUCCGUUUGGACUCCGUUUGAUAUUCUUUUUUCUGCGAAACUCUGAAAUAGGCAAAAAACAACAAUUCUGGGCUGGGCCUUCGGUUAAUAGGUUAGUCCCAAAAAUAAUAUAAAAGUGAAUAAUAAAGUCCAAUAAUGUCCAUAACAGAAGAUAGUAUAGCAUGGAGCAAUCAAAAAUUAUAGAUACAUUGGAGACGUAUCAGGAUCCAGGGAGGUUGAGCAGCCAGGCGCGCGGCUCGCCGGCGAGGGCCAUGGGAACCAGUUGGCCACGACCUUGUCGUUGCCUCCGGCUUUGAGGACAGCCUCCUCGUAGGCCAGCAGGAAUGGCGACGGGUCUGCCGCGCCGUCGUAACGCGACAUCAUCUCUGGCUUGAACUUGGUUGGCCACCGCACUUGCCGUAGGGCGGGGGCCAGGGCUCGGUACCCAGACGCCCCACCGUCGAUGUCGGCCGCAGAGGUGGAUGGCGGGGCACCUGCCAUGGGGGCGAAGUGCGGCGACGCGGGGUACAGGUUGGUGGAGAGGAGCUCCGGCGCACCCCUACCUGGCGCGCCAAAUGACGGAUGUGGGGUUCCGGCAAACCCUUAAGGUUUGAACACUGGGGUGCACGCGAAGUCUUUCCCUCCUACCGAUCGACACCCUAGCUCGCUAAGAUUUCACGGACGAACUCGACAAACUUGCAACACAGAAAGACACGAGAUUUAUACUGGUUCAGGCCACCGUUGUGGUGUAAUACCCUACUCCAGUGUGGUGAUGGUGGAUUGCCUCUUGGGCUGAUGGUGAACAGUACAAGGGAAGAACAACCUCCUGAGGUUGAGGUGUUCUUAUGCUUAGUGACUUAGCGGGUGAGAGCGGGUGAACUGCUCAAUCGGAUUCUCCUACCCCUCUACUGUGGUGGCUAGCCCUACUUAUAUAGGCCCUGGUCCUCUUCCCAAAUAUUGAGCGGGAAGGGAGCCAACAACGGCGGGCAAAUUUGAACGGGGACAACUAGUACAAGCUAUCCUGACAAAAGCGGUCUUCGCCUGCGAAAAGCUCUGUGGUGACGCCGUGUUGGGCUCCACGAUGACCUCCGUCUUGCCGUCCUUCUGGUCUUGGUCUCGUUGCACCGAUAUGGCAACCUUUGCUUGAGGCCUCGGUACUCCUCGCCUGCGCUGGCCUCCUUAGCACCAAAAAGGAAACAAGGACGCUGCGCGCUGGCGCCCGCCUGGUGUCGAUCGUCACGGCUCACGUCACGAGAGCCUCGUGAGGUUUGCCUCGCCUUGAUAUCUCCGCUCCUCGUGAGCCUGCCUGACUAGGCCACUCUCGAGGAGGUCUUGCGUCGUCCGCCUCGCGAGGCUUGGCCCCUCGCGAGGGUCUUGGAUGCUUUGUUGAUGAAGAUGGGCCGUACGGCCUGCUGGCUUAGCCACGCCGUGGGCCGCAGGCAGGCAAGUCUGGGGACCCCCGUUCCCAGAACGGCGACAACACUCUAUAGCGACAUGAAUGUGGACAGCUGGCGACGGGUGAGAACACGCGCGGGUAGGGAGGAGGGGGUUUGGAUGGGUCAGGACAGUUAGAAGCGGGCGUGACAGCGAUCUAGACUGCCGCAAAGCACCCCGCGUUUAUCUCUCGUUUGCGGGAGAAAACGCAUCCGGACUGCCAGACGAAUCGAUACAUGCCCGCGUUAGAUAGUUUUCGUGGUCCGGACGUAUGCGGAUGGUUUACGGGUCUCCUUUGAAGAUGCCGUUAGGAAGCUUCCCAAAUCUAUGAAAUUGGUUGGGUAUGUGCUUACUGCCCAAGGAGUACCACAGUCCACAGUGCAGUACAAUAGUGUCGUAGGGGCCCAAUCCCCAAUCCCCAACCCUCAGCCGCGCCGCGUCGCGCGGCAUUUACUCCAGAACUCAGGUACCCGUGUCUGAGGAGCAGCGCUUACAUCUAAGCAGGCAGAAAUUCUUGGUGAAAUGAAAUCUGCCAAGCUACAAAUAGUUUAGAUAGACAGACAGACAGACAGAUGAAUCUUCCACUAACAGCUAGCUUCAGCAGUGUGCAGUGCACAUGCCCUGGGUUUUACAGGGUGGGUCGACAGAGAAGUACUCUACCAUUAACGGACGGGUGACCUGGCAGACACAAUAAGUUAACGAAGCGGCCACCCGAUGGGUGGAUCCAUCCAUGGUUCACCUUCUUGUGGAGGCCAUUGAAUUCCGGUGUUCCCUCCCCAGAGAGACACCAUGGAAGAUGAAACACAAAAUUAACUCUGAGAUGAGAUGAGAUGGAUCGGAGCAGCAGGUGAAGUACAUGGAUUUCGACUUGGCUUCCUCCUGCCGGCUCCUCCAAGCGAAGUUAGUCGAUCGGCCAGUACAGGGAUCACUUCACUGUUGCUUGCUAGUUACCACGGGAGUUACCGCUGCUGGGCACUAGUGACGGCCGGUGAAAUGUUCUUGUGUACCUGCAGCUCAUUGAAUCCAGCAUCUGCCUUACGGCUGCACGCCUGCACAUAUUGGUGCUACUGUAUUAUACAGCACGGCUGCACGGAGCACGUACGCGCGCACUUCUGAACUGUCAGCUCCUCCGUCUAAAUUCAGGCUUCAGUAAGGUAGUACUCCCUCCGUCCGGAAAUACUUAUCAUCAAGAUAAAAAAAGGAGAUGUCUCGAGACGUAUUUUUAUCCAUUUUAAUGACAAGUAUUUCCGGACGGAGGGAGUAGUAGUUACGAAAAUGCUAAAUGGAGCUGGAGCCCUUUAUUUUGAAUUUUUUGAAAAUCCUGUUUUUGAAGUUUUAAAAACAUAAAAAAGAAUUCACACACGUCCAUACAUAUGUUUAGUACAGUACAUGUGUGUAAAAUUUGAAGAUGAUAUACAAUAUAGUGGGAGCUAUACAAAAAGGAGGAAAUCGUGAUUUUGAAAUGGUGAACAGUACAUCCACUGUUCACUACUCCCUCAGUUCCUAAAUAUUUAUCUUUCUAGAGAUUUCAAAUAAACUAUCACAUACGAAUGUAUAUAGACAUAUUUUAGAGUGUAGAUUCACUCAUUUUGCUUCGUAUGCCUCUAGAAAUACAAAUAUUUAAAAACGGAGGGAGUAUAAAAAAUGCACCAACUUAUAAUUUUUGGGUAGCUCUCACCGUCGGACUUUACACACGUGUAAACACACAACAAUAUGGACAUGUAUGAUUUUCUUUCAGAGUUAUUUGGAACUUAAAAAUAUGAUUUUUCAAAAAUUCAAAAAACCAGCUCCGUGGAGCUCGUCCUCCAAAUUCCCUAUCUAUUCCAUUUUUACCAUAGUAAUACUAUCAUUUUUUUUGGUCAAGACCUUUUUACUAACACAUUUUGGUCGUGUUUGAAAAUGGAAAAGUGCGUUGGCACAUGUCUGUCGCGAAACUCGUGGACCUGCACGUCGACGUCGCUGCAUGGGCUAAAGAAGCUAAAGUAGCUGACUACUCCUACCUACAACGAAAACGACCGUUUACGAGGUUCCGGUCCUUAAUUACCUAAAAAUAAAAGCCUAUUGCUUCUUACCAUGGUAAUUUCGUCCAUCCACUUCCUCUGUUGGUCGAGAGCCGCCCUGCACUGUUGAUGGCCCCACCCCAGGGUGCGGUGCUGCGCUCCCCCAGCAUCAAGGCGCGGGCCGCCCGGGCCUCCUCGUCGCCCGCCGAUGUCGUCGUGCAGGAGGGCACGAUCUCGAACCCUUUUGGCAGCUCCGCGUUGUCACCCCAAUAGGGGUCGCGCUCGCGGUUUGACACGGAAGGCUUGAAAUGACCGCCUUCGAUGCCGGCGGCGUCACCACGUGCUCCGGAGUCACCUUGGGCGUAUCGGGGGCUGGGCGCCCAGACCCACGGGUGGCUCCCGCACUGGCUGCAGGGACCUCCGCCGCAGCGGGAGCGGCGUGCUGAGGAGGGUUUGGCGUCGCCCCCUUCCUCCGUCGUGUCGACCCCCGCGGCGGGGGGCUGCCUCAGGAGGCACCGCCGGAGGGGACUUGGGGGAGUGGCCUCGCCCCGCUCAGGGGGGUCGCCUCCGCGCGCUCGCGGAUGAGCGCCUCCCGAUCAUCUGCGGCCUCGCCCUCGCUCUCGAGUCGCAGCUAGGCCUCCUCGCUGCCCCUCGCCAGGGUCGCCGCUGGGCCGGGUGUGUCGGCAUGGCAGGGGAGGUGGCCUUCUGGGGAGGGGAAGGCGCCUCAACCUCGGUCUUUUUCUUCUUAUGGCCUUCUCCUCGGCGGCCAGCUAGGGGUACCUGCAUGGGCGAAAGCCCGUCAGGGACGCAGUAACCAGGAAGCAGGAGUCAAGAGGUGGGGCGGAUGAGCUUACUCAUCCUUGGGAUUUCAGCGCCUCCUCUUCCGCUCCCUGACGACGUCGCUGCUGCUGCUCCCCCCUUUGCGAAGUGUGCCUGGGCGGCCGCCCGAGGACGCGACGUAGGCCCUGUCGACAUCGGUGGGUGUGGUGGUCUCCACCGCCCACCUCGAGAGGCUCAUCGACCUCCGCGGCACCGCCUACUCCACCCCUCGCCUGCGCGGGCUUGGCCGGCACAAUGUGGAACUCGUCCCCGUUGUUCUCGCCCAGCCGGAGCCGGCGGUGCACCGACGGGGACGAUUCCUCACUGCUCUCCUCCCCAGAGAGGGAGGCCUCGUGGUCGAGGCGGACUCCAUCUCUGAGGAAUCCUCGUGAAGCUCCUCGGGCUCCUCGAGCUCCGUUCGGAUGAGCCCCCACUGGUCGAAUUGUGGCAUCGCCGCGACGAGCGCGUCCUUGUUGGCCCAGUGGUGCAACGGGCGCGCAUUGUAGGCCAUCUCCUCUGCCUCUCCUGGAAACAAGACUUCCCAAGUUCGGUCACCGCUUCGGUCGAAAUGCGCCCAUGUGCUAGCCGGAUACGGUCUUUGGCUCCGGUGAUCUCCCACACCGGGUGCGAGCUCCUCUGCAGAGGCGCGAUGCGAUGGCUGAGAAACUCCUUGGCGGCCAUGCCAGCCUUCUCAUGCCAGGAUCGGCCCCAAGGCAGCGCCACCGAGCUUCUUGUGCUCCCAGCGGGGGGUCUUCUAGGACAGUGCGGUCGGGAUAGCUAGGAGAGGGCUGACCCGCGUGGCAUCAACAAAAACCCAGCGCGAUGCGGAAGGAGGCGCCUCCGGAGGAGAAAACCCGCAGGCUAUAAAAGGUUCGGAAGAGCGCCACCGACGACAUCACUCCUAGGAAGGCCUCGCAGAGGUACGCAAAGAGAGCGAUGACGAGGAUGGAGUUGGGGUGAAGGUGAAGGAUACAAAUCUCGUAAUGCUACAAGAUGGCGAGGAGGAAGUCAGAGAAGGGUGGUACCAACCGGGCGAAGAGCGAGUGGAAGAAAACGGGGACCACCAUGGGCCGGAGGUUGCACCGCUGGUGCGAGCUCGCCCAGAUCUCGGUGGCGCCUCCCUCAUAGUGCAAGCAGGCCAGUAGGGGGCGAACCCUGGCCAGCCCGCUCUCGCUGGUGAUGGUGGACGACAGAAAGGACGGACCGAGCUCCACCACCCUCUCGUCGUCGAUGCGGAAGGAGGCGCCUACCGUGGAGAAAACCCAUUGGUUAUAAAAGUUUCAGAAGAGCGCCACCGACGGCAUCACACCUAGGAAAGCCCCGCAGAGGUACGCGAAGAGAGCGAGGACGAGGAUGGAAUUGGGGUGAAGGUGAAGGAUACGAAUCUCGUAAUGCUCCAAGAUGGCGAGGAGGAAGUCAGAGAAGGGUGGCACCAACCAGGCGAAGAGCGAGUGGACGAAGACGGGGACCACCAUGGGCCCGAGGUCGCGACGCGGGUGCGCGCCGGCCCAGAUCUCGGUGGCGCCUCCUCAUAGUGCAAAGAGGCCAGCAGGGGGCAAACCCUGUCCAGCCCGCUCUUGCUGGUGAUGGUGGACGGCAGCAAGGCCGGGCCGAGCUCCACCACCAGGGCACUCCCGCUGGAGGAGGCCUCGGCGGUUGUAGGCUUCUUGUCAGAGGCCAUGGCGAUGGAGAGAGAUUGGAAGUUGGAGGAGAAGGAACAGAGGAGCUGCUCAUACGCAAGACGAAGGGCCAGAUGGAGACGGGGAGCAAUGAUGUGUGAUACAUCUCCAACAUAUCUAUAAUUUUUGCUUGUUCCAUGCUAUUAUAUUAUCAUUCUUGGAUGUUCUACAAUCAUUUUAUGGCAACUUUAUAUCAUUUUUGGGACUAACCUAAUGACAUAGUGCCCAGUGCCAGUUGCUGUUUUUUUCUUGUUUCUUCUUCGUAGAAAAUCAAUACCAAACGGAGUCCGAGCACAGGGAAAAAAUUUGGACAAUUUUUCUAGACCAGAAGGAACAACAUAGGCCAAAGAAGUACCAGAGGGGUGCCCCAAGGGGGGCACAACCCACCUGGGCGAGCCUAGGGGCCCAGGCGCGCCGCAAGUUCCAGAACCACCAGAUCCAAUCUAGACACAAUCACGGAGGGGUUUGUCAUCCUCAUUGGUGCCUCUCCGAUGAUGUGUGAGUAGUUCAUUGUAGACCUACGGGUCCGUAGGCAGUAGCUAGAUGGCUUCCUCUCUUUCUCUUUUGAUCCUCAAUACAAUGGUCUCUUGGAGAUCUAUUUGAUGUAACUCUUUUUGCGCUGUGUUUGUUGGGAUCCGAUGAACUUUGAGUUUAUCGUCAGAUCUAUUUUAUCCAUGAAUGUUAUUUGAGUUUUGAUCUCUUAUAUGCAUGAUUACUUAUAGCCUCGUAUUUCUUUUUCAAAUCUUUGGUUUAGUUAGGCCAACUAGAUUGAUUUUUCUUGCCAUGGGAAGAGGUGCUUUGAGAUGGGUUCGGUCGUGCGGUGUUCUUUUACCCGGGAGGGAUUGAAAACCCUCUUACGCGUCGGGUUGCAAGUAUUUGUUCUUUGUGUGCAGGUACUGUUUACAUAGUGUUGCCUCGUUCUCCUACUGGUUCGAUAACCUUGGUCUCAUCACUGAGGGAAAUACAUACCGUAGAUGUGCUGCAUCAUCCCUUCCUCCUCGGGGAAAAUACUAACACGGACACGAGCCAUCAAGAAAGAAUUUCUGGCACCGUUGCCGGGGAGACAUCAUCAACAACUAUCAGGUUCCUAAUCACAAAUAUCAUCUCCUUGCAAUUUACAUCAUUUGUCAUUUGCCUCUCGUUUUCGUCUCCCCCACUUAAAAAAAAUUUGCCGUUUUAUUCGCCAUCUUUUUCAUUCGCCGUUUUCUCGUCAGAUCUAUUUUUGGGUGCGAUUUUGUUUGCCACUUCUUGUCGUUAUGGAUAGUUCUUCCUCUAUUUCGUGCACCCCAAAAAACGAGGUUCUUAAUUUCAAACAAAGGGGAGGGGAGAAUAUAAAAGAUGCUUAGUAUAGGAUUUGCAAUGCUCAUAAUAGAUCUAUUCGUAAGCAAUCUACCAUUGUUCUUCUUCGUUGUUUUUAUGUGGGCAUGACCACUUGGUAUAGAUUCGUCCUUGAUACGAUUACCAGUGGGAAUUUCUUGAUGUGUCCUUCUCUUGAUGCUUUUAAUGCUAUGGGAAAUUUAGUGGGUUCACCGCCUCUUAUGAUUAAUGAAACAACUUUAACUCUUUAGAGAGUCAAAAGGAAUUGGUCAAUUGCAUGGUUAGUCAUAAAAUCCUACGUAAAACUUAUGGAUCACUAAAUAUGAUAUGUUUGAUUCCUUGCAAUAGUUUUGCAAUAUAGAGAUGAUAAUAUGAGGGAGGUACUAGUAAAUGGUUAUGUUUAGUAGGAAUAUUGGUGUUAAGGUUUGUGAUUCCCGAAGCAUGCACGUAUUGUCUCUUGUUAUGCUAUGAAGUUGGAGCAUGAUUUAUUAUUGAUUGUCUUCCUUAUGAGUGGCGGUCGGGGACGAGCGAUGGUCUUUUCCUACCAAUCUAGCCCCUUAGGGGCAUGCGUAGUAGUACUUUGCUUUGAGGGAUAAUAAACUUUUGCAAUAAGUAUAUGAGUUCUUUAUGACUAAUGUGAGUCCAUGCAUGGAUUAUACGCACUCUUACCUUUCCGCAAUUUGCCAGCCUCUACGGUACUGUGCAUUGCCCUUUCUCACAUAACUUCGCAGGUGCAUCCAAACUGUGAUAUGAUACGCUCUAUCACACAUAAGCCUUAUUAUAUCUUCCUCAAAAUAGCCAUCAUACCUACCUAUUAUGGCUUUUCUAUGGCCAUUCCGAGAUAUAUUGCCAUGCAACUUCCACCGCUUCCGUUUGAUGACUUGAGCAUUCAUUGUCAUAUUGCUUUGCAUGAUCAUAUAGCUGACAUAGUAGUUGCGGCUCAGCCACCGUUCAUCAUUUUUUCAUACAUGUUAUGCUAGAUCAUUGCACAUCCUGGUACAUGCCAGAGGCAUUCAUAUAGAGUCAUACUUUGUCAUAGGUAUCGAGUUGUAAUUUUUAUUUCUUUUGAGUUAUAAGUAAAUAGAAGUGUGAUGAUCAUCAUUAUUCAUUUUGAGAGCAGUGCCCCAGUGAGGAAAGGAUGAUGGAGACUAUGAUUCCCCCACAAGUCGAGAUGAGACUCCGGACAAUGAGAGUAAAAAGAAAAAAUAAAAAAAUAAAAAAGAAAGAAAAAAGACAGAAAGAAAAAGAAAGAAAGAAAAAAAACAAAGAGAGAAGGGGCAUUGUUAGUAUCCUUUACCACACUUGUGCUUCAAAGUAACACCAUGUUUUUCAUAUGGAGAGUCUCCUAUGUUGUCACUUUCAUAUACUAGUGGGAAUUUUUCAUUAUAGGAUUAGAUGCACACCCACUUAGUUUCAUAUUGAGCUUUCAUACACUUAAAGCUCUUAGUGCAUUCGUUGCAUGGCAAUCCCUACUCCUCAUGUUGAUAUCAAUUGAUGGGCAUCUUCAUAGCCCGUUGGUUAGCCGCGUCGAUGUGAGACUUUCUUACUUUUUUGUCUUCUUUAUGUUUACCCCUAUCAUCAUACCCUAUUCCACCUAUAGUGCUAUAUCCAUGGCUUGCGCUCAUGUAUUGCGUGAGGGUUAAAAAAUCUGAAGCGCGUUAAAAAGUAUGAACGAAUUGCUCGGCUUGUCAUCGGGGUUGUGCAUGAUAAAUACUUUGUGUUAAGAAGACAGAGCAUGACAAGACCAUAUGAUUUUGUAGGGAUAACUUUCUUUAGCUUUGAUAUUUUGAAAGAUGUGAUUGUUUGUUGGGAUGCCUGAGUAUUGAUGUCUUUAUGUCAAAUUAUAGACUAUUGCUUUGAAUCACUUGUGUCUUAAUAUUCAUGUCAUGAUUAGAUAUAUGAUCAAGUUUAUGCUAGGUAGCAUUCCACAUCAAAAAUUAUCUUUUUUAUCAUUUACCUGCUCGAGGACGAGCAGGAAUUAAGCUUGGGGAUGCUGAUAUGUCUAUGGAGUAUCUAUAAGUUCUGAUUGUUUCAUGCCAAUAUUAUACAACUUUUAUACACUUUUGGCAACUUUUUAUAUGAUUUAUUGGACUAACCUAUUGAUCUAGUGCCCAGUGCCAGUUCCUGUUUUCUGCAUGUUUUUUGUAUCGCAGAGUAUCCAUAUCAAACGAAGUCCAAAUGCACUAAAAUUUCAUGGAGAAUUAUUUUGGAAUAUAUGUGAUUUUUGCGAGUUGGAAUCACCGCAAACGGAGGCCCACAUAGCCCACAAGACACCAGGGCGCGCCAGAGGCCCCUGGUGUUCCGUGGUGGGUUGUGCCCUCCUCGAAUGUCGGUUGGGGCUCUACUUCUGGCGCAAGGAAUCUUAUAUCCAAAAAAAUCGUGUUCAAAUCUCAGCGCAAUCAGAGUUAUGGAUCUCCCGGAAUAUAAGAAACGGUUUUCGGCCAGAUCUAGGAGCGCGAAACAGAAGAGAACAGAGAGGGAGAUCCAAUCUCGGAGGGUUUCCCGCCCCUCCGCCGCCAUGGAGACCAAGGACCAGAGGGGGAACUCUCCUCCCCAUCUAGGGGGGAGGCCAAGGAUGAAGAAGAAGUAGGGGGGCUCUCUCCCCCUCGCUUCUGGUGGCGCCGGAGUGCCACCGGGGGCAACGAUCGGGACGACGAUCUACAUCAACAAUCUUGCUACCGUCAACACUAACUUUUUCCCCUUCUAUGCAGCGGUGUAACACCUCUUCCCCCCGCUGUAAUCUCUACUUAAACAUGGUGCUCAACUCCAUAUAUUAUUUCCCAAUGAUCUAUGGUUAUCCUAUGAUGUUUGAGUAGAUCUGUUUUGUCCUGUGGGUUAAUCGUGAUCUUGGUUGGUAUGAUUGUAUAUUUUAGUUAUGGUGCUAUCCUACGGUGCCCUCCGUCUCGCGCAAAUGUGAGGUGCCCUUGCUGUAGGGUGUUGCAAUAUGUUCAUGGUUCGCUUAUGGUGGGUUGCGAGAGUGACAGAAACUUAAACCCGAGUAGGUGGGGUAUGACGUAUGGGAAUAAAGGGGAGUUGAUACUUAAUGCUAUGGUUGGGUUUCACGACCUUAAUGAUCUUUAGUAGUUGCGGAUGCUUGCUAGAGUUCCAAUCAUAAGUGCAUAUGAUCCAAGUAGAGAAAGUAUGUUAGCUCAUGCCUCUCCCUCAUAUAAAAUUGCAAGAAUGAUUACCGGUACUUGUUAUCGAUUGCCUAGGGAAAAAUAACUUUCUUGUUGACAAAAGCUCUCUACUAAAACUAAAUUAGUUGUGUCUAUAUCAAAACAGCCCCUAGAUUUUAUUUACGUGCUCUUUAUUAUCUUGCAAACCUAUCAUAUCACACCUACAAAGUACUUCUAGUUUCAUACUUGUUUCCGGUAAAGCGAACAUCAAGUGUGCGUAGAGUUGUAUCGGUGGUCGAUAAAACUUGAGGGAAUAUUUGUUCUACCUUUAGCUCUUCCUUCGGUUUGACACUCUUACUUAUCGAAAGAGGCUACAAUUGACCCCCUAUACUUGUGGGUUAUCAACCACACACGGCUAAGAGAACAAUUGAUGUGCCUUUGGGGUGCCCCCCCGCCCCCGUAUAUAAAGGAGGGGAGGAGGAGGUGGCCGGCCCUAGGGGUGGCGCGCCAUGGGGGGAGUCCUACUAGGACUCCACUCCUAGUAGGAUUCGGCCCCCCUCUUCCUUCCAUAGGAGAGGGGAAAGGGGAAAGAGGGGGAGAGGGAGAAGGAAAGGGGGGUCGCGCCCCCACCCCUUGUCCAAUUCGGAUUGGCCAUGGGGGGGUGCCACCUCUUGUGGCCUCCCUCCCUCUCUCCACUAUGGCCCAUGAGGCCCAUUAACUUUCCCGGGGGGUUCCGGUAACCUCCCGGUACUCCGAAAAAUCCCUGAACCUCUUCGGAAUCAUUCCGGUGUCCGUAUAUAACCUUCCAAUAUAUCAAUAUUUACCUCUCGACCAUUUCGAGACUCCUCGUCAUGUCUGUGAUCUCAUCCGGGACUCCGAACAAACUUCGGUCACCAAAACACAUAACUCAUAAUACAAAUCGUCAUUGAACGUUAAGCGUGCGGACCCUACGGGUUCGAGAACUAUGUACACAUGACUGAGACACAUCUUCGGCCAAUAACCAAUAGUGGAACCUGGAUGCUCAUAUUGGUUCCUACAUAUUCUACAAAUCUUUAUCGGUCAAACCGCAUGACAACAUACGUCAUUCCCUUUGUCAUCGGUAUGUUACUUGCCCGAGAUUCGAUCGUCGGUAUCCUCAUACCUAGUUCAAUCUGGUUACCGGCAAGUCUCUUUACUCGUUCCGUAAUGCAUAAUCCCGCAACUAACACAUUAGUCACAUUGCUUGCAAGGCUUAUAGUGAUGUGCAUUACCGACAGAGCCCAGAGAUACCUCUCCGAUACUCGGAGUGACAAAUCCUGAUCUUGAUCUAUGCCAACCCAACAAACCCCUUCGGAGACGCCUGUAGAGCAUCUUUAUAAUCACCCAGUUACGUUGUGAUGGUUGAUAGCACACAAGGUGUUCCUCCGGUAUUCGGGAGUUGCAUAAUCUCAUAGUCAGGGGAAUAUGUAUAUGUCAUGAAGAAAGCAAUAGCAAUAAAACUUAACGAUCAUUAUGGUAAGCUAACAGAUGGGUCUUGUCCAUCACAUCAUUCUCUAAUGAUGUGGUCCCGUUCAUCAAAUGGCAACACAUGUCUAUGGUCAGGAAACUUAACCAUCUUUGAUUAACGAGCUAGUCAAGUAGAGGCAUACUAGGGACACUUAGUAUUGUCUAUGUAUCCACACAUGUACUAAGUUUCCGGUUAAUACAAUUCUAGCAUGAAUAAUAAACAUUUAUCAGGAUAUAAGGAAAUAUAAAUAACAACUUUAUUGUUGCCUCUGGGGCAUAUUUCCUUCAGUCUCCCACUUGCACUAGAGUCAAUAAUCUAGAUUACAUAGUAAUGAUUCUAACACCCAUGGAGUCCUGGUGCUGAUCAUGUUUUGCUCGUGGAAGAGGCUUAGUCAACGGGUCUGCAACAUUCAGAUCCGUAUGUAUUUUGCAAAUCUCUAUGUCUCCCUCCUUGACUUGAUCGUGGAUGGAAUUGAAGCGUCUCUUGAUGUGUUUGGUUCUCUUGUGAAAUAUGGAUUCCUUCGCCAAGGCAAUUGCUCCAGUAUUGUCACCAAAGAUUUUUAUUGGACCCGAUGCACUAGGUAUUACACCUAGAUCGGAUAUGAACUCCUUCAUCCAGACUCCUUCAUUUGCUGCUUCCGAAGUAGCUAUGUACUCCGCUUCACACGUAGAUCCCGCCACGACGCUCUGCUUGGAACUGCACCAACUGACAGCUCCACCAUUCAAUAUAAACACGUAUCCGGUUUGUGACUUAGAGUCAUCGGAUCAGUGUCAAAGCUUGCAUCGAUGUAACCAUUUAUGACAAGCUCUUUGUCACCUCCAUAAACGAGAAACAUAUCCGUAGUCCUUUUCAGGUAUUUUAGGAUGUUCUUGAUCGAUGUCCAGUGAUUUACUCCUGGAUUACUUUGGUACCUCCCUCCUAACUUAUAGCAAGGCACACAUCAGGUCUGGUACACAACAUUGCAUACAUGAUAGAACCUAUGGCUGAGGCAUAGGGAAUGACUUUCAUUUUCUCUCUAUCUUCUGCAGUGGUCGGGCAUUGAGUCUGACUCAACUUCACACCUUGUAACACAGGCAAGAACCCUUUCUUUGACUGAUCCAUUUUGAACUUCUUCAAAACUUUAUCAAGGUAUAUGCUUUGUGAAAGUCCAAUUAUGUGUCUUGAUCUAUCUCUAUAGAUCUUGAUGCCCAAUAUAUAAGCAGCUUCACCGAGGUCUUAAUUUCAUUGAAAAAUUCUUAUUCAAGUAUCCUUUUAUGCUAUCAAAAAAUUCUAUAUGAUUUCCAAUCAACAAUAUGUCAUCCACAUGUAAUAUCAGAAAUGCUACAAAGCUCCCACUCACUUUCUUGUAAAUACAGGCUUCUCCAAAAGUCUGUAUAAAACCAUAUGCUUUGAUCACACUAUCAAAGCGUAUAUUCGAACUCCGAGAUGCCUGCACCAGUCCAUAAAUGGAUCGCUAGAGCUUGCACACUUUUUUAGCACUUUCAGGAUCGACAAAACCUUCCGGUUGCAUCACCUUUAAGAAAUCCAUUAAGGAACACGGUUUUGACAUCCAUUUGCCAAAUUUUGUAAUCAUAAAAUGCGGCAAUUUCUAACAUGAUUCAGACAGACUUAAGCAUCGCUACGGGUGAGAAGGUCUCAUCGUAGUGAACUCCUUGAACUUGUCGAAAACAUUUUGCAACAAGUCGAGCUUUGUAGACAGUAAUAUUGCCGUCAGCGUCAGUCUUCUUCUUGAAGAUCCAUUUAUUUUCGAUGGCUUGCCGAUCAUCGGGCAAGUCAAUCAAAGUACACACUUUGUUCUCAUACAUGGAUCCCUUCUCAGAUUUCAUGGCCUCAAGCCAUUUCGCGGAAUCUGGGCUCAUCAUCGCUUCCUCAUAGUUCUUAGGUUCGUCAUGGUCUAAUAACAUGACCUCCAGAAUAGGAUUACCGUACCACUCUGGUGCUGAACGUACUCUGGUUGACCUACGAGGUUUGGUAGUAACUUGAUCUGAAGUUUCAUGAUCAUCAUCAUUAACUUCCUCACUAAUUGGUGUAGGUAUCACUGGAACUGAUUUCUGUGAUGAACUACUUUCCAAUUCAGGAGAAGGUACAACUACCUCAUCAAGUUCUACUUUCCUCCCACUCACUUCUUUCGAGAGAAACUCCUUCUCUAGAAAGGAUGCAUUUUUAGCAACGAAUAUCUUGCCUUCGGAUCUGUGAUAGAAGGUGUACCCAAUAGUUUCCUUUGGGUUACCUAUGAAGACGCAUUUCUCCGAUUUGGGUUCGAGCUUAUCAGGUUGACGCAUUUUCACAUAAGCAUCGCAGCCCCAAACUUUAAGAAACGACAGCUUAGAUUUCUUGCCAAACCACAAUUCAUAUGGUGUCAUCUCAACGGAUUUAGAUGGUGCCCUAUUUAAUGUGAAUGCCGCCGUCUCUAAAGCAUAACACCAAAACGAUAGUGGUAAAUUGGUAAGAGACAUCAUAGAUCGUACCAUAUCUAAUAAAGUACGGUUACGACGUUCGGACACACCAUUACACUGUGGUGUUCCAGGUGGCGUGAGUUGCGAAACUAUUCCACAUUGUUUCAAAUGAGGACCAAACUCAUAAAUCAAAUAUUCACCUCCACGAUUAGAUCGUAGAAACUUUAUUUUCUUGUUACGAUGAUUUUCCACUUCACUCUGAAAUUCUUUGAACUUUUCAAAUGUUUCAGACUUAUGUUUUAUCAAGUAGAUAUACCCAUAUCUGCUCAAAUCAUCUGUGAAGGUCAGAAAAUAACGAUACUCGCCAUGAGCCUCAACACUCAUCGGACCGUAUACAUCAGUAUGUAUUAUUUCCAAUAAGUCAGUUGCUCGCUCCAUUGUUCCGGAGAACGGAGUCUUAGUCAUCUUGCCCUUGAAGCAUGGCUCGCAAGCAUCAAGUGAUUCAUAAUCAAGUGAUUCCAAAAGCCCAUCAGCAUGGAGUUUCUUCAUGCGCUUUACACCAAUAUGACCUAAACGGUAGUGCCACAAAUAAGUUGCACUAUCAUUAUUAACUUUGCAUCUUUUGGCUUCAAUAUUAUGAAUAUGUGUAUCACUACAAUCGAGAUUCAAAAAAAUAGACCACUCUUCAAGGGUGCAUGACCAUAAAGAUAUUACUCAUAUAAAUAGAACAACAAUUAUUCUCUGAUUUAGAUGAAUAACCGUCUCGCAUAAAAAAGAUCUAGAUAUAAUGUUCAUGCUCAACGCUGGCACCAAAUAACAAUUAUUCAGGUCUAAAACUAAUCUCGAAUGUAGAUGUAGAGGUAGUGUGCCGACCGUGAUCACAUCGACUUUGGAACCAUUUCCCACGCGCAUCGUCACCUCGUCCUUAGCCAAUCUUCAUUUAAUCCGUAGCCCCUGUUUCUAGUUGCAAAUAUGAGCAACAGAACCAGUAUCAAAUACCCAGGUGCUACUACGAGCAUUAUUAAGGUACACAUUAAUAACAUGUAUAUAAAAUAUACCUUUCACUUUGCCAUCCUUCUUAUCCGCCAAAUACUUGGGGCAGUUCCGCUUCCAGUGACCAGUCCCUUUGAAGUAGAAGCACUCAGUUUCAGGCUUAGGUCCAGACUUGGGCUUCUUCCCGGGAGUAGCAACUUGCUUGCUAUUCUUCUUGAAGUUCCCCUUCUUCCCUUUGCCCUUUUUCUUGAAACUAGUAGUCUUGUUAACCAUCAACACUUGAUGCUCCUUCUUGAUUUCUACCUCCGCAGUCUUUAGCAUCGCGAAGAGCUCGGGAAUUGUCUUUUCCAUCCCUUGCAUAUUAUAGUUCAUCACGAAGCCUUUGUAUCUUGGAUGCAGUGAUUGAAGAACUCUGUCAAUGACACUAUCAUCAGGAAGAUUAACUCCAAGCUGAGUCAAGUGGUUAUGGUACCCAUACAUUUUGAGUAUAUGUUCACUGACAGAACUGUUCUCCUCCAUCUUGCAGCUAUAGAACUUGUUGGAGACUUCAUAUCUCUCAAUUCGGGCAUUUGCUUGAAAUAUUAAUUUCAACUCCUGGAACAUCUCAUAUGCUCCAUGAUGUUCGAAACAUCUUUGAAGUCCCGAUUCUAAGCCGUAAAGCAUGGCACACUGAACUAUCGAGUAGUCAUCAGCUUUAGUCUGCUAGACGUUCAUAACGUCUGGAGUUGCUCCUGCAGCGGGCCUUGCACCUAGCGGUGCUUCUAGGACGUAAUUCUUCUGUGCAGCAAUGAGGAUAAUCCUCAAGUUACGGACCCAGUCCGUGGAGUUGCUACCAUCAUCUUUCAACUGAGCUUUCUGUAGGAACGCAUUAAAGUUCAAGGGAACGGUAGCACGGGCCAUUGAUCUACAACAACAUAGAUAUGCAAAAACUAUCAGGUACUAAGUUCAUGAUAAAUUAAAGUUCAAUUAAUCAUAUUACUUAAGAACUCCCACUUAGAUAGACAUCCCUCUAGUCAUCUAAAUGAUCACGUGAUCCAUAUCAACUAAACCAUGUCCGAUCAUCACGUGAGAUGGAGUAGUUUCAGUGGUGAACAUCUCUAUGUUGAUCAUAUCUACUAUAUGAUUCACGUUCGACCUUUCGGUCUCAAUGUUCUGAGGCUAUAUCUGCAUAUGCUAGGCUCGUCAAGUUUAACCUGAGUAUUCUGCACGUGCAAAACUGGCUUGCACCCGUUGAAUGUGAACGUAGAGCUUAUCACACCCGAUCAUCACGUUGUGUCUCGGCACGACGAACUGUAGCAACGGUGCAUACUCAGGGAGAACACUUAUACCUUGAAAUUUAGUGAGGGAUCAUCUUAUAAUGCUACCGUCGUACUAAGCAAAAUAAGAUGCAUAAAAGAUACACAUCACAUGCAAUCAAAAUAUGUGACAUGAUAUGGCCAUCAUCAUCUUGUGCCUUUGAUCUCCAUCUCCAAAGCACCGUCGUGAUCUCCAUCUUCACCGGCUUGACACCUUGAUCUCCAUCGUAGCGUCGUUCUCGUCUCGCCAACUAUUGCUUCUACAACUAUCGCUACUGCAUAGUGAUAAAGUAAAUCAAUUAUAUGGUGAUUGCAUUUCAUACAAUAAAGUGACAACUGAUACGUCUCCAACGUAUCUAUAAUUUUUUAUUGCUCCAUGCUAUAUUAUAUUCUGUUUUGGACAUUAUUGGGCUUUAUUAUACACUUUUAUAUUAUUUUUGGGACUAACCUAUUAACCGGAGGCCCAGCCCCGAAUUGUUGUUUUUUUUGCCUAUUUCAGAGUUUUGCAAAAAAAGAAUAUCAAACGGAGUCCAAACGGAAUGAAACCUUCGGGAACGUGAUCUAGAGGACUUGGACCCUACGUCAAGACAUCAACCAGGAAGGCACGAGGUAGGGGGGUGCGCCUACCCCCCCGGGCGUGCCCUCCACCCUCGUGGGCCCCAUGUUGCUCCACUGACGUACUUCUUCCUCCUAUAUAUACCUACGUACCCCAAACGACCAGAUAUGGAGCCAAAAACCUAAUUCCACCGCCGCAACAUUCUAUACCCGUGAGAUCCCAUCUUGGGGCCUUUUCCGGAGAUCCGCCGGAGGGGGCAUCGAUCACGGAGGGCUUCUACAUCAACACCAUAGCCUCUCUGAUGAUGUGUGAGUAGUUUACCUCAGACCUUCGGGUCCAUAGUUAUUAGCUAGAUGGCUUCUUCUCUCUUUUUGGAUCUCAAUACAAUGUUCUCCCCCUCUCUUUUGGAGAUCUAUUCGAUGUAAUCUUCUUUUGCGGUGUGUUUGUUGAGACUGAUGAAUUGUGGGUUUAUGAUCAAGUUUAUCUAUGAACAAUAUUUGAAUCUUCUCUGAAUUCUUUUUUGUAUGAUUGGUUAUCUUUGCAAGUCUCUUCGAAUUAUCAGUUUGGUUUGGCCUACUAGAUUGAUCUUUCUUGCAACGGGAGAAGUGCUUAGCUUUGGGUUCAAUCUUGCGGUGUCCUUUCCCAGUGACAGUAGGGGCAACAAGGCACGUAUUGUAUUGUUGCCAUCGAGGAUAACAAGAUGGGGUUUAUAUCAUAUUGCAUGAGUUUAUCCCUCUACAUCAUGUCAUCUUACUUAAAGCGUUAAUCUGUUCUUUUGAACUUAAUACUCUAGAUGCAUGCUGGAUAGCGGUCGAUGUGUGGAGUAAUAGUAGUAGAUGCAGGCAGGAGUCGUUCUACUUGUCUCGGACGUGAUGCCUAUAUACAUGAUCAUACCUAGAUAUUCUCAUACCUAUGCUCAAUUCUAUCAAUUGCUCAACAGUAAUUUGUUCACCCACCGUAAUAUUUAUGCUCAUGAGAGAAGCCACUAGUGAAACCUAUGGCCCCCGGGUCUAUUUUCCAUCAUAUUAAUCUUUCAGCACUUAGCUAUUUCUGGCGCCGUCUUCAUUUUGCUUUCUUUACUUUGCAUCUUUAUCAUAAAAUACCAAAAAUAUUAUCUUAUCGUAUCUAUCAGAUCUCACUCUCAUAAGUGACCGUGAAGGGAUUGACAACCCCUUUAUUGCGUUGGUUGCGAGGAUUUAUUUGUUUGUGUAGGUGCGAGGGACUCGUGCGUGGCCUCCUACUGGAUUUAUACCUUGGUUCUCAAAAACGGAGGGAAAUACUUACGCUACCUUGCUGCAUCACCCUUUCCUCUUCAAGGGAAAACCAACGCAGUGCUCAAGAGGUAGCAAGAAGGAUUUCUGGCGCCGUUGCCGGGGUGUCUACGCAAAAUUCAACAUACCAAGUACCCAUCACAAACCCUUAUCUCCCGCAGGAUUUGCCCCCCCCUCUUCCUUCCAACGGAUAGGGGAAAGGGGAAAGAGGGAGAGAGGGAGAAGGAAAGGGGGCCCGCGCCCCCACCCCUUGUCCAAUUCAGAUUGGCCAUGGGCGGGGGGGGGGGGGGGCGCCACCACUUGUGGCCUACCUCCCUCUCUCCACUAUGGCCCAUGAGGCCCAUUAACUUUCUCGGGGGGUUCUGGUAACCUCCCGGUACUCCGAAAAAUCCACGAACCUCUUCGGAACCAUUCCGGUAUCCGUAUAUAACCUUACAAUAUAUCAAUCUUUACCUCUCGACUAUUUCGAGACUCCUCGUCAUGUCCGUGAUCUCAUCCGGGACUCCGAGCAAACUUUGGUCACCAAAACACAUAACUCACAAUACAAAUCGUCAUGGAACCUUAAGCGUGCAGACCCUACGGGUUCAAGAACUAUUUAGACAUGAUCGAGACACAUCUCCGGUCAAUAACAAAUAGUGGAACCUGGAUGCUCAUAUUGGUUCCUACAUAUUCUAUGAAGAUCUUUAUCGGUCAAACUGCAUGACAACAUACGUCAUUCCCUUUGUCAUCGGUAUGUAACUUGCCCGAGAUUCCAUCGUCGGUAUACUGAUACCUAGUUCAAUCUCGUUACCGGCAAGUCUCUUUACUCAUUCCGUAAUGCAUCAUCCCGCAACUAAAUCAUUAGUCACAUUGCUUGCAAGGCUUAUAGUGAUGUGCAUUGCCGAGAGGGCUCAGAGAUACCUCUCCGAUACUCGGAGUGACAAAUCCUAAUCUUGAUCUAUGCCAACCCAACAAACACCUUCAGAGACACCUGUAGAGCAUCUUAAUAGUCACCCAGUUAUGUUGUGACAUUUGAUAGCACACAAGGUGUUCCUCCGGUAUUCGGGAGUUGCAUAAUCUCAUAGUUAGAGGAAUAUGUGUAUGUCAUGAAGAAAGCAAUAGCAAUAAAACUUAACUAUCAUUAUGCUAAGCUAACGGAUGGGUCUUGUCGAUCACAUCAUUCUCUAAUGAUGUGAUCCCAUUCAUCAAAUGACAACACAUGUCUAUGGUCAGGAAACUUAACCAUCUUUGAUUAACGAGCUAGUCAAGUAGAGGCAUACUAGGGACACUUAGGAUUGUCUAUGUAUUCACACAUGUACUAAGUUUCUGGUUAAUACCAUUCUAGGAUGAAUAAUAAACAUUUAUUGUGAUAUAAGGAAAUACAAAUAACAACUUUAUUAUUGCCUCUAGGGCACAUUUCCUUCAGAUGCCCCAUGGCACCCCAAGUUAUUAUCGAAAGAGAAACAAGCAACUAAGCUUGGGGAUGCCCCCGGGUGGCAUCCCCUCUUUCUUCUAACGAUCAUCGGUAUUCUACUUGGAGCUACAUUUUUAUUCGUCACAUAUCACGAGUUUUACUUGGAGCGUCUUGUAUUAUUUGAGUCUUUGCUUGUUUUUCUUUUUAGUUUGUGUCAUAUAUCCUUGCUGGGCACACCUAUUUGAGGGAGCCAAAAUUGUGCUAUGAUUUGUUAGAAUUGCUCUUUAUGAUUCACUUAAAUAUUUUUGAGCUAUGGAAUUGCUCUAGUGCUUCACUUAUAUAUUUUUGAGCAUGGUGUGCUUUAGUAUUUUUGAAGAAACGCUCUCAUGAUUCACUUAGAUUUAUUUGCGAGUUUGUAAAAUUUUGAAGAAAUUCUCUCAUGCUUCACUUAUAUUAUUUUAAGAGAAGAAAUUUUUUAUGCUCAUGUUCUUCACUUAGAUUUCUUUGAGCUAUCAACAGCAACAUACGAAAGUAGUCCCAAAGUGAUAGAUAUUCACGAGGGAUAUAAUAAAAACUUUGAUGAAGAUCAUUGGACAAAAUAAACUUGAUUCUUUGUAAGUUUUUCGAUAUGAUGAUAAUAAUAUGUGAGUCAUGUUGGUGAGUAAUUAUGCUUUAGUAAGAAUAUUGAUGUUAAGGUUUGUCAUUCCCUAUGCAAGCACGAAAGUCAAAUAGUUAUGCAAUGAAAUUACAUCCUACUUGUGGUGCAUUAUUCGGUCUUAGUUAUGCUUAAAGCUCGCUUAUGUGAUUUUUUGUUUCUUAGUUGGAUGCUUCUCAGUCUUUUUGCUAGCCUUCCCUUGCGCCAAGUGGGAAUACUACUUGUGCAUCCAAAACCCUUAAACCCAGUUUUGCCAUAUGAUUCCACCAUACCUACCUAUAUGCGGUAUUCUCUUUCCGUUCUAAGCAAAUUUGUAUGUGCCAUCUCUAAUUUUCAAAUUAAUUUUCUUUUUCUGUGCUCGUACCGCUCAUGCAUGAAACAGUAGGGGUGGUUGAUAUUUUGUCAAGCUAGAUGUAUUAUUCUCAAGAUGAGUGGUUAGUCACUUGUCAUUGCACAAGAGUACGACAAAGGUAUUAGAGAUGUCUAGUCCCGAAAUGAAAAAUGAAUUUACUUUAUGUUGUCAAAUAAUAAAUUCCUUGGAAAGUGUUGGUAUGGACGGCACCCGUGGAUACGGUUAGCCGUGGAAUGUGAAAGUUGUUGGGAAAUUUCAGAAAAAAAAUCCUACGCUCAAGCAAGAUCUAUCUAGGAGAUGCAUAGCAAUGAGAGGGGGAGAGUGUGUACACGUACCCUCAUAGACCGAAAGGGGAAGCGUUUGACAACGUGGUUGAUGUAGUCGAACCUCUUCUCAUUCCGGCCGAUCAAGCACCGAACGUACGACACCUCCGAGUUCUGCACACGUGCAGCUCGAUGACGUCCCUCGAACUCUUGAUCCAGCAAAGUGUCGAGGGAGAGUUCCGUCAGCACGACGGCGUGGUGACGGUGAUGGUGAAGUGAUCCAUGCAGGGCUUCGCCUAAGCACUAUGUGAAUAUGAACGGAGGCGUAAACUGUGGAGGGAGGCGCUGCACACUGCUAAUAGAUGUUGUUGUGUGUUCUAGGCGCCUCCCCCCUCAUAUAUAUAGGUGGGAGGGAGAGAGGGCAGCCAAGGGGGAGCCCAAGUAGGAGGAAUCCUACUUGGGGCCCUAAUCCUAUUUGCCCCCCUUACCAGAAUACCCGGAGGGGGAAGGAAGGAGGAGGGGGGAGAGAAGGAAGGGGGGCGUCGAAUCCCUCCCCUUCCUUUCUUUCAUAUCCUCUUUCCUUCCCACCUAUUUCGUCCUACAUGGGGUGCACAGGCCGCUUAGGGGCUGGUUUGUCCCACUCUUGGCCCAUUAGGCCCAUGUAGUUGCCGGGGGGUGCCCGGAACCCCUUCCGGUGACCCGAUAUGUACCCGGUACCCCCGGAACACUUCCGGUGUCCGAAUACCAUCAUCCUAUAUACCAAUCUUUACCUCUCGACCAUUUCGAGACUCCUUGUCAUGCCCGUGAUCUCAUAUGGGACUCUGAACAACAUUCGGUCACAAAAUCACAUAACUCAUAUAAUACAAAAUCGUCAUCGAACGUUAAGCGUACGGACCCUACGGGUUCGAAAACUAUGUAGACAUGACCAAGACACCUCUCCGGUCAAUAACCAACAGCGGAACCUGGAUGCUCAUAUUGGUUCCUACAUAUUCUAGGAAAAUCAUUAUCGGUCGUACCGCAGUGACAACAUACGUUAUUCCCUUUGUCAUCGGUAUGUUACUUGCCCGAGAUUCAAUCGUCGGUAUCUUCAUCCUAGUUCAAUCUCGUUACCGGCAAGUAUCUUUACUCAUUCCGUAAAACAUCAUUCGGCAACUAACUCAUUAGUCACAUUGCUUGCAAGGAUUAUUAUGAUGUGCAUUACCGAGAGUGCCCAAAGAUACCUCUCCGAUACUCAGAGUGACAAAUCCUAGUCUCGAUCUAUGCCAACCCAUCAAACACCUUCGGAGAUACCUGUAGAGCAUCUUUAUAAUCACCCAGUUGCAUUGUGACGUUUGAUAGCACACAAGGUAUUCCUCCGGUACCCGGGAGUUUCAUAAUCUCAUAGUCAAAGGAAUAUGUAUAUGACAUGAAGAAAGCAAUAGCAAUAAAACUUAACGAUCCUUAUGCUAAGCUAACGGAUGGGUCUUGUUCAUCAUAUCAUUCUCCUAAUGAUGUGAUACCGUUCAUCAAAUGACAACACAUGUCUAUGGUUAGGAAACUUAACCAUCUUUGAUUAACGAGCUAGUCUAGUAGAGGCUUACUAGGGACACUGUGUUUUGUCUAUGUAUCCACACAUGUAUCAAGUUUCCGGUUAAUACAAUUCUAGCAUAAAUAAUAAACAUUUAUCACGAUAUAAGGAAAUAUAAAUAACAACUUUAUUAUUGCCUGUAGGGCAUAUUUCCUGCAAAAGUAUGGUGGAAAAUGGAAUAAACUUUAUUUUUUGUUUGAGAACCGCCUAUGAUAUAUCUAGCAUGGAAAGUAUUGGGAACUACUUGAUUGUUUUCGUUGUAGCAAAAGCAUGCCACCCAAAAUGUUUUAUCUCUAUCUUUUUCCCUUUGAGCUCUAGCACUUCUACAAAUCCCUACUUCUCUCUGCGAAGGGCCUUUCUAUUUACUUUAUGCAAUUUUAUUUUUAUUUGAGUCUCCAUCUUCUCUUAUAAGGCACCAGCUAAGGGGCACUAUGAUCGUAUAUACUUGAACAUUGGGUGUAGCUACUAUGCGAGUGUGUUUCAUGAAUGGAUCAAUGAUUGAGUACUUGAGCAUUGCUUACUGAUAUGCUUGAGUAUUGAAAUCUUCAUGUCAAAACUAGACUAUUGAUUUGAAUCAUAUAAGAGUCCAAAUGUCCAUGCUAAAAAAGAAAAGAAUAUGUGAGGAACAUGUUAGGCAGCAUUCCACAUCAAACAUUCUAUUUUUAUCAUUUACCUACUCGAGGACGAGUAGGAAUUAAGCUUGGGGAUGUUGAUACGUCUCCAACGUAUCUAUAAAUUUUGCUUUUUCCAUGCUGCUAUAUUAUCAUUCUUGGAUGCUUUACAAUCAUUUUAUAGCAACUUUAUAUCAGUUUUGGGGACUAUCCUAUUGACAUAGUACCCAGUGCUACUUGCUAUUUUUCGCUUGUUUAACUUCGCAGAAAAUCAAUACCGAACGGACUUCAAACGCAGAGAAACUUUUUGGAGAAUUUUUCUGGACCAGAAAGAACAACAUGGGCCAAAUAAGUACUAGAGGGGUGCCUCGAGGGGGGCACAACCCACCUGGGCGCGCCUGGGGGCCCAGGCGCGCCCUGGUGUGUUCUGCCCACCUCGAUGGCCUCCCGCACCGCCUCUUUGCUCUAUAAAUACCCCGAAAAUCCAAAAACCCUAGGGGAGUCGACAAAACACAAUUCCAGCCGCCCCAAGUUCCAGAACCACCAGAUCCAAUCUAGACACUCUCACGGACGGGUUCAUCAUCCUCAUUGGUGCCUCUCUGAUGAUGUGUGAGUAGUUCAUUGUAGACCUACGGGUCCGUAGGCAGUAGCUAGAUGGCUUCCUCUCUCUCUCUCUCUCUCUCUCUCUCUCUCUCUCUUCUGAUCCUCAAUACAAUGGUCUCUUGGAGAUCUAUUUGAUGUAACUCUUUUUGCGUUGUGUUUGUUGGGAUCCGAUGAACUUUGAGUUUAUGAUCAUAUCUAUUUUAUACAUGAAAGUUAUUUGAGUUUUGAUCUCACAUAUGCAAGAUUACUUAUAGCCUCGUAUUUCUUCUUCGAAUCUUUGGUUUAGUUAGGCCAACUAGCUCUACUGCAGGAUGGUCCAAACGCGACACUACGAUCAGAGACCCUUCGACGAAUCUGUGUGCGAUGCUAUAAUCGCAAACGGUGGUGUAAAAAACAUCCAAUUACAUAAGUGACUAUACAGAUCAUUCGCACACACCUCAAAACAAUUGCAUGCAUUCUAAAAGUAGGAGAAACAAUCAUCUAGUCAUCUACUUCUUGUGACGCUCCCGCCACUGCUCUGUGGCUCGAUCCCUCGUCUGGGGCAGGAAGAAGACACUUCCUCAUGUCAACGAUCCACAUGUACAUCUCGUAGCUUGUGUACGCAUCCAUGGCCGCGUACUUGACAUGUUGUUCAUCCAGUCUCUCAUGCCACACACUGUGCCAGGCGUUCAUGUCCUUCUUGCUUUCAUUUAUCAGCUUCAUGUAGUAGGGGUCGAUGAUGGCACAAGAGUACGACAAAGGUAUUAGAGAUGCCUAGUCCUGAAAUGAAAAAUGAAUUUACUUUAUGUUGUCAAAUAAGAAAUUCCUUGGAAAGUGUUGGUAUGGAUGGCACCCGUGGAUACGGUUAGCCAUGGAAUGUGAAAGUUGUUGGGAAACGUAGCAUGCAAUUUCAAAAAAAUUCCUACGCUCACGCAAGAUCUAUCUAGGAGAUGCAUAGCAACAAGAGGGGGAGUGUGUGUGUCCACGUACCCUCAUAGACAGAAAGCGGAAGCAUUUGACAACGCGGUUGAUGUAGUCAAACUUCUUCUUGUUCCGGCCAAUCAAGCACCGAAUGUACGGCACCUCCGAGUUCUGCACACGUUCAGCUCGAUGACGUCCCUCGAACUCUUGAUCCAGCAAAGUGUCGAGGGAGAGUCCCGUCAGCACGAUAGCGUGGUGACGGUGAUGGUGAAGUGAUCCGCACAGGGCUUCGCCUAAGCACUACAUGAAUAUGACCGGAGGCGUAAACUGUGGACGGAGGCGCUGCACGCGGCUAACAGAUGUUGUUGUGUGUUCUAGGCGCCUCCCCCCUCAUAUAUAUAGGUGGGAGGGAGAGAGGGCAGCCAAGGGGGCGCCCAAGUAGGAGGAAUCCUACUUGGGGCCCUCAUCCUAUUCGCCCCCCUUACCAUAAUAACCGGAGGGGGAAGGAAGGAGGAGGGAGGAGAGAAGGAAGGGGGACGUCGAAUCCCUCCCCUUCCUUUCUCUCAUCUCCUCUUUCCUUCCCCCCUAUUUCGUCCUACAUGGGGUGCACCAGCCCCUUAGGGGCUGGUCUGUCCCACUCUUGGCCCAUUAGGCCCAUGUAGUUGCCGGGGGGAUGCUCGAAACCCCUUCCGGUGACCCGAUAUGUACCCGGUACCCCCGGAACACUUCCGGUGUCCGAAUACCAUCGUCCUAUAUAUCAAUCUUUACCUCUUGACCAUUUCGAGACUUCUCGUCAUGCCCGUGAUCUCAUCCGGGAUUCUGAACAACAUUCGGUCACCAAAUCACAUAACUCAUAUAAUAGAAAAUCGUCAUCGAACGUUAAGCGUGUGGACCCAACGGGUUCAAGAACUAUGUAGACAUGACCGAGACACCUCUCCGGUCAAUAACCAACAGCGAAACCUGGAUGCUCAUAUUGGUUCCUACAUAUUCUACUAAGAUCUUUAUCGGUCGUACCGUAGUGACAACAUAUGUUAUUCCCUUUGUCAUCGGUAUGUUACUUGCCCGAGAUUCAAUCGUCGGUAUCUUCAUCCUAGUUCAAUCUCAUUACCGGCAAGUCUCUUUACUCGUUCCGUAAUACAUCAUCCGGCAACUAACUCAUUAGUCACAUUGCUUGCAAGGCUUAUUAUGAUGUGCAUUACCGAGAGUGCCCAGAGAUACCUCUCCGAUACUUAGAGUGACAAAUCCUAAUCUCAAUCUAUGCCAACCCAACAAACACCUUCGGAGAUACCUGUAGAGCAUCUUUAUAAUCACCCAGUUGCAUUGUGAUGUUUGAUAGCACACAAGGUAUUCUUCCGGUACCCCCGAGUUGCAUAAUAUCAUAGUCAAAGGAAUAUGUAUAUGACAUGAAGAAAGCAAUAGCAAUAAAACUUAACGAUCAUUAUGCUAAGCUAAAGGAUGGGUCUUGUUCAUCAUAUCAUUCGCCUAAUGAUGUCAUACCGUUCAUAAAAUGACAACACAUGUCUAUGGUUAGGAAACUUAACUAUCUUUGAUUAACGAGCUAGUCUAGAAGAGGCUUACUUGGGACACUGUGUUUUAUCUAUGUAUCCACACAUUUAUCAAGUUUCCGGUUAAUACAAUUCUACCAUCAAUAAUAAACAUUUAUCAUGAUAUAAGGAAAUACAAAUAACAACUUUAUUAUUGCAUGUAGGGCAUAUUUCCUUCAAAAGUAUGGUGGAAAAAGGAAUAAACUGUAUUUUCUGUUUGAGAACCGCCUAUGAUAUAUCUAGCAUGGAAAGUAUUGGGAACUACUCGAUUGUUUUCAUUGUAGGAAAAGCAUGCCACCCAAAAUGUUUUAUCUCUAUCUUUUUCGCUUUGAGCUCUGGCACUUCUACAAAUCCCUACUUCCCUCUGCGAAGGGCCUUUCUAUUUACUUUAUGCAAUUUUAUUUUUAUUUGAGUCUCCAUCUUUUCUUAUAAGGCACCAACUAAGGGGCACUAUGAUCGUAUAUACUUGAGCAUUGGGUGUAGCUAAUAUGCGAGUGUGUUUCAUGAAUGGAUCAAUGAUUGAGUACUUGAGCAUUGCUUGCUGAUAUGCUUGAGUAUUGAAAUCUUCAUGUCAAAACUAGACUAUCGCUUUGAAUCAUAUGAAAUUCCAAAUGUCCAUGCUACAAAAGAAAAGAAUAUGUGAUGAACAUGUUAGGAAACAUUCCACAUCAAAUAUUCUAUUUUUAUCAUUUACCUACUCGAGGAUGAGUAGGAAUUAAGCUUGGGGAUGUUGAUACGUCUCCAACGUAUCUAUAAUUUUUGGUUGUUCCAUGCUGCUAUAUUAUCAUUGUUGGAUGCUUUACUAUCAUUUUAUAGCAACUUUAUAUCAUUUUUGGGGACUAUCCAAUUGACAUAGUACCCAGUGCUACUUGCUAUUUUUUGCUUGUUUAACUUCGCAGAAAAUCAAUACCAAACGGACUCCAAACACAACGAAACUUUUUGGAGAAUUUUUCUAGACCAGAAAGAACAACAUGGGCCAAAGAAGUACCAGAGGGGUCCCCCGAGGGGGGCACAACCCACCUGGGCGCGCCUGGGGGCCCAGGCGCGCCCUGGUGUGUUCUGCCCACCUCGAUGGCCUCCUGCACCGCCUCUUUGCUCUAUAAAUACCCCGAAAAUCCAAAAACCUUCGGGGAGUCGACAAAACACAAUUCUAGCUGCCCCAAGUUCCAGAACCACCAGAUCCAAUCUAGAGACUCUCACGGACGGGUUCAUCAUCCUCAUUGGUGCCUCUCUGAUGAUGUGUGAGUAGUUCAUUGUAGACCUACGGAUCCGUAGGUAGUAGCUAGAUGGCUUCCUCUCUCUCUCUCCCUCUCUCCCUUUUGAUCCUCAAUACAAUGGUCUCUUGGAGAUCUAUUUGAUGUAACUCUUUUUGCGUUGUGUUUGUUGGGAUCCGAUGAACUUUGAGUUUAUGAUCAUAUCUAUUUUAUACAUGAAAGUUAUUUGAGUUUUGAUCUCAUAUAUGCAUGAUUACUUAUAGCCUCGUAUUUAUUCUUCGAAUCUUUGGUUUAGUUAGGCCAACUAGCACUACUGCAGGAUGGUCCAAACGUGACACUACGAUCAGAGACCCUUCGACGAAUCUGUGUGCGAUGCCAUAAUCGCAAACGGUGGUGUAAAAAACAUCCAAUUACAUAAGUGACUAUACAGAUCAUUCGCACACACCUCAAUAAACAAUUGCAUGCAUUCUAAAGUAGGAGAAACGAUCAUCUAGUCAUCUACUUCUUGUGACGCUCCCGCCACUGCUCUGUGGCUCGAUCCCUCGUCUGGGGUAGGAAGAAGACACUUCCUCAUAUCAACGAUCCGCCUGUACAUCUCGUAGCUUGUGUACGCAUCCAUGGCCGCGUACUUGACAUGUUGUUCAUCCAAUCUCUCAUGCCACAUACUGUGCCAGGCGUUCAUGUCCUUCUUGCUCUCAUUUUUCAUCUUCAUGUAGUAGGGGUCGAUAAUGGCCGAGGCGAGGUCAACCAAGGAGUUCAGUUUGUUUUUGUCGCUGCCCCAGACCUUGUAGUGGUGCUGGAUGUUGAUAAGAUUCUGGCAUUUCAAAUCCGAAACCUUGGGCGCUUUUAGAUCGUUGGUGGUGUCCACCGUAGCAAAACUGUAGUCGGAGCUGUUGAUAAACCUGGAGAAAUGCUUGCAAGGCCUUGUGGCAAGGUGGUAGUGGUAGACAAGGAUGUCAUGUUGCACGCACAACUGGGUGACGACAACCUUUUGAUCGUGCCCGGCACAACCAAUGGUGUACUCAAGGUCGAAGCCGACCACUCGGUACUUGUCCUCGGCAAGGAACUGCUCCAUAGUUUGGAUGUAGCUCUCCACCGAGACCGUAUCAUUCAUGUACACCAGCGAGAGGGCCUUCCCCCUCACGUGGGUGUCCACUACGUGACGCGUGGUGAACUGCCUGCCGUUGUCGUCGUCGGCCGCUGGGAGCACCACUAGACCCACGGGGAGCGCCAUUGGAACCGCUGGAUGUCCUCUCUGUAUGUGUCGUCGUGGUUUUGCUUAUUGUGUCGUGUGACGCGAGAGAUGAAAGUAAAUGGUCACAGGAAUAAAUGAGGGCCGGGCGGCCUGGAUUCUCUACGCGUCCGCAUGGUAGUUUUUGCAGCGGGUAACUGUAUUGUCGUGCCGCGCCCGGUGCAACCGCAUGCACACGAACGUGCGUGAUCGUGCGCCGGCCCCAAACACUGGCAGCGUGCGUGGAGGGACGAGGAUAGAGCACCUGGAGGGACGCGAGAGCAGAGCGCGCGCGGCGGGACGCGAGCAGAGCGUGCCGCGGCCGCCUGAACCGCAAGCAACCACACACAUAGAGCAGUUGAACACGCAGGGAAUGUCGCCUACAAGCCGGCCGACAGUUGCGUCGCUGCGUAGAGAGCGGCCAUGUGCUACUACCUCCGUCUAGUCUAUUGUCCCCUUUAUAUUCUGUACCAUACUUUUCCCUCAAAUUUAACCAACAAAAUGUUAAUGCAUGUUAUAAAAAAUAUAUAGUUGGAAACUAUGUUCAAAUACGAAUCCAACUAUGUAAUCUUUGGCGACAUGUAUUUGUAUUUUAUUAGUUAAAUUAUACUUAUAAACCAGGACGGGGGUAUAGUAGGUAAUUAAAUCGCAAAUGUUUUUUGUAUUAACCAUAUGUGUACGUGGCCUUUCGUCCUCCUCUCGCAUGUCUUGUCACCCCGCUGCCGCAGAUGGCUUACAACGCAAGCUUGCGCAGCGCGCGGGGGCAUUCUUUUGGCCAAACGGUGGCGCCAAUGAAUCGUCGCUGAGCCCGUUCCCGCGGAACCUCACAGGUUCCCACGCAAGCUUCCCGCCUGACUUGGUGAAAUCCCUGAAAAUCCCAAUGCUUACCGGCCUGCUAUAAAAACCCUCAUGGCCGGCGAGUCAUGCGUCACAUUUUCCCCUCCCUCCUUGUAGCUUAUCUCGUCUGCUUCUCCCACAAUCGCCAAUGGCACCGUUCCCUCGUCGUCGCUCAGCCACUCUGCCGUCAUUAGAGGACAGCUCCAGCUAGGAGGCUACACCGCAGCGGCGGCGCAGUCCCCGGCGUAGUGUAGUGCGCGUGGCGUCCCUAUUGGGUGUGCACGGAACACCCACCACAUGCUCCGCCGCCGUUGCUCAUCGGCAGAUGUUGCCGGCUGCCAUUGCCGCCACACCACCGUUGAAAGCCAGGGCCAUCGCUCGCUCCGCUGCCGUGGCCCGAAGACGGGAGGUGGCCGUCGUGGCUGCCACCCCACUGCUGGCCACUAUGGCCAUCACCCGCUCCGCCACCACUGCCCGAAGGCGGGAGGCAGAGGUGGAUGCCCGCACGUGCGUCAGCGACCUUGCGCGCUACUCCUGCAGGAGGAGAAGGAGCGCCUCGUCGAGCACGCAAAGAGCCUUACCACCGCCAUGGCCGCGGCACACACCACCUCAGAGGCGAGGAAUCAGGAUAUCUACAAGUAGAACCACCACUUCGAGAGGGGUCAUCUAGAGCGGUAGCGGCAGGCAUUGUAUUGCGGUUGCCCAGCUCGUUGGUAGGCUCCUCCUCCUCUGCCUCUUACUGAGCGCGCUCGGCAGAGGAGAGGCAGCCGGAAGUAGUACAAAGCCCCUCCGUAGUAGUAGUAGUAGUAGUAGUAUUUAGGGGCUAUUUUGUUCAGUUCAUCUGAUUAUAGAUGAGGUGGAACUGUACAACAUACUUAAAAUUAGCUAGUAUAUAUAGUUGAACUAGCUAUUUCAGUAUGUGGUUGGCAACAAUUGGGGAAAAUUUUGGUCGGUUCAGCUGUCGAGUUGAACUCUUUUUAUGAAUUAAGAACGACUGCUUAAUCUAUGAAUGAAAUCUAUGCUUAAUUGCUCAAUUUUUGUUGCAAAAAUUAGAUACUGCUAGUGAUUUUUAGCUUCAUAUUUUGACAAACCGCAGUGUUACAAGGUUGACAAAUGGCAAUUUUACUACAUCAACAAAUGCCAAUCUUUCCAGUUUGACAAAUGGCAACAUACCCACAUUGUUUGUAAGUGGUUGCACACGGGUCAUCCAAAAGAACCGUUUGCGUUGAAGAGAUGCACAAAUCCUGCUCUCACUUUGCAUACGGGUGUUCUAUCUAAAACGUUUGCGAUCAAGUGCUGCACAAAUCCUGCUCGGCACAUUUUCCCUUGGCUUCCUGGGGAAGCUGUCUAUUUGCAUACGGGUGUUCUAACUAAAACGUUUGUGAUGAGUGUUUUAUAUUUAAAAAUCAUUGACAUUUUUUUUCAAACGAAAAUCGUUUGAUAAGUCUGUACAUUAAGAGAGAAAAACGCAAGUUUGCUCAAACCAUAUCUUUCAUUUAGUCAUACUACGAAUUUAUAUUCAUAUGAUCGAGAUACAGUAUUAAACCCAAGAAAAAACUAUUUUCGGCGACAGCGGAGGCGGCAUGCCGCGCCGUCGUUGUCGUCCUUCGGGACGCUGUUGUUGAAGUCUUCAAUGCAGCACGGAAUGUUCUUCACUUGUAAAUCAAACAUCAUGUCGUCACGCGAUCGACGGGCGGGGCACGGGAGGACGACAGCUGGCGGCGCUGAGAGGUAGCGGUCGACGGCGGUGUCCCAUGCCGCUGAGGGGGGCUCGUGCACAGGCACGGGCGCGGCGGGUGCAGCCAAACGCAUGGGGACUGGUGCCAUGAUGGGUGGAGGGGCGCGGGCAUGGGCACGGACACUGGCAUGUACACGAGCUCGCGUGGGUCCGCGGAGACCUCGCUGACGCCCGCGGCUUCUAGCUCUGCGAUAGUGCUCGGCGACUAGCCCGUCAAUGCUAUGGGGAUGGUCGCCGGCGUGGGCGCGGGGAUGGGAGCUGGGACGGGAGCGGGGGUAGCAACCGCCGCGGCCUGCUCGUUCUAGGCCAUGUCCAUGAGGCCCCAUUCCUCCUUAUUUUCUAUCUCCUCCAGCUCGGAGUCGACUUCACCAAACUUGAACUAGUGGAAGAUGAUCCUUCUGUGCCAUGGCGUUUGUGGAGGGUUGCGGGAGGGAGGGGAAUGGGAGGCGAACAGUAAGGCCACCCGUAUUAAGCAGCUACUCGGGCGCCAUUAAUGGAGAGGAAGGCGGGCGGCCACGGAAGUCAAAGGGCUCGCUUCCCAGUGAGCCUGCAUAGCGUACAGCUCACACGCUUCCCGAUGAGCUUGCACAUUGGAGGACAGCUUGCACGCCUCCCGGUCAGCCUGCACGCCGGACUGCGCUCGCACGCCGGACUGCAGUUGUCCGCACGACACCUCCUAUAGCCAUUAAAAGCAAGACAAAUGGCGUCAAAUGAAUGGUUAACAGAACGCACACGGUUUGAAUUUUACAAAUGUUUGAGAUAUUAAAGUGGCACUAUUUUUUCAAAAUGCCUUUGUCGGCUGUUAUUCGAGUGGGCCUUCUCUCAAAAUGGACACGAAAAAUACCACAGCAUGUCCGGUGCCAUUCCAUGAUAGCAUGCCAAGUUUCAUGAAUUUCAGACGAGUUUUGGAUUACUAGAAUUUAAAAACAAAGUAUCUCAACGUUUUGCCGGCAAUCAACGGUGCCCUCUUGUUUAAAAUUCAUUCGCAUUUCUUGCAUGGGACCUAAGCAUGGUAGCAGGGUGUUUGACAUUCCUUCCCAUUUCUUUCAUGGGACCUAAGCAUGCAACCAAGAACACCGAUUUGAAUUUUCAACCAAUUUAUAUGCAUUAGAGAAAGUGCAUGUAGUUCAAAUUUUAAUUAUGCACAUGAAUGCAUUGAAAACUCAGUUAAUGCAUAAAAAUGUCCAAACGAACCCCAAAAAAUCACAAAAAUUGACACAACUCUCCUGGUGUUCUACGUUGAAACGAGAAUUUUUUUGAAAGAAAUAUGAGGCAAUGGAUAUCGUUUCGUCCCCAAAGGUGGGACGUUCCGUGCCGAAACCAUCAUGCUUGUUGCGAGAAGCUCUGGUUUGUGAGAAGCAUAUACCCAAACCUGCCCCAAAUGGGACAAAAAUAUUACCAUGACAUGUUGACGCCGGUCCAUGAUAGCAUGCCAAAUUUCAUGAAUUUCAGCCGAGUUUUGGAUUUACUAGAAUUUAAAAACAAGGUAUCUCAAUGUUUGCGGCCGAGUGAUGGUGGCACGGUGUUUGACAUUCAUUCCCAUUUCUUGCAUGGGACCUAAGCAUGCACCCAAGGACACAGAUUUGAUUUUUUAACCAAUUUAUAUGCAUUAGAGCAUGUGCAUGUAGUUCAAUUUUGAACUAUGCACAUGAAUGCAUUGAAAACUCAAUUAAUGCAUAAAAAUGUCCAAACGAACCCCGAAAAAUCAUAAACAAUUGACACGACACUCUUGUUGUUCUACGUUGACACGAGAAAUUUUUUGAAAGCAAUAAUAGGCAAUGGAUAUCAUUUCUUCCCCAAACGUGGGACGUUCCCUACCGAAACCACCAUGCUUGUUGUGAGAAGCUCUGUUUUGUGAGAAGCAUAUAACCAAACCUGCCCCAAAUGGGACAAAAAUUUACCAUGGCAUGUUGAUGCUGCUCCAUGAUAGCAUGCCAAGUUUCAUGAAUUUUAGAUGAGUUUCGAAUUUACUAGAAUUUAAAAACCAGGUAUCUCAAUGUUUGCCGCCGAGUGACGGUGAACGGGUGUUUGACAUUCAUUCCCAUUUCCUGCAUGGAAACUAAGCAUGCAACCAAGGAAACAAUUUUGAAUUUUCAACUAAUUUAUAUGCAUUAGAGCAUGUGCAUGUAGUUCAAAUUUGAAUUAUGCACAUAAAUGCAUUGUAAACUCAAUUAAUGCAUAAAAAUGUCCAAAUGAACCCCAAAAAAUCCCAAAAAUUGACACAACACUCUUGUUGUUCUAUGUUGACACUAGGAGAAAAUAUUGAAAUCGAGAAGAGGCAAUGGAUAUCGUUUCGUCCAGAAAGGUGAAACAUUCCCUAACGAAACCACCAGGCUUGUUGUGAGAAGCUUUGGUUUGUGAGAAGCAUAUCCCCAAACCUGCCCCAAAUGGGACAAAAAAUUUACCACGGCAUGUUGAUGCCGCUCCAUGACAGCAUGCCAAGUUUCAUGAAUUUCAGAUGAGCUUUGGAUUUACUAGAAUUUUAAAACCAGGUAUCUCAAUGUUUGCGGCCAAGUGACGGUGGUAGGGUGUUUGACAUUCAUUCCCAUUUCUUGCAUGGGACCUAAGCAUGCAACCAAGGACACAUAUUUGGAUUUUCUACUAAUUUAUAUGCAUUAGAGCAUGUGACUGUAGUUCAAAUUUGAAUUAUGCACAUGAAUGCAUAGAAAACUCAGUUAAUGUAUAAAAAUGUCCAAGCAAACCCCAAAAAUCCCAACAAUUGACACAACACUCAUGUUGUUCUAUGUUGACACUAGGAAAAAUUUUGAAAUCGAGAAGAGGCAACGAAUAUUGUUUCAUCCAGAAAGGUGAAACGUUCCCUACCGAAACCAUCACACUUCUUGUGAGAAGCUCUAGUUUAUGAGAAGCUUAUACCCAAACCUGCCCCAAAUGGGACAAAAAAUUUACCACGGCAUGUUGAUGCCGCUCCAUGAUAGCAUGCUAAGUUUCAUGAAUUUCAGACGAAUUUUGGAUUUACUAGAAUUACAAAAGCAAGUACGUCGAUGUUUGUCGGAGAGCCACGGUGCCGUGGUGUUCGAAUUUCAUCCCCAUUUCUUGCAUGAGACAUAAUUAAGCAUAAACCCAUGGACACAUAUAUGAUUUUACAACCCAUGUUGGUGCACCGGAGCAUGUGCAUGUUGUUUUAUUUUGAAUUGUGCAUCUGAAAUGGCUAGAAAACCAAUUUAAUAUGUAAAAUGUUCAAACAAACCCUGAAUAAAUUCCAAUUCUUUUACGACACACGUAUAGUUGCAUGUUCACUGCAGAUAAAAGGUCUAGCAAUUCAAACACCAUCCAUUGCCGCUGUGACCCCAUUAUGUAAUUCAAAUCAAGAUGAAAAAUCAAGUAGAUCCCACACAGCUUAUUAUCACCAACAAUGUGAGAUGCAGCACAAAAUAUCCUGAAGCACCGUCUGUGUAUAGUACGCCUAUGGCUUACGCGAGAAGGUGCGUGGCUAUAGUCCAUAGCCGGUGUCUCAAGCACACUAGCUUGCUCCCCAAAUAUCAUUUCACUGUUCAAUCGGCGCCGGUGAAAGAUGGGCACAUGGACCCGCGUCGUGAGGGCAACUUUAGUGGCCCACUCCGGCGAGAGCGCGGCUGUAGCCGCCAUGCGCGUGCUAACAAGGUGCAUGAGCGCGGCCGCAAUCUGCGACCGGGAGGCCAAGGCAGCCCAAACGGCCGCUGUUGCUUCUCAGGUGGCGGCCUUAGCCCUGAUGGGAGCCGCCCACGACCAUGUCAAGGCCGCCCACGCCCCGCUCAUGGCGGUCACCGCACAAAUCGAACGAAGCUUCUCCGACAACAGUCGGCAACCCACGGCCGAAGAGUUGGCAGUCGCAGAGAGCGUUCGAGCAGCCGUCUGUUCCUCCUCCGCAUACCUUGCGAUGAAAGAACCCGUCCAAGCCCAUAUCACGGCCGCCCAUGCCCAGCUCGUGGCGACCUUUUCCAAAGAGAUGGCGGACGCGGAUGGCGAGAUGCUUGACGAGUAUGGUGCGAUGGAUGCCAUGGAGCCCCUUCCCCAGGAGACCGUCGGGCGCGAACUGGACAUGGAGGCGGCGGCCGAGAUAGAUGAGCACCAGCCGUAGUCGUACUCUAUGUUCUGUAUUAAGAGCGCCGGUCUUUAAUUUGUUAGAGUAAUGUUUAGGUCAGCUAGCUCUGUUUAAUUGCUGAACUUGCUCGAUUAAGAAGUGUGGGUGUGCUGUAGUCUCCUUUGUGUACCCAAAUUAUGCAAUGACGUGGAUGACCACUGUAACCAGGGAAAGUCGAACCAAAAUUUUUGACGUUCAAACUCAACACAAAAGGGUUAAGCUAUCUAAAUCGUUUGUGAUGUUCACAUAUCGUACAUAGUUCUGAAUAAGGGACCGUGUCUGAUGACACUUUGCACGCCAGUUUUUGCACAGAAGCGAUUCCAAAUUUUGGGCUUCUACCUCCCCGCCCCCUCCUCCUUACCAAAAGCCACAUUUCCCUUGUUUCUGCCUUCCUUUCCAGGUUGAAACCUUAACUCCUUUCUUGCACCGCCACCUCCUUGCCGGCAACCCUCCUUGACGCUGCUCGGCCUCGUCUAUCCCGACAGGUAAUCCACACCCGACCCCCAUCCUCCUCCUCCUCCUUCCACAUCCAACAUGCCCCGAACGCCGGCGCGAUACCUUCCACCCAAAUCACCGAGCCCUCCACCAAAUAAGCGCUGCCCUAAGCCAUGGUGCCCGCAGUAUAGCCAGGAACUCAAGGAGCAUUUGGCAGCGGAGAAGCAAAUUGCGGCCGCACGCGCAGGUGAGGUCGCGGUGGAUGCCAAUCGUGCCGACCCCCAGAUCUUGGACGAGCACCUUGCCAUUUUCUAGCUACGUCGGUUAAGCAUGCUCGGUUUACCCGUUGCGCGUGCUGCUCUUGCCUUUCCUUCACAAAUUCUAGUGAAUUGUGCUAUCUAAUUUUACCAUGCAAUAUGUUGCUCUAGUGUAUAUGUUCUAUAUGUCGUGCAGUGUGGUGCUCACUUAUUAACUGUUUUGUUAAUUAGUUGUCGUCUUCUGUUAACUGUUUGGUUCAAUUCUGCAAAUGUGAUGUUCAAUUCUUCAGGCUGCAAUUUUGUAUUGUCUUCCAUGUGAGAAAUAAAUCGAAUUUAUCUUUACAAAAUACAUGAGAAACGAAUACAAUUGCUAUAUUUCCAAGUUGUCAAGCAUGCUUGGUUUGGUUAUACACUGUGCAAUGUGGUGCUCAGUUAACGUUUGGUUCAUUUGUGUUGUGCUGUUUAGUUAACUGUUUGGUUCAAUUCUGCAAUGUGAUGUUCAAUAGUUGUGGGUGCAUUCUGUUAUUGUAUACCAUGUGAGGAAUAAAUUUAAUUUGGCUGUAGUAAAUACAUGAGAAACAAAUACAAUUGCUAUAUUUCCAAGUUGUUAAGCAUGCUUGCUUUGGUUAACUGUCUGAUCUUCUAUUAGGAGUAUGUUAUAUUGUGCAAUGUGGCGCUCAGUUAAUAUUUGGUUCAUUUGUCGUGGUGUUUAGUUAACUGCUUGGUUCAAUUCUGCAAUGCGAUGUCCAAUUGUAGUGGGUAUAAUUUUGUAUUGUUGUGCAUGUGAGGAAUAAAUCGAAUUUGGCUGCUUAAUACAUGAGAAACAUAUACAAGUGCUAUAUUUCCUAGUUAUUAAUCAUUCUUGGUUUGUAUAAAUGGGUUUUCCAUGUGGCUUGAAUUAAUCUAAUGAAUCUGCAAGGUGCUUAUUUUUCAUCAACAUAUUUUACUGAUAGCAUGCGAACCCUUACUUAAGCUGAUGACUAACUACCUUAUAUGUGUUGCAGGGAAACAAUGGGAAGCACUGAGGUUUACAAUUGAGGUUAGCAUGUGCAUGGUCCGUUGUCUAAUAGCACAUUAUUGUGCAAUUGCAUGAACCAUUCUAAUAUUUAUGUUUUUAACAAUUUGGUCUUGCACAUGUAGGUCCUGCUGUUGAGGUUUUGACCCACUGUUUGACCCUUUUUGCAUAUGGGGAAAUGAGUUGUCCAUGAAUAUCAAUCAAGUCAAGAAACUCCGAAAGAUUGUUAGGAUAAACAAAUUCGCGAGAAAAACAACGAUCUUUGUUUGCACAAUGAAGAAGACAUCAGUUCACUACAAGAUGGUACUAACUAUUAUACCUUGCCUUUUUUAUUCCUUUUCCCCAUUUCCAAUAUAGAGAAGAUAUUUAUGCACAUCCUUGUUUUCGGCCCUUUCCAAACACUACUGCAGGAUGCUGCUAACGCGACACUACGAUCAGAGACCCUUCGACGAAACUGUGUGCGAUGCAAUAAUCGCAAACGUUGGUGUAAAAGAACCGUAAAAAAAGGUGCAAAACAUUUGUGAUGGCGGAGCCAUCAAACAUGGUUCAGAUUUUAGUUGCGUGUGCGAUCCAGGGCAUACGGUUCAUACCAAUGAACUGUUUGCGAUGAGGCGGAACAAAAGAAACGGGUAGCCUGAUGAAGGCGUGUGCAAUAUACAGCAUACGGUUCACUCGGAUGAACUGGUUGUGAUUAGGCAACACAAAAGAAACGGUCAGCCAGAUCAAGGUGUGUGUGAUUGAGGGCAUACGCUUCAGAAGGAUUAACUGUUUGCGAUUAGGCAACAGAAAAGAAACGGGUCAGCAAAAUCAAAGUGUCUGCGAUUGAUGGCAUACACUUCACAUGGAUGAAUUGUUUGCGAUUAGCCACAACAAACUGAAACAGUUAGAUAGAUCAACGUGUGUGCGCUAGACGGGCACACACAUUCUAAUUAAAAGAAGCGUGCGCGAUGGUAAUAAUGAGCGCGCACGGUUGUUGGAACAAGACGUGUGCUGACAUUGCCUAUUGCGGUGCACCCUAUGGUGCAAACGCCACGUACGCGGCCGAAAAGGCGUACGUGCCCACGUUACGCCUUCUGGGAAUAGUGUCGCACUUAUAACCGUCAGUAAAUUUUGAGCAUGUGUCCCGUCACAUUUUUUUAGAAGAACAGGGAGGCCGCGUCCCGUCACAUUCCAAAUUGAAAACCUGUUCACACCGAUCAAAAACUAAACGGUUUCCCACUUAGGACCGUAUUACUACUCGGUUAUAAACACUACUACUCCAAGAUGACUGCACAUUCCUCCUCAACUCCUCAUCCACAAAAGCAAACAAGUCCUUUAUCAUAGUUCCCUUGCGUCUGCCAUGGCCAGCAUGAGUUCUGGGUCGAGAGAUUUCCACCAGGGAGAGGCGAGCCUGGAAGCGGAAGCACGAGAGAUGUCCCGCCUCGUUGCGAAAGCAGCCAACAUGUCCCGUCGCACGGCCGUGGCAGCAGAGAGGUCCCGCCGCGCCGCCGAAGCAGCACAGAGGUCCCGCCUCGCUGUCGAUCCAGCAGACUAGUCCGGUCGCGCCGCGGAAGCAGAAGAGAUGUCCCGCCGCGCCGUGAAUGCAGCAGAGAUGUCCUCCCGCGCCGGGGCGGCCUGGGAAAAUGUCUUGAAGGCAGGCGAGGACUCUUACAGACGCAUGCGUGCCCUCGUCCUUAGGCAGAUGGAUCAGAUCUCCAGCUGGGCAAGGUUGCAGGAUGACCUGAAAGCCUCGUUUGAACAGUCUACCGGCGUCAUCCGGCAACUAAAUGAGAGCAAUGCGAAGCUCCGGGCCGAGCAUGACCUGCUAAGGGCGAAGAUCGUCGGAAGUCCGGAGCAGAGCACUUCCUUGUUGAAGAGGACCGGCGUCAUCGUUGAGAAACUUAUGAACGAGAAUGCCAUGCUGCGCAUCGAGUGUAGAAGGCUGGUGGAGGAAUCUGUGGAUGCUCUCAAGUAGCAUCUUGAGGACAAGAAAGAGCUAAUGGCCACUCACCGCAGAGACUAGUUCCCGCGGCCUGCAGGAACGCAUCAAGAAAGUAGAGAUCAGCGAGCCAGAUCGUUGUCUUCCUUCUUCUUUUGCCCUUGUGUAUUUCGGGCGUUGCCGCAUGUGGCUUUUUUAAUUAUGUUCCUAAAUAUGUAAGACAAUUAUUAUCCACUGUCAUCAUCCUUAUAUUCAUCAAGCUUGCUAUAAGUCGUAGUCGAUGCUAUAUAGGUCCGUCAGAUCUUACAUCAAGAUCCGUGCAGAACUUUCUUUUCAGAUUUUCAUUUUUCUCUCUUAAAUCUCAGUAUAGUGAGACAUAGAGCCACGCCGUAGAACAAGUGCUCGGGCGCCAUUAAUGGAGACAUUGGGAGGGAGGUGCGCGGUGGGUAGUGGUCAAAGGGCUCUCCUCCCGAUGAGCACGCGCAGGGGUCUGAUCGCACGCCUCCCGUACUGAAAUAGCUACCCCGCACGGCACCUCCUAGCCAAUAAAAAAAGGGACGCGUGGCGGCACGUAAUUGGUAAGUAGAACGCCCACGGUUUCAAUAAUACUUGUGUUUUCGAUUUAUAACGUGGCAGCACUUGUUCCAAAAUGACUUUGUCGAUUGUUAAUGUGUGCGCCUUCGCAAAUCAGACAGAAAAAUUACCUCAGCAUGUUGAUGCCAUGUCAUGACACCAUGCCAAGUUUCAUUAUUUUUAGGCGUGGUUUGGAUUUACAGGAAUUAAAAAACAAAGUUUCUCAAUCUUUCCGGCCGAGCCACGACGCCCAGAUGUUUGAAUUUUAUUCCCAUCUCUUGCAUAGGACCUAGAAAUUCACCCAAGGACACACAUGUGAUUUUUCAAACAAUUUUGGUGCACUGUAGCCUGUGCUUGUAGUUCAAAUUUGAAUUAUGCACAUUAAAUGCGCAGAAACUCAAUUAAUGUAUAAAAAAGGCCAAACGAACCCGGAAUAAUUCCAAAAUUUAGCACGAUACUUCUAUUUGGUCUAAUCUGCCUGCGUAAAAAAAUUAAGGCGGGAGAAGGAGUGUACGUAUGUCAUUUCGCACACGGAGGUGACAUGUUCCCUCUCGGAACCACGAGCCUUCUUGAGGGAAGCUCCGGUUUGCAAGAAGGUUACACCAAAGCUUGUCCCAAUUCGGCCAAAAAAAUUAACACAACAUGUUGGUGCCAUGUCAUGACACCAUGCUAAGUUUCAUGAUUUUCAGGCGUGUUUUGGAUUUAGAGGAAUUGAAAAACCAAGUUUCUCCAUCUUUUAGGCCGAGCCACGACGCCCAGAUGUUUGAAUUUCAUUCCCAUUUCUUGCAUGGGACCUAUAAAUUCACCCAAGGACACACAUGUAACUUUUCAACCAACUUUGGUGCACUGCAGCAUGUGCUUGUAGUUCAAAUUUAAAUUAUGCACAUUAAAUGCGCAGAAACUCAAUUAAUGUAUAAAAAAGGCCAAACGAACCCAGAAUAAUUCCAAAAUUUAGCACGAUACUUCUAUUUGGUCUAAUCUUCCCGCGUAAAAAAAUGAAGGCGGGAGAAGGCAGUGUACGUAUGUCGUUUCGCACACGGAGGUGACACGUUCCCUCUCGGAACCACGAGCCUUCUUGAGGGAAGCUCCGGUUUGCAAGAAGCUUACACUAAAGCUUGUCCCAAUUCGGCCAAAAAAUUUACCGCAGCAUGUUGGUGCCAUGUCAUCACACCAUGCCAAGUUUCAUAAUUUCCAGGCGUGUUUUGGAUUUACAGGAAUUGAAAAACCAAGUUUCUCAAUCUUUUUGGCCGAGCCACGACGCCCAGAUGUUUGAAUUUCAUUCCCAUUUCUUGCAUGGGACCUAUAAAUUCACCCAAGGGCACACAUGUGAUUUUUCAACUAACUUUGGUGCGCUGGAGCAUGUGCUUGUAGUUUAAAUUUGAAUUAUGCACAUUAAAUGCGCAGAAACUCAAUUAAUGUAUAAAAAAGGUCAAAUGAACCCGGAAUAAUUCCAAAAUUUAGCACGAUACUUCUAUUUGGUCUAAUCUGCCUGUGUAAAAAAAUUAAGGCGGGAGAAGGUAGUGUACGUAUCUCGUUUCGCACAUGGACGUGACACGUUCCCUCACGGGACCACGAGCCUUCUUUAGGGAAGCUCCGGUUUGCAAGAAGGUUACACCAAAGCUUGUCCCAAUUCGGCCAAAAUAUUUACUGCAGCAUGUUCGUGCCAUGUCAUGACACCAUGCCAAGUUUCAUGAUUUCCAGGCGUGUUUUGGAUUUACAUGAAUUAAAAAACCAAGUUUGUCAAUCUUUCCGGCCGAGCCACGACGCCCAGAUGUUUGAAUUUCAUUCCCAUUUCUUGCAUGGGACCUAUAAAUUCACGCAAAGACACACAUGUGAUUUUUCAACCAACUUUGGUGCAGUGAAGCAUGUGCUUGUAGUUCAAAUUUGAAUUAUGCACAUUAAAUGCCUAGAAACUCAAUUAAUUUAUAAAAAUGCCAAACGAACCUGGAAUAAUUCCAAAAUUUAGCACGAUACUUCUAUUUGGUCCAAUCUGCCAGUGUACAAAAAUUAAGGCGGGAGAAGGCAGUGUAAGUAUGUUGUGUCGCACACGGAGGUGACACAUUCCCUCUCGGAACCAAGAGCCCUCUUGAGGGAAGCUCGGGUUUGCAAGAAGCCUACACCAAAGGUUGUCCCGAUUCGGCCAAAAUAAUUACCGCAGUAUGUUGGUGCCAUGUCAUUACACCAUGCCAAGUUUCAUGAUUUUCAGCCGUGUUUUGCAUUUACAGGAAUUAAAAAACCAAGUUUCUCAAUCAUUCCGGCUGAGCCACGACGCCCAGAUGUUGAAUUUCAUUCCCAUUUCUUGCAUGGGACCUAUCAAUUCAUCCAAAGACACACAUGUGAUUUUUCAACAAACUUUGGUGCAUUGGAGCAUGUGCUUGUAGUUCCAAUUUGAAUUAUGCACAUUAAAUGCCCAGAAACUCAAUUAAUGCAUAAAAAUGCCAAAUGAACCCGGAAUAAUUCCAAAUUUAAAAAUGACACUCAUGUACUAGUUGCAUGUUCACUGUACGUAAAUGUUCUAGCAAUUCAAACACCAUCCUUUCCCUCUGUAACACCAUUUUGUCUUUCAAAACAUAAUGAAAAAAUCAGGUAUACCACAAACAGUUUACUAGAAAGAAUCGUGUGGGAUGCGAUAUAAAAUAUCUUGGUGCACCGUCUUGUCUGGCUUACGCAGGAAGCUUCGUCGUCUAUAGUCCAUUGCCCCUGCUAGAACCACACUUGCGCACCAGUUUCUCGCGGCACCGAGCAAAAAUUUUUUGCCACUGCGGAAAUAUCUAUCUCCCCGCCCCGUCCCUCCUACAAAAAGCCACAUUUCCAUUGUUCCUCCUUGCUUUCCAAGUUCAAACCUUCACUGCUGCUUACUGGCAGCUCAGCCUCCUCGCCGGCGACCCUUCUUCUUGCAGCACCGCCUCCUCGCCGGCUAUCCUUCUUCUUGCAGCGCCGCCUCCUCGUCGGCGACCCUUUUUCUUGCAACGCCGCCUCCUCGCUGGCGACCCUUCUUCUUGCUGCGCGGCCUCCUCGCCGCCGACCCUUCUUCUUGCUGCGCAGCAUCGUCGAUAUGGUCAGGUAAUCCACACCCCACCCACACCAUCCUCCUCCUUUCCCGUCCCACCUGCCCCGACCGACGGAGCGACACCUUCUACCGAAAUCACUGCCCUUCCUCCAAUUAAGUGCCGCCCACAACCAUCUUUCACGCACUAUAACAUGGAGCUCAGUAGCAUGCGGCCGCACGCGCGCACGAGGUCGCUAUGGCUGCCAUGCAUGUCGACCGCCGGAUCUUGGAGGAGCACCUCAUCUUCGAGGCCACCGUCGACACCGCCACGAGGUGGUCUACUUUAAAAUACAGUUCGUGAUGUUUUCUCGAGGCCACCGCUAGUGCCUUCUAUGUGAUUUGUCCUCUGUAAUGUUAAUAUGCAAUCUAAUGUUCAGUUAACAGUUCGUCUUCGAGGCCACCGUCGAUACCGCCACGCGGUUGUCUACUUUAAAAUACAGUUCGUGAUGUUUUCUCGAGGCCACCGCUAGUGCCUUCUAGUGAUUUGUCCUCUGUAAUGUUAAUAUGCAAUUUGAUGUUCAGUUAACAGUUUGGUCCUAUGAAAUGUAAUGUUCAGUUAACACUAUGGUCUGACAAUUGCUACAUUUCGUAGUACUGUUCUGAAGCAUUCUUUGUUUUGUUAACUAUCUUAUCUUCUAGUACAUGUUUCUAUUCUGCAAUGCCAUGCUCAGUUAACUAUUUUUGGUUCAUUUGGUCUGCUGUCCAUUUAACUGUUUGGUUCGGUUCCGCAAUUUGAUUUUCAUUUGCUGUGGGUACAAUUUUGUAUUGUUAUGCAUGUGACACCAAUCAAAUUUGGCUAUACUCAAUACAUAUUCUACUGAUAGUAUGGCAACUCUCAGUUAACCUGAUCAAGAUCUUCCUUAUGUGUGUUGUAGGGAAACAAUGGGAGACACUGCGGUUUACCAUCGAGGUUUGUUCAAGCAGGGUCCUUUGGCUAAUAGCACAUUAUUGUGUAGAUGCAGGAAUCAUUCUAAUAUUUAGGUUUCUUACAAUUUGGUCUUGCACAUGUAGGUCCUACUGUGAGAGGCUUAGACCCACUGUUCGACCCAUUUUGCAUAUGGGGAAAUGAGAUGUCCGUGAAUAUCAGUCAAGAAACUCAGAAUGAUUGUUAGGAUGAAGAAACUUGCGACGAAUAACAGCAAGAUCUUUGUUUGCACAAUGAAGAAGACAUCAGUCAACUAUAGGAUGGUACCAAAUCUUUUACCUUGUUUUUACCCCUUGCGCCAUUUCGAAUUUUACAACAGCGAUUUAUGCAUAGCUUUGUUUUCAAUACUCUUCAAAGAAGUUCACCGAUGAUUACCUCUCAAACCACCUGCAUGGUCAAGAGGCGAGGAAGGUAUUCAUUCAACACCCACGGUACAAUAUUGAAGUUUUGCUGAAGAGGACGUAUGUUGGGCGGGCAAUUAUCCAUAGCCACUAGCUUAAAGUUGCAAGGACAUUGAACAUCACUGAAGGCUCAAUAUUUGCCUUCCGCUUCUGCAGUUUCCCAGAUGAGAUUCAUCUGUCUAUUUACCGUGUAUGAUGCUACUUUCCAAAGGAUUUUGAUGCUGCAUGUGGAACUUGCUGCCGUUGUGUAAUGGCGUAACUGAGUGCCGAAGCUAUCUGAUGUAAUUCGAUUAUGAAAUCCUGGUUGCUUUUAUAUGGAUAUGAAAUAUACGGCGUGUUUUAUAAGAAAUAUCGGUUUGAUUAGUACAUGGAUUAUCAUUAAUAGGCUAAUUACCCUGCUUAUUGGGGUUUUCAAUUACAGACGGUUACUCAGACAGCACCGUGGGCGAUGAACUCAAACAACCCGCACGGUUUCUAGAAAGUAGGCGUAUUCGAUCGACUAACAAUCUCACACGGCUUCCGGCAGCGAACUGUUUGCGUUAGGCCACCUUUUCACAACAGUUUCCACACAAAAAAACUGUGUGUGAUAUACAUACCUACGGAAAUGUUUUUCUAGGAUUCACCAUGUGGGAUGUACAUACCUACGGAAAUGAUUUUCUGGGAUUCACCGUGUGGCAUGUACAUACCUACGAAAAUGAUUUUCUGGGAUUCACCGUGUGGGAUGUACAUACCUACGGAAAUGAUUGGGUUUCGAUGCACGCGGCCCAGCCUGUGUCCCAGGAGGGCCAAUCCCCGACGAUUUCUGGGUCGUGUGGGAAGGACCCCCCUAUCGCCCACACUCACUUGGCGACCGUUCCAAAUGCCGCCGUGGAAAGGGGUUAAAAACCAUUUGUAUAGCACGUCGUUGUACCAGUGAAAGCAGUUCACUGAUGAUUACCUCUCAAACCACCUAUAUGGUCAGGAGGCGAGGAAGGUUUUCAUACAACACCCACGGUUCAAUAUUGAAGUGUUCCUGAAGUGGACGAAGGACGGACGGUCAAUCAUCCACAGGCACUGGCCUAAGGUUGCAAAUACCUUCAACAUGAAUGAAGGCUCAAUAUUCGCCUUCCACUUCAGCAGUAUUCCAGAUGAGAUGCAUCUGUCUAUCUACCAUCUAUGAUGCUAAUUUCGAAAGGUUCUACAUGUUGCAUGUGAAACUUGGUGCUGGUGCAGUUGUGUAAUGGGAUAGCUGAGUGCUGAAGCUAUAUCAUGUUGUACUCUGAUGUAUUUCAAUUAUGAAAUCCUGCUUCCUUAAUAUGGAAAUGAAAUAUAUUAUGUGCUUAAUAUGAAUGUCAAUUAUAUUAAUAAAUGGAUUAUUAAUAAUAGGGCAAUUAGCCUGCUAAUUGGGUUUUGCUAUUGCAAAUGGUUAUUCAAAAAAUAUCGUGGGCGAUGACCUCAGGCAACACACACAGUUUCUAGGAAUAAACCGUGUUGGAUGAAUGAACAAUCACACACGAUCUUCUCUUGAAAACUGUUUGCGUUAGGCCACCUUGUGCAAACGUUUACCACAUAAAAACUGUGUGUGAUGGACAGCCUUUGCCACACGGUUUCUUCUACGCACCGUGUGUGAUGCAUUCAAUAACGCAAAUGAUAAAAUUGUUAAUAUCGUGUGCAAUGGCAACGCUAUCACCAACAAUUUAACGGUUAAAAUUGUGUGUGAUGUACCUGUGAACGGAAACGUUUUCCUUGGAGCUACUAUGUGGGAUGUAAAUACGAACGGAAACAUUUAGCGGGGACUGGCUGUGUGGGAUGUACUUGCGACCGGAAACAAUUUCUCCUGUAUAAUUGUAUUUUUAGCUCUACUGUACGUAUUUCCAUAUUUGAGCGCUAGCCGGUCGCACACGAACUCAUUUUGCCGAGCAUGUGUGCCAGGAGGGCAUAUCCCCAACGGAGGUUUAUAGGUCAUGUGGGAAGGACCCCCCUAUCGCCGUCACUCACUAGGCGACGGUUCCAAAUGUCGUCGCGGAAAGGGGUUAAAAACCGUUUGUAUAGCACAGACGCGUACCAGUGUAGAUUGAUUUUUCUUGCCAUGGGAAGAGGUGCUUUGUGAUGGGUUCGGUCGUGUGGUGUUCUUUCCUAGUGACAGAAGGGGUAGCAAGACUCCUAUUGAUAGGAUAACAAGAUGGGGUCUAUUCCUACAUGAAUAGAUCUUGUCAACAUCAUGUCAUCAUUCCUAUUGCAUUACUCCAUUUUUCCAUGAACUUAAUACACUAGAUGCAUGCUGGAUAGCCAUCGACGUGUGGAGUAAUAGUAGUAGAUGCAGGCAGGAGUCGGUCUACUAAUCUUGGACGUGAUGCCUAUAUAAUGAUCAUUGCCUGGAUAUCGUCAAAAUUAUUUGAAGUUCUAUCAAUUGCCCAACAGUAAUUUUUUUACCCGCCGUAUGCUAUUUUUCUCGAGAGAAGCCACUAGUGAAAUCUACGGCCCCCGGGUCUCUUCUUUAUCAUAUUUUCUUUCUGAUCUAUUAUUCGCCUUUUUUAUUUUCAGAUCUAUUAAUCCAAAAACUCAAAAAUACCGUGCUGCAAUUUGUUUUUAUUUAUUUUAUCUCGCGUUCCCGCGAGAUCUAUUUAUUAAAUCUUCUAUAAAUUUGUCUAUCUUUUACCCGGGAGGGAUUGACAACCCCUGUUACGCGUUGGGUUGCAAGUAUUUGUUCUUUGUGUGUAGUUACCGUUUACAUAGUGUUGUGUGGUUCUCCUACUGGUUUGAUAACCAUGGUCUCAUCAUUGAGGGAAAUACCUAUCGUAGUUGUGCUACAUCAUCCCUUCCUCUUUGGGGAAAAUACUGACGCGGACACGAGCCAUCAAUGUGCAUGCGCCCUGCGCAGGCAGGCUUUAUCUCUAGGACGGCGGUUACUGAGGCGUUGGGGGGAGUAGGGACGUCUCGCCUUGAAAAAGCUGCUACCGUCGCUUCUGGGCCCGGCAGCUCGAUGAGCCCCACGCUGUAUCAUCCCAAAUGGCCGGAACAUGUGCGCCGCAGGCUACUAUCGGCCCAGUGGGAACCAGGGCACCACGGCCUGUCUGCCUCUGGCCCAGAGGACGACACUUGGGCCAGUCCCUGAAUGAUGGCCCUGCCUCGAUUGCUCCGGAGGGAGUCGCCUUGCGAGGCCCCUCGCAAACAGGCCAAGCCCUGUCGAGGCUCCCCUCGCAAGGCCGCCUCGCGAAGCCGGUCAUACGGCGCUAGCCGCAAGGUUCCGCGUCCAGCAUGUGGAUGACGUCCCGCUGUCAGGAUAAGGAUGACGGGGCGUGACCAAGGCCAGUUUCAUUCUAGUGAUAAGAGAGCAGCGGCAGCUGCCUCCUCCAAAGCAAGUCCCAAAUAUUUCCUCUUUGGUGUAAGAGAUCAGGACGGAUCAGCACACCAGGGCGGAGGUCAUCGCCUAACCCACCAGUGUGUCAAAAUGAUCGCUUUAUCAGGCGGAGACCUCUUUUACUCAUGAUAAGCCUGGGCGCCUGUCCCCCUUUGAAUUGCCGCCCUAUGGCCACCCUUUCCCGCUCAUAUUCUCAGGGAAGAGGGCCAAGGCACUACAAAAGGGACAGGGCCGCCUCCAUGUAAGGGGAUCGACCCAUUCUCCCCUACACCUCGUGUACCUCGAGCCACAAGCUCUCCAUUACAGAGCAAUCCAACACAGGCAUGAGUAGGGUAUUACACCGUAACGUGGAACAAACCUGGGUAGCUCGGGCGUCCCUGUUGUGUCCGGUGUGAGUGAUCAGUGCGCUCGUUGUGAUCUCUUCAUAGUUGCCUGAUAACCCAAAAGUAUAGGGGGUCAUAACAGUUUUCGAGGGUAGAGUAUUCGGCCCAAAUUUAUUGAUUCGACACAAGGGGAGCCAAAGAAUAUUUGCAAGUAUUAGCAGCUGAGUUGUCAAUUCAACCACACCUGGAGAUUAAUUAUCUGCAGCAAAGUGAUUAGUAGAAAAGUAGUAUGAUAGUUUUGAUAGUAGUAGCAACAUCAAUAGUAACAGUAACAGUGAUAGCAAUGAUUUUGUAGCAAGUGUAACAGUAACAGCAGCGGUAACCUAGCAGAAACAAUAUAAGAGAAAUUCGUAGGCAUUGGAUCGGUGGAAUUCGUUGGAUGAUAUUCAUCAUAUAACAGUCAUAAGCUAGGGCGAUACGGCAGCGGCUCCAUCUGGUGAAACGUGAUAAUUCCUUUUCCCUGAUUUUUUCUGGAAAUAUGUGAUUUUAUAGUAUCAGGGUUGGAGUCUGCGGAGCCACCAUGAGGGGACAACCCACCAGGGCGCGCUUGGAGGGGGGAGCCCUGGUGGGCUGUGCCCACCCAGGUGCCCCCUUAUGAUUGUUCUUGGCUCUAGAAUUCUCUUUUAUUGAAUACAAAAUCCUCGCAAAGUUUCGUUCCAAUCCGAGAACUUUUAUUUCUGCACAAAAACAACACCAUGGUACUUCUGCUGAAAACAACAUCAGUCUGGGUUAGUUUCAUUCAAAUCAUGCAAGUUAGAGUCCAAAACAAGAGGAAAAGCGUUAGGAAAAGUAGAUACAACGGAGACGUAUCAACUCCCCCAAGCUUAAACCUUUGUUUGUCCUCAAGCAAUUCAGUUGAUAAACUGAAAGUGAAAAAUAAAAACUUUUACGAACUCAUUUGCUCUUGUUUACAUAAAUAAGCAUAAGUAGCACCUAGGUUUUCAGCCAUGAUUAUAACUAACCAUGUCGACAAUAACUCACAAAAUUAUAUUAGCUCAUAUCAAUGACAUAAUCAGCUAGCGAGCAAUAAUAAGAUUUCUCAAACAACAACACGUUAUCAAAACAACUAUGGUAUAAUAUGACAAUAGUGGUAUCUCGCUAGCCCCUUUUUGAGACCGCAAAACAUAAAUGCAGAGCACCUUCAAAGUUCAAGAAGCGACUAAACAUUGUAAUUCAUGGUAGAAAAGAUCCAGUCAUGUGAUACGUCUCCAACGUAUCUAUAAUUUUUUAUUGUUCCAUGCUAUAUUAUAUUCUGUUUUGGAUGUUUAACGAGCUUUAUUAUACACUUUUAUAUCAUUUUUGGGACUAACCUAUUAACCGGAGGCCCAGCCCAAAUUGCUGUUUUUUGCCUAUUUUAGUGUUUCGCAGAAAAAGAAUAUCAAACGAGUCCAAACGGAAUGAAACCUUCGGGAACGUGAUUUUCGGAACGAACGUGAUCUAGAGGACUUGGACCCUACGUCAAGAAAGCAACCAGGAGAGCACGAGGCAGGGGGCGCGCCCUCCACCCUCGUGGGGCCCACGUUACUCCAGCGACGUACUUCUUCCUCCUAUAUAUACCUACGUACAGCCAAACCAACAGAAGCAUCCACGAAAACCUAAUUCCACCGCCGCAACCUUCUGUACCCGUGAGAUCCCAUCUUGGCGCCUUUUCCGGCGUCCUGCCGGAGAGGGCAUUGAUCACGGAGGGCUUCUACAUCAACACCAUAGCCUCUCCGAUGAUGUGUGAGUAGUUUACCUCAGACCUUCGGGUCCAUAGUUAUUAGCUAGAUGGCUUGUUCUCUCUUUUUGGAUCUCAAUACAAAGUUCUCCACGAUUCUCGUGGAGAUCUAUUCGAUGUAAUCUUCUUUUGGGGUGUAUUUGUUAAGACCGAUGAAUUCUGGGUUUAUGAUCAAGUUUAUCUAUGAACAAUAUUUGAAUCUCCUCUGAAAUCUAUUAUGUAUGAUUGGUUAUCUUUGCAAGUCUCUUCGAAUUAUCAAUUUGGUUUGGCCUACUAGAUUGAUCUUUCUUGCAAUGGGAGAAGUGCUUAGCUUUGGGUUCAAUCUUGCGGUGUCCUUUCCCAGUGACAGCAGGGGCAGCAAGGCACGUAUUGUAUUGUUGCCAUCGAGGAUAACAAGAUGGGGUUUAUAUCAUAUUGCAUGAGUUUAUCCCUCUACAUCAUGUCAUCUUGCUUAAAGCGUUACUCCGUUCUUAUGAACUUAAUACUCUAGAUGCAUGCUGGAUAGCGGUCGAUGUGUGGAGUAAUAGUAGUAGAUUCAGGCAGGAGUCGGUCUACUUGUCACGGACGUGAUGCUUAUAUACAUGAUCAUACCUAGAUAUUCUCAUAACUAUGCUCAAUUCUAUCAAUUGCUCAACAGUAAUUUGUUCACCCACCGUAAUACUUAUGCUCUUGAGAGAAGCCACUAGUGAAACCUAUGGCCCCCGGGUCUAUUUUCCAUCAUAUUAAUCUUUCAACACUUAGUUAUUUCCAUUGCCUUUUAUUUUACUUUGCAUCUUUAUUUCUCUUUAUCAUAAAAAUACCAAAAAUAUUAUCUUAUCAUAUCUAUCAGAUCUCACUCUCGUAAGUGACCGUUGAGGGAUUGACAACCCCUUUAUCGCGUUGGUUGCGAGGUUCUUAUCAGUUUGUGUAGGUGCGAGGGACUCAUGCGUGGUCUCCUACUGGAUUGAUACCUUGGUUCUCAAAAACUGAGGGAAAUACUUUACUGCAUCACCCUUCCUCUUCAAGGGAAAACCAAUGAAGUGCUCAAGAGGUAGCAUCAUGAUGCACCGAAUAUUAGCUACACACAAUGCAUGAGGAUGACAAUAGUGUUCUCAGGUUCUGACGCUAAUUUGAGAAGGUGAUCACACAACAUAAAAGUAAAUAGAUAGUCCCUUCGGAAAGGGAAGCAGUGAUUUGCAGCGGUGCUAGAGCUCAAGUUUUUAAAACAGAGGUAAAUGAAAUUUUGAGAAAUGCACCCUUCUUAUUUACUUUGUGACUAUUAGUUAUCGGUAUCUUCCAUGCUAAACACAUUAGUGGCGGUUCCCAAGCGAUAGAAGGAAAGGUUUACUCCCCCUCCACCAACAAUCACACUCCACGGCUUGUCUGAAACAACAGAUACCGUCCAUACCAACAACAGUCCUGGGGGAGUUUUGUUUAAUUGUUUGCAAUUUGAGUUUGGGACUGGGAAUCACUAUUACCGCCCCUCUCGUGCAAGGACGAGUGAAUAAACACUCAUCAUGAGAAUAACUCGCUUAGCAUGGAAGAUACUGACUACCUCCUGUCGCUCUAUGAACAAUCCAUGCACACAAAAAGGGAUAUUUAUUUGAAGUUUUUUGAGGUGGCAAAUGAAAAUUUACUUAGGACGGCAGGGUAAUACCGCAUAUAGGUAGGUAUGGUGGACUCAUCUGGAAUAACUUGGGUUUCAGGUUUUUGAUGCACAACUAGAAUUCCCUCUUAGUACAGGUGAAGGCUAGAAAUAGGUUGAGAAGCGGCCAGCUAGAGAGCGAAAACGGACAUGAACAUGCAUUAUGCAUAAGUAACAUUGGAUACUAGCAUGAGUAGGAUAUGGACACCAUGAACAUAAAUAUCAUAGAGGCAAUGCUGGUUUUGAUUCAACUACAUGCAUGAGCAUGUGCCAAGUCAAGCCACUCGAACAUUUAGAGGAGGAUACUAUAUCAUCAUACUACAUCACAAUCAUUUUAAUGCAAUGUUGACAUCCAAGAUAAAUCAUUAUCCACUCCUAGCUACUUAAGCAUGCAUGGCAUGAGAAACUAUAAUCUCUAAUUGUCAUUGCAAACAUGUUCGAUCAUAAUAGGCUGAAUCAUGGAUACUAGGUUAAACAUAUUUACAAAAACAGAACAAGUUGAGUUCAUACCCGUUUCUCUCUGCCACAACAAGUUCAUCAAAUAUCGUCAUUAUUGCCUUUCACUUGCAUGGCCGAACAAUAUGAAAAUAAUAGUGCAAGAGUGAUGUGGACUAAGCUGGAAUCUGAAAACAUUUUAUUCAAAAGGAGAAGACAAAGUAAUAUGGGCUCUUUGUUAGAUCAACAAUAAGGCAUAAGAGAGCUACUCAACAUUUUCAUCGUGGUCUUCUCCUCGGUAUGACUCAGAAAAAAGGAAAAGGAAUUCAGAGAAACACACUAAAAUACUUUUGGAGUUUUUGGUUUUUCUUGAACAAGCAAGUAGAAGGGAAAAACAAAAACGAGAAAAACUAUUUACACGGGAAAACUCCCAACAAGUAAAAGAAGAACAAGGAAAUCUUUUUGGGUUUUCUUUUUAGUACUACAACAAUUUAAACUAUUUUUGGGACUAACCUAUUGACAUAGUGCCCAGUGCCAGUUGUUUUUUUGCUUGUUUUUUACAUCGCAGAAAAUCAAUACCAAACGGAGUCCAAACAUAGCAAAACUUCUUGGAGAUUUUUUUGACCAGAAGACAUCCAGUGGGCCAGAGAAGCACCUGGGGGGUGCCCCGUGGGGGGCACAACCCACCAGGGCGCGCCUGGGGACCCAGGCGCGCCCAGGUGUGUUGUGCCCACCUCGGUGGCCUCCCGCACCGCCUCCUCGCCCUAUAAAUUCCCAAAUAUUCCAAAAACCCAGGGGAGAACCCUAGAUCAGAAGUUCCACCGCCGCGUGCCUCUGUAGCCACAAAAAACCAAUCUAGACCCCAUUCCGGCACUCCACCGGAGGGGGCAAUCACCACCGGUGGCCAUCUUCAUCAUCCCGGCGGCCACCAACAUGAGGAGGGAGUAGUCCACCCUCGGGGCUGAGGGUUUGUACCAGUAGCUAUGUGUUUAAUAUCUCUCUCUCGUGUUCUUGAGAUGGCACGAUCUUGAUGUAUCGCGGGCUUUGUUAAUAUUAUCGGAUCAUAUGGUGUUUUCCUUUGAGAUUUCGUUUAUCGAAUUGAAUACUUUUAUGGAUUUGAGAACACCUUAUGUAUUUCUUGCUAUGAAUACCCAUGGUGACCAUGGGGUAUCGUAUUGAUUCACGUGAUAUAUGUUUUGGCACUCAACUUGCGGAUUCUGAGGUGACAUUGGGGUAAUCUAUGCAUAGGGGUUGAUGCAUGUUCCUGUCUUUGUUUCUCCGGUAGAAAUAUUGGGACACUCUUUGAGGUUCUUUGUGUUGGAUUGAUAAUUAUGAAUCUGAAAUUAUUUGGUGUUAUUUUAGUAUGAACUCUUGGAUAGAUCGAUCGGAAAGAAUAGCUUCGAGGUGGUUUCGUACCCUACAAGCAAUUUAUUCUUAUGUUCUCUGCUAGAUAGGAACUUUGGAGUGAUUCUUCAUCGCACUUUGAGGGAUGGUUAUAUGAUCCAAUUAUAUUAGCAUUGUUGAGAUAUUGCACUAGCGAAAGUACGGACCCUAGGCCUCAUUUUCAAGCAUUGGAAUAACGUUUGUACUCCGUUUUAUCAAUUGCUACCUUGCUGCUUUUUAUUGUUCCUACUACAAAAACCAAUAUCUACUAGCCAUAUUACACUUGUAUCACCAUCUCUUCGCCGAACUAGUGCACCUAUACAAAUUACCAUUGUAUUUGGCAUGUUGGACACAAGAGACAUUUUAUUAUUUGGUUGAAGAGUUGUUUGAGAGAGACCAUCUUCACCCUAUGCCUCCCAUGGAUUGAUAAACCUUAGGUCAUCCACUUGAGGGAAAAUUGCUAUUGUCCGACAAAACUUUGCCCGUGAAGGCUCAACACGUGUCUAUAAGAAUAAAGUUGCGUAGUAGACAUCAAGCUCUUUUCUACCGCCUUUGCCGGGGAGGUGAGUGCUUGAAGGUAUAUCUUUAGAUCUUACAAUUGAAUGUUUUAGUUUCUUAUUUUAUCACUAGUUUGGUUUUAUAAUAGAAAACUAUAAAAAAUGGAGAUUGGGUUACCUCAGGUUGUUCUUUAUCUUUAUAAUGUCUAUCUUGAGAAUAGGGAUUCCGAUAAAUGUGCUCAAUUGCUAGAAAAAGAAUUCAACAAAAUUUCUGGCAUAAAACAUCUGAUGAUGGGCAUGGUUGCAAUAUUGCUAGUAUGAAUUCUUUGAAUAUCCAUGAUGUUAAUGAUGAUUGCAUUAGUCAUGAUAAUGAUGUCUCCUAUAAGAAUGUCAAUUUUUGCCAAGUGAAUUGGGAGUGCAACUGCACACCAAAAAGGGAAGAUAGAUUUUGUAAGAAGCAUAAAUAUUUAGAAACGAAAAAGUUGCAAGAGAGGCUAGAUGAUUGUGCUGAAAUAUUUAUUUUUUCUCGCCAUCCUUGUGAACUUUGCAAUGAACGUGGUCAUUUAAAUCACCAAUGCAAAUUGUUUCAUGAUCAAAUCGUGUCCAAAAAUUGUGACAACUUGAUUACCCUUGAGCAUCAUAAAGAGCUUAGUUUUCUUUUGGGGUAUGAAGAAAUGAAACGUAUAACUGAGGGUAUUCCAAAAUUUAAUUUCAAAAGAUUUCUUGAUUUUGAUCUAGGGGAAAUUUAUAUGUUUUGUGCGGUAAAUUGCAUUGAGAAUCCUUAUAUUGCCAACUAUCUAAACACAAGAAAACAAAUAGAAUAUGAAGAGAAUACUAAUGAAAGGGAAAAUAUUUCCUAAUACCCUCCUAGUGUUUAUUAUGAUGAAUCUGGUAACGAGGAGGAGCUUCCUACCAACCAAUCUCAACAAUAAGAAGCUUGAAAAAAUUAAUUAAACCCACACAUGAUGUGGUGAAGAAGAAGAAAAGAAGAAAGAAUAGACGUAAAAAGGUAUCUCUCCCAAAUAAUUUUGCUCCUAUUAUUGUUGUGCCUCAUGAAAAUGAAUCAAAAAUAAUUGUGGAAGAUGAUUCACUUGAUGAUGAUAUUGCUUCUAUGUCUUAUGGCACAAUGUCCGAGAGCACUAUUGAUGAUGAUUUUGUUAUGCCUAUUGCUUGUUGUGAUGAUUAUGAUUGGGAAGAUACUGAUACUUCUUAUAAUCUUGGAAAUCUUUUGGGCGCCAACUUGGGAAAUUAUGAUGAUAGCAAUUGUUAUACCGUUGGUGCUAUUCAUACUAUUAAUGAUGAGAGUGAUUAUGCUUAUGAUAUGCCAAGCCACAAGCUUGGGGAUGCUAUGUUUGAUGAUAAUGUAUGUUUGAGAAUUUAUUUGCUAUAAUUAAUGUUUCUCCCAAGCUUGGUGAUGAUAUGCUUAAUGAAGAUGAUCUUUUUAGCCCCCUAAUUCGAAUGAUCAAAUUUGCUAUGAUGAUUGCAUGCCCCCUAUCUAUGAUGAGAACAAAGUUGCUACUUAUGACGAUUAUUGUGAUGAUACUUAUGUUAUAAAAAGUAGUGAUAAUUAUUGUCAUAAUUUUGAAUAUCCUUUUACUGAACAUUACUCUUUUAAUGUGGAAACAAUAUUUAGUAUCCGAGUUUCAUAUGAUACUCCCACUAGUGUGAAUGAGAAUAAAAUUGCUUAUACUGAGAGUAGUAAAUUUUCUAUGCUUUUGGUUCAUGAAAAGGAUGCUUUAUGUGAUGGUUAUAUUGAUGAAUCCAUUCAUGAUGCUACUGAAAAUUAUUAUGAGAGAGGAACUUAUGAUUCAUGAUGCUCUUGUUAUGUUUCAAUCCUUAUCUUUUAUGUGAGCAUCAUUGAACUCAUCAUGCCUAGCUAAAAGGAAUUAAAGAAAAGCGCUUGUUGGGAGACAACCCAACACUUUUACCUACUGUUUUUGUGUGUUCAUAUGAUUAUGCUACUGUAGUAAUCAAGUUUUAUUGCUUUUGUUUCAAUAAAGUUCCAAGUAAAACCUUUAGGAUCUUCUUGGGUGAUAGUUAAUAUCCAAGGAAGAUCCAAGCAACUAAGCUUGGGGAUGCCCGGGAAGGCAUCAGCUCUUUCGUCUCCAACAAUAUCGGUAAUCUUACUUGAGGCUAUAUUUUUAUCCGUCACAUGAUAUGAGUUUUGCUUGGAGCGUCAUUUUAUUUUGUUUUGAUUUGCUUGAUUUUAUUUAGAAUAAUUUUUUGCAUCUUUCUUUUCAAUAAAAAUAUCAAGGAUAGGCUUUACCAUUCUUAUUUUGCAAGUCUACAUGUUGUUGUUUCAAAACAGAAAGUUUAUCACUGUUGCAAAAGUUCCCGAGAAAAGUCAAAAUGUGAUAAAAUGUUGAAACGUUUUGCGAAGUAAGCUCUGAUAAAUUUUCUACAGUGUGGUAAAGUUUUAGAAUUUUUGGAGUUACAAAGGUAUGAUUCUUCUUGCAUACUUUACAAACUGUACAGUUUUGGCAGAUUGCUGUUAUGGUUGCAUUGUUUGCAUAUGUUUGCUUGUUUAAUGAUUCUAUUUGCGGAUAGGAGUAUUAAAUAUGCAGAGGCAUUUAGUAUGAAAUGUUAAAUAAUAAUUUUAGUGGUUUGCUACAGUAGAGAAUGAUAAGGUUUUGCGUUGAUUUAUACUAACAUAUCUCAGGAGUUCUUGUUGAGUUUUGUGUGGAUGAAGUUUUUAAGAUUUAGGGAAACCGUGAUGUAAAAGGAAAUAAGGAGACACAAAAAAUCAAGCUUGGGGAUGCCCAGGGCAUCCCAAGAUAAUAUUUCAAGAAGUCUCAAGCAUCUAAGCUUGGGGAUGCCCCUGUAGGCAUCCCACCUUUCUUCAUCAACAAUUAUUGGUUAGUAUCGGUUGAUCCUAAGUUUUUGCUUCUUCACAUGAUGUGUGCUAUUCUUGGAAUGACAUUUUAUUUUGUUUUUCUUGCUUUUUUAAUAAAAUACUUAGAUCUGAAAGUUUUUAAAUAAGAGAGAGUCAUCACAUAGCAACCUAUUUACUUAACUACUCACUUGAUAUUCACUUAUAUCUUUUUCGAGUAGUUUGUCAUUUACUCUCGUGCUUCACUUAUAUCCUAUGAGUAAAUUGUUGAAUGAACUUAAUAUAAUGAAGUUGAAAUUAUAUGUUCAUAUCAUUCCUAGUAGUAGCUUUACAUUGGGUUUAGAAAGUGAAAUCUUUUGAAUCUUGACAAUCACAAUAUUGGUCAUACAAGCAAUUCAUGAAUGAUUACUAUAAGGAAGAGAACUUUCACAUGCAAAUAUAUUAUCUUGGGCAUCUUUUGUGAUUGUGAAUACCCAUUAAUUAUUCUCAAACUUGAGCAAAUUGGUUGAAGUUGGACAAGGAAGACAACGUAAUGAGUUAUGUUUGGGGUAUAUUUGCAUAGAAGUUAUACUGUUAUGGAUCCUCCAACAUGUGGUGUUUGCCUAGGAUCUUUUGCUAGCCAAAAACUCGUACUAAGUAGAGAUACUACUUGUGCAUCCAAAAAACCCUUAAACCAGUUUCCUGCCACGAGUGUCCACCAUACCUACCUAUGGAUUGAAUAAGAUCCUUCAAGUAAGUUGUCAUCGGUGCAUAAAGCAAUACAAAUUGCUCCUAAAUAUGUUUGAUCUUUUAUUGUAAGAGAAAAUUGAGCGUUGUACGAACUUGUGAUGGAAAAGUAAUAAAAGCGACAGACUGCAUAAUAAAGGUUGCUACCAUAAGGAGCAAUAUAACGUGACGUUCCUUUGCAUUAAGAGCUUGGGCAUCCAAAUAAAAAGCGCAUGACAACCUUUGCUUCCCUCUGCGAAAGGCUUAUCUUUUACUUUUUAGUGUUUGCUUUUAUGCAAAAAGUCAAUAGUAUGCAUUCUCAUUUCAACCUCAAUUAUUCUCUAGUUGGCAAGCAUCAUGUGGUGGGGAAAGAUCUAGGCACAUAUGACCAGUCAAAUAUAUUUGAUCAUGAUUUAUUAUUGUUGACAAUUAUCUCUAUGAUAAAUGAGUUGGGAGGCGAAACAUUAAGCCCCUAUCUUUCUCUGUGUUCGAUGGAUGCCAUUUGUUCUAAGAAUAUGCUUUGAGUGGUAGCAAUCAUGGAAGACUAUAUGAUGAUUGAGUAUGUGGAGCUCUUACUUAGACUCUGUUGAAUAAGUUGAAUUGCAAUUGUUUGGUGACUAAGAAUAUAGGUUGUUGAGUUUCAAGAGAAUUCAUUAUUUGAACCUUAACAUGCGAAUUUGUUGCUACUUUAAAAUGAGAAGUUUUAUAAGAAAUAAUUGUUGUUAUGAUGCUAGGAAAAGUGAUUGAUCAAACUUAUGCACCUUGCUAGCAUUCACACUUCAUAAAUUAUUUCUUUUAUCAUUUACCUACUCGAGGACAAGUAGGAAUUAAGCUUGGGGAUGCUGAUACGUCUCCAACGUGUCUAUAAUUUAUGAAGUAUUCAUGCUGCUAUAUUAUCAUUCUUGGAUGUUUUACAAUCAUUUCAUAGCAACUUUAUAUCAUUUUUUGGGACUAACCUAUUGACAUAGUGCCCAGUGCCAAUUGUUGUUUUUUGCUUGUUUUUUACAUCGCAGAAAAUCAAUACCAAAUGGAGUCCAAAAGCAACGAAACUUUUUGGAGAUUUUUUUGAACCAGAAGACAUCCAGUGGGCCAGAGAAGUACCUGGGGGGUGCCCCAAGGGGGGGAACCCCACCAGGGCGUGCCUGCGGCCCAGGCGCGCCUAGGCGGAUUGUACCCACCUCGGUGGCCUCCCGCACCGCCUCUUCGCCCUAUAAAUUCCCAAAUAUUCCAAAAACCCAGUGGAAAACUCUAGAUCAGAAGCUCCGCCACCAUAGGCCUCUGUAGCCAUGAAAAACGAAUCUAGAGCCCGUUCCGGCACUCCGCUGGAGGGGGAAAUCAUUACCGGUGGCCAUUUUCAUCAUCCCGACAACCACCAUGAUGAGGAGGGAUUAGUCCACCCUCAGGGCUGAGGGUUUGUACCAGUAGCUAUGUGUUUAGUCUCUCUCUCUCUCUCGUGUUCUUGAGAUGGCACGAUCUUGAUGUAUCGCGGGCUUUGUUAAUAUAGUCAGAUUAUAUGCUAUUUUCCCCUCUCUAUCUUGUUGUGAUGAAUUGAGUAUUCCCUUUGAGAUUUUGUUUUAUCGGAUUGAAUACUUUUAUGGAUUUGAGAACCCUUUAUAUAUGUCUUGCUAUGAAUACCCAUGGUGACAAUGGGGUAUCGUAUUGAUUCACUUGAUAUAUGUUUUGGCACUCAACUCGCAGAUUCCCGAGGUGACAUUGGGGUAAUCUAUGCAUAGGGGGUGAUGCACGUUCUUGUCUUUGUUUCUCCGGUAGAAAUAUUGGGGCACUCUUUGAGGUUCUUUGUGUUGGAUUGAGUAUUAUGAAUCUGAAAUUAUUUUUUGUUAUUUUAGUAUGAACUCUUGGAUAGAUCAAUCAGAAAGAAUAGCUUCGAGGUGUUUUCGUAUCCUACAAACAAUUUCUUCUUAUAUUCUUCGCUAGAUAGGAACUUUGGAGUGAUUCUUCAUCGCACUUUGAGGGAUGGUUAUAUGAUCCAAUUAUAUUAGCAUUUUUUAGAGAUUGCACUAGCGAAAGUACGGACCUUAGGCCUCAUUUUCAAGCAUUGCAAUACUGUUUGUGCUCCGUUUUAUCAAUUGCUACCUUGUUGUUUUUCAUUGUGCCUACUACAAAAACCAAUAUCUACUAGCCAUAUUACACUUGUAUCACCAUCUCUUCACCGAACUAGUGCACCUAUACAAAUUACCAUUGUAUUUGGUGUGUUGGGGAUAUAAGAGAUGUAGCGAUCCGACCUCAGACGGUCAAAUCUUUGUGCAUAAGUUUCAUCCAUGGAUCGGUAAUGCUGACACACACAGUACUUGAAGGAUUUAUAACAGAGGGCAAUCACACACUUAUUACAUCGAAUGUCUCAGAAGAGAACUCAUUACAAUAAUAUGGCUUAAGGCCAUCUAAAUAAGAUAACAGCGGAAGGCUUGGAAGAUAAAGCGAGUCCAUCAACUCCAACGGCAUAGCUGAGUGCACGACAACGACCUAGCGCACCUUACUCUUCGUCUGAAAAGUCUGCAACAUGACAUGUUGCAGCCCGAAACGGGUCAGCACAUGGAAUAUGCUGGCAAUAUAACACAGUAGAGCAAUGAACAGGUAAAUGCUAUCACUACAUGCAUAUAUGGCCGGUGGAGGCUCUAUGGUUAUAUUGUUUUGCGAAAAGAAAAAUUUUCCCUACAUCAAAGGAAUAUAGUUUAUUUAACUACAAUGUUGGUUGAAAACAUUGAGAAAGGAAACUCCAUCUCAAUCCCAAUUAAAAAAAAGUAGUUAAUAAUCCAACAAAUUAAUUUACAGUGAUGAGACCAACAUGAUAAUCCAAGAACCAGAUACUCAAGAUGUCCAUAACCAAGGACACGGCUAACCAUGAUUAAUAUGUACACUCUGCAGAGGUUUGCACACUUUUCCCCAUAAGACUCGAUCUCCUCCGUUGGAUAUCUCGCACUACAUGGUGUUUGAGAAAUGGAUGACCGAGACACAGUCUUUCAGAAACAUUAACUCUUUACUCUGGGUAGACAGUACCAACCUACAUCCCCUACAUCUACUAGUCUACCACUGAAAGAGGUCAUGCAACAUACUCAACUAUGCUAGAGCCCAUAAUAGCUUGUGGCUGCACACGGAAGUUUCUAGCAUGAAUAAUCUUAUGAUCCCUUUGAGCCUGGGUGGCGAACCAAAGGACAACACUGGUAUAUUCCCAGGUGCCCGCAACCACUCCACCCAGAUGUGUAUUUAAGUAGCCACCUUAAGUUAACCAUUAAUUAACAAUCUCACAUCUGUCAUGGAUCACUCAAACCAAACCGCGUCUACGAUGAUAGCAUGGCAACCUAAGCAUAACGUAGAAAUAACUCCCAAGGGUUUGACAAUAAAAGGGCAAUAGGUUCUACCUCAUCAUCUACUUCCCUAUACCCACAAGUUAAAUCACAUCCUAAUCAUGUAGUGUUUGAGGAUUGUAACUAAUGCAUAAAAACUGGGUAAUAAAGGGGUAUGAUCAUUGUGUUACUUGCAUUGCUGACGAUCUGCAAACCGUAAAGACUCGUAGUAGCAUGCUUCGCACUCCGGGAAUUCUAUCGCAAACAAACAAUAGCAUACAUAAGCACUCAAGCAUAGAUGCAAGGGUAAAACUCAGAUGAGAAAAUCCAAUCUGAAAAUUCAACUGAAGAGCUUCGAUUUGCAAAAAGAAUCAAUUGAAUCGGAGCUACAGAACUGAAACUACGAUCAAAAGAACUUCGAAUUCAAAUCUGCUUGAAAACAAAUUUUCAAUUUGUCAAAACCAUGUUCAAGUUGAUUACCGGAAAGAGGGGUUCGAGACGAAGAUUUUGGCAUUGGUUUCACUGGAUUUGGACGAACGGUUAAAAAGUUGCGAGGGAUUGAAUAUCAGGGGCUAAUCUACGAUAAAAGUAAUUGUGGAUAGGUCCCUGGCCGAAAAAUAAAAUAAAAAGAAAAAACUACACUGCGAACGUUCGCUAACAGAGGCAAACGAACGAAUUCGUUCGUUAAAAUGAACUAACGAACGAACGUUGGUAAAAUAAUCUAAACCGGGAAAACCGAACCGAUCUAAUAAUAAACCGAUCUGGUGUUUUAAAAAAGGUUCAUACCUAAAACCGAAAAAAAACGGCGGCGAAGAAGUCAACGGCGGCGGCAGAUGCGGCUAUGCGGCGGCGGCGGCAGCGGGCGGCGCAGCGGCGGCUACACGGCGGCGGUGGCAGAUGCGGCGGCGGCGGCUUGGGACGAGGAGGAGAGGGCGGCGGGGCGGCGGUAUUUAAGGGGAGGAGGGGCGCGCGGCGCGGCUCGGAGCCGGACUCCAGCCGGUGUCCGACGCGGGCACGGCGGGGAAGGCGGUGGCGCAGCGGGCCGGCUGGGCCUUCGGCCCAGUGUGGUCUGGGAAACCUUUUUUUUAUAAAAUAAAUUCCACCGAAAGGGAAAAAAACCUAAAUAAAUAUAAAAAAAGAAUCUAAAAAUUUCAAAAACAAUUUUCACCGUCUAAAAUAAAAUAUUUAGAACAAAGUGAACAUUUUUCUGGCCUAAAAAUGCAUAUUUUUCUAAUUCAAAUAAAAUAGUAAUAAAACCAAAUAAAACUAUUUAUUUGAUUUUAAUAUUUUUCCUCCAAUAUUUCUUCUAUUUUGGAGAAGUCAUUUUAUCUCCGCUCUUUUAUUUUUAUAUUGGAAAUAUUUUGGAGAGAAAAAUAAUUAAAAAAAUGGUCCUCUUUUCAAAUUUGAGAAAAAUAUUCAAAUAUGAAAGUAAACGAAAUCCCCAACUCUCUCCGUGGGUCCUUGAGUUGCUUAGAAUUUCUAGGACCAAAACCAAAAUGCAAAUAAAAUAUGAUAUGCAUAUGAUGACCUAUGUAUAACAUUCCAAAUUGAAAAUUUGGGAUGUUACAAACCUACCCCCCUUAAGAUGAAUCUCGCCCUCGAGAUUCGGGUUGUCUAGAAAAUAGGUGUGGGUGGUCUUUCCGUAGGUCUUCCUCUCGUUCCCAGGUGGCUUCAUCCUCGGUAUGGUGGCUCCACUGAACUUUGCAAAACUUGAUAACCUUGCUGCGUGUGACUCAGCUGGCAAACUCGAGAAUCUUGCCUGGUUUCUCCUCGUAAGUCAAAUCGCUAUUCAACUGUAUUGCUUCCAGGGGCACUGUAUCUCUCAGAGGAAUAUCGGCCAUCUCAGCAUGGCACUUCUUCAACUGGGAAACAUGAAACACAUCAUGAACUCCUGACAGUCCUUCGGGUAACUCCAGCUUGUAGGCUACUUCUCCCAUACGUUCCAAAACUCGGUAUGGUCCUACAAAUCUCGGGGCUAACUUUCCUUUAACCCCAAAUCAUUUAACUCCUCGAAGUGGUGACACACGAAGAUAUGCUCUAUCUCCGAUUUCAUAGACUACCUCCUUGCGUUUUGAGUCUGCAUAACUCUUCUGCCUGGAGUGAGCUACCCUCAGUCUAUCGUGAAUCAACUUAACCUUCUCUUCGGACUCUUUAAGAGAAUCAGGUCCAAACAACUAACGGCCUCCAACGUCAUCCCACAUCAACAGUGUCCUGCACCUCCUUUCAUACAAAGCUUCUAAAGGUGCCAUCUUCAAACUGGCCUCGUAGCUAUUGUUGUAUGAGAACUCCGCGUAAGGCAAAUUAUCAUCCCAACUAGAUCCAUAAUCUAGCGCACAAGCUCUCAACAUGUCCUCCAGAACCAGAUUGACUCUCUUCGUCUGUCCAUCUGUCUGCGGAUAAAAGGUUGUACUGAACUCCAGCCUGGUACCCAAAGCCUGGUGCAGCUAGUGCCAAAACUUUGAUGUAAACUGUGUUCCUCUAUCUGAUACGAUGGUUCUCGGAACUCCAUGCAGACAUACGAUCCUGGUCAUAUAUAUCUUGGCCAACUUCGCACUCGUAUAGGUGGUCUUCACUGGGAUAAAGUGAGCUACUUUGGUCAAACAAUCCACUACUACCCAGAUAGAAUCAUAUCCCGAUGGGGUCCUGGGUAAUCCGGUGAUGAAAUACAUGCCAAGCUUAUCCCACUUCCAUUCGGGUAUCGGCAUAGGUUGCAGUAAUCCCGCUGGCUUCUGAUGUUCUGCCUUCACUCUCUGACAUACAUCACAUACGGCUACAUACUCGGCAAUAUCCUUCUUCAUUCCUGUCCACCAGAAACGCUCCUUCAAAUCCAAAUACAUCUUGGUGUUUCUGGGGUGUAUUGUGUAUGGCGAGUCAUGAGCUUCCUGAAGUAUUAACUUCUUGAUCUCUGCAUUAUUGGGUACAUAAACACGGUCCUCAAACCAUAAAGUGUCAUGCUCAUCCUCACGAAAACCCUUCGUUUUUCCUUUACUCAUCUUCUCCUUUAUCUCGGCAAUCUCUUUGUCAUCCUUCUGAGCUUCUCGAAUCUUUCCCAAUAAUGUCGACUGAACCUCCAUUGUUGCGACAAAACCUCUAGGGACUAUCUCCAAACGUAGCUCCCUGAGAUCUUCAACUAACUCCUUUGGUAAUCCUCCGCUUACGAGGGUAUUGUCAUAACUCUUCCGGCUCAAAGCGUCUGCUACGACAUUGGCCUUGCCUGGAUGAUAGUGCAACUUCAUAUCAUAAUAUUUUAUAAGCUCCAACCAUCUCCUUUGCCUGAGAUUCAGCUCCUUCUGUGUGAAAAUGUACUUCAAACUCUUGUGAUCCGUGUACACAUCACAACGAUUUCCAAUAAGAAAAUGUCUCCAGGUCUUGAGUGCAUGAACUGCAGAUGCUAACUCCAAAUCAUGCGUGGCAUAACUCAACUCAUGCGGUCGAAGCUUGCGUGAGGCAUAUGAGACGACUCUUCCGUCUUGCAUAACUACACCUCCAAGUCCUAAGCGAGAAGCGUCGCAAUACACUUGGAAAUCCUUGCGUAUAUCCGGCAGAAUCAGCACUGGGGCUGUAACCAAACGUUUCUUUAGCUCCUGAAAACUUGCCUCACAUUCAUCUGCCCAUUUCAACUUGGUGUCCUUCUUCAACUCCGUCAUAGGCUUCGCAAUCUUAGAAAAAUUCUCAAUGAAUCUCCGAUAAUAUCUCGCGAGUCCUAGAAAACUGCGGAUCUCUCCAGCUAAGGUGGGUGAUAGCCAAUCGGUGACUGCCUUAACCUUGGUAGGAUCCACUGCUAUACCUUCUCCUGAUAUAACAUGUCCAAGAAAACCAACUUCCUUCAACCAAAACUCGCAUUUGCUGAACUUGGCAUAUAACUGGUGCUCCCUGAUCUUCUCGAGAACGAAACACAAAUGCUCCUUGUGUUCCUCUUCAUUCUUCGAGUACACCAAAAUAUCAUCAAUGAAUACCACGACAAACUUAUCCAAGAACUCCAUGAACACCUUAUUCAUCAUACUCAUGAAAUAGGCUGGGGCGUUAGUCAAUCCAAAUGACAUAACUGUAUACUCAUAUAGCCCGUACCUUGUGGUGAAGGCUGUGUUAGGUAUAUCCUAUUCUCGGAUCUUCAGCUGGUGGUAUCCUGAUCGUAGAUUGAUCUUGGAGAAUACUUUAGCUCCUUGAAGCUGGUCAAACAAAUCAUUGAUCAUCGGCAAUGGGUACUUGUUCUUGAUCAUCACUUCAUUCAAUGCACGAUAAUCAACAACCAUUCUCAAAGAUCCAUCCUUCUUCUCAACCAAAAGCACUGGUGCUCCCCACGGUGACGAACUUCGUCGAAUGUAACUUUCUCCAAUAACUCCUUAAUCUACUUCUUAAUCUCCUCCAGAUCAUUUGUGGGCAUCCGCUAUGGUCUCUUCGAUAUCGGUCUAGUGCCUGGCAACAGCUCUAUCAAAAACUCAAUGUCUUGAUCCGGCGGCAUGCCUGGUAGCUCCUCUGGAAAAACAUCCGGAUAAUCCUUCACUACAGGCACUUCCUCCUGAACAACUCCUGAGAGGGAAUUUACUUGGGUUCUCCUUGGCGCAUACCUGGGUACAUACUUAAUCCUUUUUCCCUCCGGGGUGGUGAGCAGAAUUGACCUACUAGCAUAGUCAAUGUUUCCUCCAUACUUCGAUAGCCAGUCCAUGCCUAGUAUCACAUCCAAUCCUUGUCUGAGGGGAAGACAUGGCUACCAAUGAUUAAGGGUAACCGAUCACACCAUCGGCUGGCCAUAUACUCUGCUCCUGGUGAGCUUACUAGCAUGGGUGACCUAAGGGCUAAGGUGGGUAUCUUAAACUUGUCCACAAAUCCCCUUGAUAUGUAUGAAUGUGAUGCACCAGUAUAAAAAAGAACGAGGGCGGUAAAUGACUUAACCAAAAAACUUACCGAUAACUGCAUGUGGCUGCUCUUCAACCUCCUCCACGUUCACGUGGUUCACUUGUCCCUUGUUGAAAGGGUUGGGCUUCUUCCCAGAGCUUCCAUUGCCAUUACCAUUCUUUGCUUCAGAACACUCAUUGUCAUAAUGUCCAGUCUUCCCGCACUUGAAACAAGUAAUGUGACUUUGGUCCUUCUUGGCGGGUAUGGCUGGGUUAGAGCGGUUCUGAUUGCUGUUUGCUCCAUUCCCAUUUCCAUUCUUGGGGCCACUGUGGUUAUGCGAACUUCCUACAUUGUGCGUGUGGCCUCCAUGGUUAUGGGUAUAUCCUCCCGAGUUCGGGGUAAAACGAGGCUUCUGUUGAGCUCCUGAAUUGUACUUCCCUUGUCCAUACUUCCUUUUGCGGCUCUCAAUCUGCUGCUGCUUCCCUUCAAUCAUAAGAGCCUUGUCUACCAACUCCUGGUAGUUGUUAAAUGUUGCCACCAUUAACUGCAUACUCAUCUCAUCAUUCAGCCCUUCCAUAAACUUCUCUUGCUUCGCGGCGUCUGUGGCCACAUCAUCUGGGGCGUAGCGAGCUAACUUACUGAACUCAUCCACGUACAGCCCCACUGUACGUUUUCCCUGGCGUAAGUUGUGAAACUCACACUUCUUCAUGCUCAUAGCUCCAGUUGAGACAUGUGCAGUGCGGAAUGCUUGCUGAAACUGCUGCCAAGUGACAUUGGCCAUACGGAAAGUGGUUGUGUAAUUCUCCCACCAUGAGGAUGCGGGUCCAUCCAAUUGAUGUGCGGCAAAACGCACCUUCUCAGCAUCUGUGCAACCUGCGGUGGUCAACUCCCUUCCAAUCUUGCAUAGCCAGUCAUCAGCAACUAUAGGCUCGGUGCUACUGGAAAACACCGGCGGCUGCAACCUCAGAAAACGGGCUAAGUUGUCAACUGGAGGUGGUGGCGGUGGGUUGUUGUUGUUGUUGUUGUUGUUGUUGUUGUUGUUGUUGUUGUCGUUGUUGUUGUUGUUGUUGUUGUUGUUGUUGUUGCCUUGGUUCUGUACUAGUAACUGCAUCAAGGCAUUCUGCUGUUGGAUCAACUGAGUGAGCUCCGGUGGGAAGACAAAUCCGGGGUCACAUCUCGGAGGCAUCUAAUGGGUUUAGAGGGGAGAUAUUAGAAUAGAAUGAGGUCUAGUGAGAAAACACUACCCAUAUGCACAUGAGACAAACACAUUCAUAUCACACCAAUCAAUUCAAACAAGGGCAUACAAUCGAUCUAACUAUCGUUACAGUGGUCAGACUAUUACUAUAUACAUGGGGGAAUACUACUGAUAAUAUGGUGGUCGACUAGAAAUUUUGAUCGGUGGAAGACUCCAUGAUAUCCGCUCCAGCUUCGUCUUCGCAAUCAUCAUCACUACUGUCGGGGUCGGAGUCGGUGUCGUCGAUGAUGAUGUAGUCUUCAGAACGGAUGUCCUCAGGAGGGUCAUCAUCUCCUCCUGGCGCGGGGUCUCCCAUGAACACUCCUAGCUUCCUUGUGAGGUCGUCAUUCUUCUCCACUAGUAUUGUGAUUUCCUCCUCAUAUCCGUCGCGUGUAGACUUGAGUUCCUCUUCUAGCUCCAUGUUCCUGGUCAUCACUUUCUUCAGAUCUAUCAUGCUUGCACGCAUUUGGUUCUCCUAGCGACGAAUGUGCUGGUUUAACUCCUGGAUGAAAGCUGCAAUGGACCUGUCCCUCCUGGUGCAAAUAAUCUCCCAUUGCUCAUCUCGGCGCCCACACAUCUGGUAGAUGGUGUCCUUAAGCUCCUUGUGAUAAACUUCGCCGAUGCGUCCCAUGGUGAUGUGCGUUGCCAUGCUCUUUCCUAGACUCCAGGUUGGUGCAUUAAAGGAAAACUCUAUGGGCUCAGUAACUGGCGUGAAUGUCCUUCCUGGAACUUGAACUCGAAUCAUCCAACGCUCCUCUUCUGGUAAAGUGGCGGCGUAAGUCCCGGUGAAGCUUGGUAUUCUGAUAUUCAGGUACCUAGUGACUUCCUUCAGGUGUCGUCCAAAAGGUGUGUCUUCAUCCGGUUGUGCAAACUUGUUCCUUGAGUCCGCCAUUAUAUAGAGUGGAAAAUGGAGAGAAGUCAGAAAUGAGUAGAGAAGAGUGACCUAUGGCUUAUCUUAGUGGUCAUGUCCUACAAUCAGCGUGUGCUCUGAUACCAUCUUGUAGUGAUCCGACCUCAAACGGUCAAAUCUCUGUGCAUAAGUGUCAUCCCUGGAUUGGUAAUGCUGACAAACACAGUACUUGAAGGAUUUAUAAUAGAGUGCAAUCACACACUUAUUACAUCGAAUGUCUCAGAAGAGAACUCAUUACAAUAAUAUGGCUUAAGGCCAUCUAAAUAAGAUAACAGUGGAAGGCUUGGAAGAUAAAGCGAGUCCAUCAACUCCAAUGGCAUAGCUGAGUGCACGACAACAACCUAGCGCACCUUACUAUUCGUUUGAAAAGUCUGCAACAUGAUAUGUUGCAGCCCGAAACGGGUCAGCACAUGGAAUAUGCUGGCAAUAUAACACAGUAGAGCAAUGAACAGGUAAAUGCUAUCACUACAUGCAUAUAUGGCUGGUGGAGGCUCUAUGGUUAUAUUGUUUUGCGAAAAGCCAUUUUUUUUCCUACAUCAAAGGAAUAUACUUUAGUUAACUACAAAGUUGGUUGAAAACAUUGAGAAAGGAAACCCCAUCUGAAUCCCAAUUAAAAAAGUAGUUAAUAACCCAACAAAUUAAUUUAGAGUGAUGAGACCAACAUGAUAAUCCAAGAACCAGAUACUCAAGAUGUCCAUAACCGGGGACACGGCUAACCAUGAUUAGUUUGAACACUCUGCAGAGGUUUGCGCACUUUUCCCCACAAGACUCGAUCUCCUCCGUUGGAUUUCUCGCACUACAUGGUGUUUGAGAAACGGAUGACCGAGACACAGUCUUUCAGAAACAUUAACUCUUUACUCUGGGUAGACAGUACCAACCUACAUCCCCUACAUCUGCUAGUCUACCACUGAAAGAGGUCAUGCAACAUACUCAACUAUGCUAGAGCCCAUAAUAGCUUGUGGCUGCAAACGGAAGUUUCUAGCAUGAAUAAUCUUAUGAUCCCUUUGAGCCUGGGUGGCAAACCAAAGGACAACACCGGUAUAUCCCGAGGUGCCCGCAACCAGUCCACCCAGAUGUGUAUUUAAGUAGCCACCUUAAGUUAACCAUUAAUUAACAAUCUCACAUCUGUCAUGGAUCACUCAAACCAAACCAAGUCUACGAGGAUAGCAUGGCAACCUAAGCAUAACGUAGAAGUAACUCCCAAGGGUUUGAUAAUAAAAGGGCAAUAGGUUCUACCUCAUCAUCUACUUCCCAAUACCCACAAGUUAAAUCACAUCCUAAUAAUGUAGUGUUUGAGGAUUGUAACUAAUGCAUAAAAACUGGGUCAUAAAGGGGUAUGAUCAAUGUGUUACUUGCCUUGCUGACGAUUUGCAAACCCUAGAGACUCGUAGUAGCACGCUUCGCACUUCGGGAAUUCUAUCGCAAACAAACAAUAGCAUACAUAAGCCCUCAAGCAUAGAUGCAAGGGUAAAACUCAGAUGAGAAAAUCCAAUCUGAAAAUUCAACUGAAGAGCUUCGAUAGGCAAAAAGAAUCAAUUGAAUCAGAGCUACGGAACUGAAAGUACGAUCAAAAGAACUUCGAAUUCAAAUCUGCUUGAAACCAAAUUUUAAAUUUGUCAAAACCAUGUUAAAGUAGAUUAACCAGAAAGAGGGGUUCGAGAUGAAGAUUUUGGCGUUGUUUUCACUGGAUUUGGACGAAUGGUUAAAAAGUUGUGAGGCUUUGAAGAUCAGGGGCUAAUCUGCGAUAAAAGUAAUCGCAGAUAGGUCCCUAGCCGAAAAUAAAAUAAAAAGAAAAAACUACGGUGCGAAUGUUCGCUAACAGAGGCAAACGAACGAAUUCGUUCAUUAGAACGAACUAACGAACGAACGUUCGUAAAAUAAUCUAAACCGACAAAACCGAACCGAUCUAAUAAAAAACCGAUCUAGUGUUUUUAAAAAACCACGUUUAUACCUAAAACCGAAAAAAACGGCGGCGACGAAGUCAACGGCGGCGGCGGGAUUCCGGCGGGCGGCGGCGUGGGCGACGGCGGCAGCGGGCGGCGCAGCGGUGCGNNNNNNNNNNNNNNNNNNNNNNNNNNNNNNNNNNNNNNNNNNNNNNNNNNNNNNNNNNNNNNNNNNNNNNNNNNNNNNNNNNNNNNNNNNNNNNNNNNNNNNNNNNNNNNNNNNNNNNNNNNNNNNNNNNNNNNNNNNNNNNNNNNNNNNNNNNNNNNNNNNNNNNNNNNNNNNNNNNNNNNNNNNNNNNNNNNNNNNNNNNNNNNNNNNNNNNNNNNNNNNNNGGUAUUUAAGGGGGGGGCGCGGUGGCUUGGGGCAGGGGGCGUGUGGCGCGGCGCAGAGCCGGACUCCAGCCGGUGGCCGACGCGUGCACGGCGGGGAAGGCGGUUUUGCAGCGGGCUGGCUGGGCCUUCGGCCUAGUGCGGUCCGGGAAACCUUUUUUUUAUAAAAUAAAUUCUGUCAAAAGGAAAAAAAUCCUAAAAAAAUAUAAAAAAAUUCUAAAAAUGCCAAAACAAUGUUCAUCUUCUAAAUAAAAUAUUUAGAACAAAGUAAACAUUUUCCUCGCCUAAAAAUGCAAUUUUGAAAAAUUCAUAUUUUUCUAAUUCAAAUAAAAUAGCAAUAAAACCAAAUAAGCUAUUUAUUUGAUUUUAAUAUUUUUCCUCCAAUAUUUGUUUUAUUUUGGAGAAGUCAUUUUAUCUCCGCUCUUUUAUUUUUAUAUUGGAAAUAUUUUGGAGAGAAAAAUAAUUAAAAUCUAAAUGAUCCUGUUUUCAAAUUUGAGAAAAAAUUCAAAUAUGAAAAUAAACGAAAUCCCCAACUCUCUCCGUGGGUCGUUGAGUUGCUUAGAAUUUCUAGGAUCAAAACCAAAAUGCAAAUAAAAUAUGAUAUGCAUAUGAUGACCUAUGUAUAACAUUCCAAAUUGAAAAUUUCGGAUGUUACAAGAGACUUUUUAUUAUUUGGUUGCAGGGUUGUUUGAGAGAGACCAUCUUCAUCCUACGCCUCCCACGAAUUGAUAAACCUUAGGUCAUCCACUUGAGGGAAAAUUGCUUCUGUCCUACAGAACUCUGCGCUUGGAGGCCCAACACGUGUCUACAAGAAUAAAGUUGCAUAGUAGACAUCAGACACCGACAACUGGAAUGAAAUGUGUGAACAUGAAUGUAAUGUUAGUGAGAGUACGUACUCCCACAAGCUUAGGCUUUUGGCCUAACUUGGUAAUCACCACUCGAAGAAGCCAUCGGGUCCGAUGUUGAAGUGUCGGGCAGCUAAGGAUCCACUGCAGAGGCUUCGCCUAUGCAGCAGAUAGGUUGUUCUGGUAGGCGAUGAUGUCCGCCUCUGGAAAUAGGAUCAAACAAAGCAGGUGCAGGCAAAGGAACAACAUCACUGGUAAUCUCACUAAAGACCAAGUUAUAAGGAAUAUCCGUAGUGGUGUUCUCGAUAUCAAUGAAGUGGUGGUGUGCCAUAGCUGCGCGAUCUAGGUAAACCUUGGGCAAGGAAUAAUCAUGUCGGCGUAUGUGGACAUUAAAGUGACUCACUAGGCGAGUAGCUUAAAUGCCACCAUGUAUUUUACCCUUGGAUCUAUUAAUGUGGAGGCGACGUGCCACAAUAGCUCCCAAGCUAUAAGUGUUGUCGCCGUAAAGUGCACGGCGUAAAACAGCAAAGUCUGGGGCACUCAGUGCACCUACCUUCUCCCUAGCAAGCAAACACUUCAGAAUGAAUAGAGCAAAAUAAUGCACAGCGGGAAAGUGUAAGAUAGUGGCGGUGACACUUGACACCCUUCUGUCAUCCCCCACUGUUAGAGUGCGGUAAAAUCCAUCAAACUCCGCGGGCCUAGGCUCUACUAAACCACCAUCAGAAGGGAGCAAGCAUAUGUCACAAAAUUCAGUAAGCGGUAUCUGAUGGGGUUUGGCAUAUAAGUUAGACUGCACCUCAGGGGGAUUAUUCCUAACUAAGAAAUGAAAACUUUGAUAAAAGGAAUUUCUGAGGAGAUGAUACUAUUCACAUUCAGCUAUGAUGAAGUCGGUGACGCCGGCAUUAGCAGCAUAUUGUGUAAACUCUUGAAGGAUUCCGGCCCCUUCCAUGAACGGAUUAUGCGGCCAUUCGCACGACCGUACCUCCGCCAUUCUCCGGGUGUGGAGAUCACUGUCAGAUGACUCCCCAAUAACUCCCUUGGAGUUCUUCUUGGAAGCAAACUUCCUAAAGAUACUCAUAUUUUUCCUAUGAACAAAAUUCUGAAAUUUUUAGUCCACCAAAAUUUUCUCAAUAAAACUUCAUAAGAUUGGUAGCAACUACUCAUAGGUAUCCAUAGAGGCCAUAUCAAGCAUUCAAACUACUUAGAACUCUAAGAAUUCAACAUGAAAGCUCAUCUACAGCAGCACCAAGAGUAACUAAUUAUUCAAAAUAUAGACCACUAAAGCAAAAACUAAUUGGACUAAUGGAGGGGUCACAUACCAAGCAACAAUCCCUCGAAAUAGUUUCGGAAACGGAGCUUCAAGCAAAGAGAUCGAAAUCCGCGGGUUUGACAACAAGAACACGAGAGAGAGAGAGAGCAAUGGUGAUUUUUUUCUAGAGGUAGGUGAUGAUGUGGGAUAAAGAGAUAAGUGAGAGGGCCCAUGUGGGAACCACAACCCACCAGGGCACUCCUGGGGGUGUUGGCGCGCCCAUGUGGGUUGUGCCCACCUGGUGCACCCCCCUCUGAUGUUUUUUGCAUCAAAAUUCUUAAAUAUUCAGAAGAAAAAAAUCAUAUUAAAUUUUCAGAGCAUUCUGAGAACUUUUAUUUUGGGGUCACUUUUUAUUGCACGAAAAAUUCAAAAAACAGACAAAACAUGGCAUUUUAUUUUAUUUAACUAAUAAAAACAGAAAACAAAAGGUAGGGACAGAAGGUAGUGCUCAACUUCAUACCUCUAAAAAAGAUCCAUUAAUAAGGUUGAUCAAGUCUUAUUAACAACCACUUUCGGUUAGCAUGAAACCGAAGAACUUCGUAAAUCACUAAGUUACCUCAAUGGGGAUAUGAAUGUCCCCACAAUAAGGGCACUUCAUGUUUCUUUUUGGCAGUAGGUAGAGGUAGUUCAAAACUUCCAAUAGUGAUUGUCUGAGAUUUUUCAAUAACAUUAAUACCAUUCACUUGGAAUUGUUUCUUCAGAAAGUGAACCGUAUGCUCAUUACCAUUGAUAUGAAAAGUGACCUUGCUUUUAUUGCAAUCAAUAACAACCUCUGCAGUAUUCAAAAAGGGUCUACCAAGGAUAAUCGACAUGUUGUCGUCCUCAGGCAUCUCAAGUAUAACAAAGUCAGUCAAGAUAGUAACAUUAGCAACAACAAGGGGCACAUCCUCACAAAUACCGGCAGGUAUGGCAGUUGAUUUAUCAGCCAUUUGCAAAGAUAUUUCAGUAGGUGUGAGUUUAUUCAAAUCAAGUCUUUUAUAUAAAGAGAAAGGCAUAACACUAACACCAGCUCCUAAAUCACAUAAAGCAGUUUUCACAUAGUUUCUUUUGAUGGAGCAAGGUAUAGUUGGUAUUCCCGGUUCUCCAAGUUUUUUGGGUACUCCAUCUUUAAAAGUAUAAUUAGCAAGCAUGGUGGAGAUUUCAGCUUCCGGUAUUUUUCUCUUGUUGGUGAUGAUGUCUUUCAUGUACUUUGCAUAAGGAGGCAUUUUCAAGAUAUCAGUCAAGCGAGUACGCAAAAAUACUGACCUAAUCAUUUCAGCAAAGCGUUCAAAUUCUUCAUCAUCUUUCUUUUUAGUUGACUUAGGUGGAAAGGGCAUAGUUUUUUGAACCCAGGGUUCUCUUUCCUUACCGUUUUUUCUAGCAACAAAGUCUCUUUUAUCAUAUCUUUUAUUUUUGGGUUGUGGGUUAUCAAGAUCAACAAUUGGCUCUAUCUCAACAUCAUUGUCUGGUUGUUUAUUAUUUGUUUGAGUGUCUUCAUGAACCUCAUCGUUAUCUUUUUAAUUAUGAGAAGGUGAGUGUUCAUUACCAAAUUGAGUUUCAGCAUCAGAGAUAGAAACGUCAUUAUCAUUAUUAGGAGGUUUUUCUACUUCAGGUUCACUAGAGGCAUGCAAAGUCCUAUAAUUUUUCUUCUUCUUUUUCUUUUUAGAAUGACUAGGUACAUCAGUGUUAACUCUCUGAGAGUCUUGUUCAAUUCUUUUUGGGCGUCCCUCAGGAUAAAGUGGUCCCUGAGUCAUUCUACCUCCUCUAGUCAUUACUCUAACAGCAUGAUCAUUGAUAUUAUUAUUCAUUUCAUCAAGCAAUUCUCUUUGAGAUUUAGCAAGUUGUUCUACUUGAGUUUGAACCAUAGAGGCAUGCUUUCCUAUACCUCUAACAUCAUUUGAGAUUCUAAAUAACAAGUCACUCAAGCGAGCAAUCAUAUCAGAAUUGUAUUUCAAUUGUUUCAUAACAUUUGCACUAAAGUGAUCUUUCUUUCUAAUGUAAUUUUCAAACUCAUAAAGGCAUUGACUAGGAUGCAUAUUGUGAGGAUUGUCAUUGUCAUUGAAUUUCAUUAAAGAAUUCACCUCUACCACUGAUACGUCUCCAACAUAUCUAUAAUUUAUGAAGUAUUCAUUCUGUUAUAUUAUCAUUCUUAGUGUAAGAUCCUUCAAGAGUCCGCCAUACCUACCUAAGGAUUGAGCAAGAUCCUUCAAGUAAGUUGUCAUCGGUGCUAUAAGGCAAUAAAAAUUGCUCCUGAAAGUGUUAGAUCAUUUAGUGUAAGAGAAAACUGAGCGUUGUACGAACUUGUGAUGUAAAGAAUAAAAGCGAUAGACUGCAUAAUAAAGGUUGAUAUCAUAAGGGGCAAUAUAAUGUGACAUUCUUUUGCACUAAGGGGUUGAUCAUACAAACAAAAAGUGCAUGGCGACCUCUGCUUCCCUCUGCGAAGGGCCUACCUUUUACUUUUAUGUAUUUACUUUCCUGCAAGAGUCAAAGUUUUUCUCUCUAUUCCUUUUUAUUUUUCUCUUUUGGCAAGCAUCAUGUGGCGAGGAAAGAUGUAGGCACAUAUAUCCAGUUGGAUAUGGGUAGCAUGAGUUAUUAUUGUUGACAUCACCCUUGAGGUGAAUACAUUGGGAGGCGAAGUUAUAAGACCCUAUCUUUCUAUGUGUCCGGUUGAAACGUUUUGCUCAUGUGUAUGCGGUGAGUGUUAGCAAUCAUAGAAGACUAUAUAAUGGUUGAGUAUGUGGAGCUCUUAAUUAGACUGUUGAAUAAGUUGAAUUGCAAUUGUUUGGUGACUGAGAACAUGGUUGUUGAGUUUCAAGAGAAUUCAUUGUUUGAACCUUAACAUGUGAAUUGAUUGCUACUUUACCAUGAUGAGUAUUAUGGGAAAGAAUUGCUAUUAUGAUGCUAGAAAAAGUGAUUGAAAUUACCAUUGAUCAAACUUAUGCACUUUGCUAGCAUUCACACUUCAUAAAUUAUUUCUUUUAUCAUUUACCUACUCGAGGACGAGUAGGAAUCACUACUGCAGGAUGCUGCUAACGCGACACUACGAUCAGAGACCCUUCGAGAAACUGUGUGCGAUGCAAUAAUCACAAACGGUGGUGUAUGAAAACCGUCAGAAAUGAUGCAAAACGUUUGCGAUGAAUGAUACGUCAAACACGAUUCAGAUUAUAGUUGGUGUUCGAUGAGGGGCAUACGGUUGAUCUAUAUGAACUGUUUGCGAUGAGACAGAACAACAGAAACGGGCAGCUAGAUCAAGGUGUGUGCGAUAUACAACAUACAGUUCACUCCGAUGAACCGUUUGCGAUGAGUGAGGUGAACACAAACGAUUCGGCGUAAGAAGAUGUGUGUGAUACCCGACAAACAGGUCGGUAAUCCGAAUUGUGUGCGAUCAUUAUAGACAGCCCAUACGGUCUUUUUUGUGAAUUGUGUGCUCGUCAGGGCACACAGUUCAACAAACCAACCUAUUGGUGAUAAUGUAGAAGAUCUCUGUCGAAUACAUAUUACUAACCGUCUGCGAUGAGAUUGACAGGAUAAACAGAGAUAUAUACAGUCUGCUUAAUUUAGUACUUCUUCUUGUUGUUCUUGUUGGAUGGCCCCGCGACAUCAUCUUGGUGAGGACGCUUCUUGCCGCUGACCGUUGGCUUUUCAUCGCCGCCGCCAUCGUCAUCGUCGUUGCUGUCAUCGUCGUCCUCCUCCUCGUUCGACCAUUCCUCCUCAUCAUCAUCGUCAUCCUCUUCUUCAUCCUCCGAAGGCUCCUCGUCCGUCUGGUUGUCGUCUGACGACUCCGGAGGCGGCGUCCCUUCCAUGAACCGGAUAUAAUCGAGGUCUGGGCUCGACGCCGGACUCAUGGAAAAUGAGCGGGAUGAUUCCGAUGUUGACCUAUCAUCGGGCGGCACACUGCUGGCCGAACUAUCGUCCUCCCUAUCGCUCGACAUGGAUGCAGAGUGUGUGCCAGUGUGCAGCGCGGCCUGACGGGGACGAUGAAGAUGGUGGACACUUGAGUGGGGUACGCAGAAAAGAGGAACUGCCAAUUGAAGCGGGCAUUGAAGCGGGGGUUGACGUAUUAUCUAACCGCUGAUAUAAUUAACCGCAAUUAUUUGUACCCAGUUGCUCCAAAUUCCUGGGGUUGCGCAGGACUCCUAUUGGCUAUUUGGCUGGUUUCCUUUUUCAGGACAAAAACAAGGAACUAGUUUUGGGAUUAUGCACCGGUACCGGUACGAACGGAGUAGGACAGUUGGCAAGCAAUACACAGUAAUAAUCAAACUAGAAAGGAAAAGAAAAAAUACAAACAAAAAUAUCUGCACGAAUCUUCGCGUAACAACAAUGGCAUAGAACCUAGAGGUGCAUUACUUAGAGCACAUCUAGAUGUGCUUUAGCAAUACUGUCAAACAAAACCCCUAAUCAUCAUUACAAACAGCGCAUAGAACAUGGCUAAUGCGACAACCACAACUACACAUGCUAGUUCCUUCUUGUCUCUUGCUUUCAUCUAUUGCCUGUGAUUGAUUCUUUCUUGCUUCAUUGUAUUGAUUGUACAUUCCAGAUCAGCCAGUUUCUUCUUCAGCUUUAUGUUAUCUUCUACGAGCUUGGUGAUAACACUCCGAGCCCUGCCAUGCCAUUCUUCAUCCAGCCAGUUAACAAAAGCACAAGCCUCAUAUCCCUGCCAAUGCUAAAUAGUAUUCUGGAUGAGCGGUGGCAUUAACUGAAGUAAAAUGAUGAACUUAAUUAGCACUAACCUCUAAGGGGGAACGGAGAAACCGCCUGCCAAUGUCGAAUCCCUCCAUGCAUACACGUUGAGCGGGAGUGUGCCCGUGCACACAACUCAGCUUUUGGUACUUCUCGGUGGCGCAAAACUCGGAGUCGAACUCGUGUUGCGGGAGUCUGGAGUCAAGCUCCGGAUCCGACGGGAGAUCGCUUUCCUUGGGGGGGGGUCAUUCAGGACGGAUUCAGCAAGGAUCUAUACUUUGGACAUGCUAAAAAGAACGGGAUAGAUUGGAACCUGACAGGACGAUUCGGAUCCGUAGUACACCUGCCUUCUGAUGACCUUAGGCAAGUGCUCGGCGGCGACCGCCGUCGUGGCAGCGAUACGAGCAGGAGCAGCCGCACCAAAACCAUCAGCACCACUCGUCCGCAUUCCCCCAAUGUCAGCACCACGCGAGGGAAUUUGGAGGCUAUGGAGGGAUUUGGGGGAAAUGGGGAAACUGUGGAGAUAAGCUAACGGUCGGGAACUACUAAUGGCACUAUAUAUAUGUUGUAGACGGCACACUGUUUGUACAUAUCGUUUGUGUUAGGUAUUACAAUGUCACACACGAUUUCCACACCAAACCGUGUGAGAAGACAACGUAGGUUAGACACGGUUGCCGUUACAUAACUGUAUGUGAUGUACUACCCUGUCCAUAUAAUUGAGUUCCGGUGAGAUACCGUGUAAACAGCCGCUCCACGGAUAUUCGUAAAAAAACAGCCGCUCUGCAUAUAGAGAUGGCGGCGGCGGCCUAGGCAGUGGCUACCGGAGAAGAGGUCACUCCUCGGCCGGUGGCGGCGUCAUAGGAGGUCAAUCCUCGGUCUGCAGCGGUUGAUAAGAGGAUCUCAACCAUCGAGGUCGGCGGCGGCGUGAUUCGAGCACAUCCAUCGCGGUCGAUGGCGAGAUAGUGGAGGUCGAACUUCAGGCGGCAGCCGCACUAAGCUUUGCUCCUCGACCCUGUUGUCUCGGCGUGCCGCUGCAUCGCGCUUGUUUGUCUGCUGGGUUGAGGUCACCGCGCGGCUAAUUAAUUAAGGUAUUCUUUUUGUGAGUGGCUUAAUUAAGGUAUUCAAUUCCUAAGUGUAGUCUUGUACUAGUACUCUGCGUGUAAAUUGACUGGCCAUUAGUUUUUGUCAUUGCACGUCUGGAUAACAACAUGGAGCACCCUCAGUAAUUAUUAAAAUAAAACCUUGUGAUUUAUGCACGCAUCUCUGGGCAGCCGUUAAUCCGUGUAUUAAUGUUGUUGUUUUGUUUUUAAUUACCAUUCAUCUGCUGGAGAUGGAACGAUCUCGAUGGAUGAAGAAUCAGAAAAAACCGCAGAUUUUAUCAGUGGCGUGACAGAGUUCAUGAAUUUGGCUGAAAGUACAAAGAGGAGAAUUGGUGAUGCGGAUUACAUCAUGUGUCCAUGUAUUGAUUGUGCCAAUACAGAGUCACAUGAAGUUGCAGAUGUCCAGAUGCACUUAGUCUCUAUGGGAUUCAUGGAUGGAUAUACACGUUGUACUAGACACGGUGAAGAGGAGGUCAUGGAUGAAGAUACCCAGCGCAGCGAGAUGCCAAACCCCGAUCAGUGUCACAUGGAUGUUGAAUCUAACAUCGGGGCAGAGGCGUCAAGCUACCAAUGGAACACCGGAAAGCCGAAACGCCCACUGGAAAACCAAGACGUCCACGCAAAUGAUGACGAUCUUGAUAUGACAGAUUUUGCUACUAUGAUUGCAGAUUUCGAGGGCGCAGAAAAGGAUAUGAUUGGGUACAAGGAUCUGCCAACCAUUGAUGUGGACUCCAAGAAAGAAUUGUAUCCAAGUUGCAAAAAGAAAUAUUCCAGGUUGAGUGCCACCCUGGCGCUUCUCAGAUUUAAAGCAGCAAACGGUCCAUCAAAAAAGGGAUUCAUAGAGAUCUUAGGUAUUUUCAAAGAUAUUCUUCCAGAAGAUAAUGUGCUCCCCAGAAGCAUGAAUGAAGCGAAGAAAAUUGUUUGCCCAUUGGAACUUGAAGUACAGAAGAUACACGCUUGUGUGAAUGAUUAUAUAUUGUACCGUGGUGAGUACAAAGAUUUUCAUGCAUGUCCCACAUGCAAGCAUGCAUGAUACAAGCGCAUGAGAGCAAAGGACAAGUACAAAUUGGACGACGAGAUCAAGACAGGAAUCCCGUUCAAGGUUGUUUGGUACUUGCCUUUAAUUCCAAGGUUGAGGCGUUUGUUUGCAAACCCUAAAGAGGCAAAGAGGUUGCGGUGGCAUCAUGAUGAGCGAAUUGCGGAUAGGUUUAUGAGGCACCUAAAAGAUGGGGCUCAGUGGGAAUUAAUCGACAACAAGUUUGAAAAUUUUGCCAAGGAUCCUAGAAGUAUAAGGCUCGGGGAGUGUACUGACGGGAUGAAUCCUUUUGGCGAUAUGACCACCAACCACAACACAUGGCCGGUGCUUCUGUGCAUAUAUAACCUAGCUCCUUGGUUGUGUAUGAAGAAAAAAUACAUUAGGAUGUCAAUGAUUACCCAAGGCCCGAAGCAACCUGGAAAUGACAUCGACAUUUACUUUCAGCUACUGGUAGAAGAACUGCUGACAGUGUGGAUAGAUGCGCCUGCUGUAAAAUGUUACGUUACUUACAGAAAGGAGAUUUUCGAUCUACAUGCGAUGUUGAUGCACACCAUUCAAGAUAUGUCGGCAUUAGGCAACACAUCGGGGCAGAAAACAAGGGGAGAUGUACGGUGUGUCACUAUCGGUGUACAAAAGUAGGGGUCCUGGUACCCCUUUACUUGUGCGCGAGCAGUUGCAGCCGCACCUACGACCACGCUUGGCGGGGCAGAGGAGGCAAAGAUGCAACACUACCAGAGCAGCGCUCAAGACCAGAAGCAUGAAGAGUAUAAGGGCGAGGUGGACUCCCCUGGCAAGGCCCUUGCCUGGGCGGCCUCCACAGCCCCGGCAAGAACCUUGCCGGGGCAACUUGCCCAACGCCAACGAGGCCGCCACCCUUGAGCCUGAGAGUUCCGACACCAUCGACGCAUUGGAACCAAGCCUCGGGAGGCUCCUCCAUGGGGGCAUGCAGAUCUUUGUGAAGGCCAAGAGCAUACAAGACUAGAUGAGAACUAGAAGACGAAGACCUCCGGCAAGAUCCUUGCCAGAGACGCCCACAAGACCCUUGCCGGGGACGCCUGCAAAACCCAGGCAAGAUCCUUGCCGGGGCCCCAACAAGGCACUUGUCGAGGACAUCUAUGAGGCCACAGCCAGGGCCACGCCGAGGCUCCACCACCCUUGUGCUUCUGCUCCAGCUCCUGGGUCUGUUGCGCGACGAGCUUCUCAACCUCCUCGUCCUUGCCGUGGAGUGUGGCGGUGAGCGCUUCCUCGCUAGCGGCCAGGUCCUCCUCCUGGGAGUUCAGCGAAGCCUGCUGCUACUACCGGGCAGCCUCGUCCUUGGCGGCCUGUUCCUUCGCCACCUCCUGGGCCUUCUCGACGUCAGCCUGCUUCAGGAUGAGCUCCCGUUUGCGCUCGGCCAGCUCGUCCUGGGCAGCCUUCAGUCCUUCCUGAGCCUCGCGGAACCAGGCCUGCGUCUGAGCGACGCGCUCCUCAAGAUCCGCCUCCGCCUUGUCCACGGCCGCCAACCUGGAUUUCGCCUUGUCCAGGCGGGCAAAGUGGAGCGCCUGGAGUUUCUAAAAGUUGGCGCCCAUGGCCCGGAGAAGUUGCUCCUCUUGGGAACCGCCAUCGCCGGGGCUCGGUUUGUCGACAACCUAGAGCCCGGCGGUGGCGAGCGCCUCGUCGUCGAACACCUCCCCCUCGGCCGGCGCCCUAGUGCCCGCCGUCCCUGGGAGGUGGACGAACAAGCCGUCGCCCACCUUCAAGUACCUGCCCAGGGCGGGGGCCGGAGGGGAGGAAGGUUGCUCGUUGAACAACUCCUCCUCGGUGGCAGCCCUGUCGGCCUCCCCAGCAGCGGCCUCGCCAGCCCCAUUGGCAGUAUCCUUGCCGGCCUCCCCAGUAGGCCCCUUGGCGGCCUCCUCAGCGGCGGUCUUGGCUGCCUCCUCGGCAGCAAUCUUGUUGGUCUCGACCUCGGCAUCCUUGGCGACCUCCUCAAAUGACAGUGUCGACGUCCUCCGGGUUCGUCGAGGGAAGGUCUGGAAGCCAGAAGAGAAGAUAAAGCAAGGCCAAGGCCAUGUUUCAGAACAAAAGCAAAAAAAACACCGAGCGACAAGAAAUGGGAAGCAGACAACUCACCCGUGCCAAGCUGGGAAGCAUUUCCCUCCCCACCAACGUCCGUUGCCAGGACGGAGCCACCAGCGCCCAUGCCGGCCCCUUCUUCCUCCAUGUGUGUGGGCCCGGUGGUGGGCGUCCUCGUCGGUGACGCCCCUCUGGGUGCCGUGGUCGAUGGGGGCAGCGUGUUGGGUGUGGCCCUCAGUGGCUCCUCUUGCUACCGCUCUCCUCCUACGAUCUCGGCAAGGUCAGCAUCAACAAUUUACACCCCAGUGCCCGUCGACAAGGAGAUGAGUAGUGGUCUCACGCUGGGGGCUGAAGCAGGGGCUGCGCCGGGGGCUGUUGUCCGGGCUGAUGACCACUAACUCCGGCAUGCGCGAAGUGCUCGCCGGGGGCCUGCCGCCCGUCGACAUCUUGGCCCUCUUCGCCACCCUCUGAGCCAGUGUCUCCAUGUCCCUGCAACAACGAGAUCACAUUAAAGAGGAUAACACCAGCUGAGGGUGAAAAAUGAUGAAAGGCAAGGUGCUUACUCAUCCUCCGCCUCUUCCCUCCUCUUCGUCUUUGGGCUGAAGGACCCGAGGUCAUACUCGGCCUCUAAGGUGCUGUCCAAAGGAGGAGGAGAAGGGGAUGGGGUCCGGCGCCGCUCGGACGAGGAGGAGGCAGUCGCUGUCUUCUUCGCCACCGCGGCCUUCACUGUCUCCUUCGCUGUCGUGGCCUUCAUCGCCCUCAUCUGGCGCACGAGCUGCUCCUGAGGCAGUCGCCGCUGUGUGGUCCUUCUAGGCCGGACCGACUCGCCGGAGCUGGCCUGCCGUAGGACGCGCUUCCUCCCCGCGGCCAGGGGGUCGUCCGCCUCGGCCUCCUCUUCGGACGACUCGUUGCCCACGUCUUCAACGAGGGAGGCCCGGCGCCGGCGCCGCUGGCCUCCCCGGCAGACUCCGCCCAUUGGGCGAGCUCCUUCUCUUCCGCGGCCGCGUCGGCCUCGUCCUCCACGGCGCCGACACUGUCGGCCUCCUUGGCAAGCGCUGCCUCCGCCGCCCUGGCGGCGAUGUAGUCCUGCUCCUCCUUGGUGGUGUCGCGGAUGAGCAGCGACUUGUCGCGGACAUAGUUCUCCGACAGGUUGUCGAAAAACUCCUGCACCUUCUCUGCUGGCGGCUCGCCCCAGGCCGGGUCAAGGCCAUGUGCGUUGAAGUCCAGCAUCAUGGCGAUGAUAGCGGACUGGCGAGAGUUGUUUCUCAGCGGAACCACUCCCGCCGGCAACCCAAAAAGAGGCCCCUUGACGGCCUUGCCGGUCCUCUCAGCCCUGCUGUGGCCGUCCACAUUGAGCUGAAAGAGCCUCCGGCAGAAAUGGGCGUGCCCCAUCACCGUGAAAUUGUGCUUCGGGGCAGGGCGGAGCCUCAUGACCUCAGCCGCGUUCCUGUAGUCCCAGGGCGGCCUCCCCUUGUUGUGCAGUGGGGCAAUCCGGCGGCGGAUGAAAUCAGCGCCAAUCAUCUCGAGGGUGAGCCCGGCCUCGGUGAGGCGAAGGAUCCUGGUGGUGGUGACCAAGAGCUUCUUGUCGUUGGCAUCGAGGUCGCUCCAGUCCUUGCGGCGGACCAGCGGACUCUGGCAAACUCGACAGAACUCCCGUGGAUCCUUCUCCUCGAUCCAGCACCACCGGCUCCGCCACUCCUUCCACCUCUCCUUCUAGGCACCCUCCGGGUACGUGCCCUUCUCCUGAGACCUCGGGGUCCAGGUGAUGCAGCCGGAGAUGGCGCCCCCUGGCUGGAUGCGAGGGUAGAAAUAGUGGCGGAAGAGCGCUGUGGUGGGGAGCACUCUGGCGAAGCCCUCGUAGAGAUGGGCGAAGAAGGCCAUGCACACCACGGCAUUCGGCGUAAGAUCCAGAAGAUGGAAGCCGUAGGUGUGCAUGACGUCAUUGAAGAAACCAGAGAAAGGGGGCAGAGCCCGCAAGAGAAGAAGUCGAUGAAGAAGGGGUACCGAUUUGGGCCGGCCUUGGCGAAAUCGGCGGGGACGAUGCGCAUGGCAGGGUGCCCCGUCGUCUCCCUCCCCCACAGGGGCAAGAAGUAGUCCCUGAGGUGGACCGCAUCGAUCGUUGAGGGGAAGUAGGCGUGCUGCAUCCGAAGCAGCGCCAGCUCACUCUUCGGCGCCUCGUUCCCUCCGUCAUCUUUGACCAGUCCCUUGCCCUUGCCUGUCUUGGGUGCCAUGGCGACUAGGAGAGGGCGAAGAAUCAAAGGCAAUGGGGGCGCGGCAGCGGCGAGCAGGGGCAAGAACUUCGACGAAAGCUUGAGGAAGAAGAGGAGGGGACGGUGGUUCCGAGAUUGGAGAGGGCGCAGAGGGUAAAUGAGCAGUGCCCUUGCGGUUUCCCUUUUUAUGGGGAACACGCGGGCCACCUCUUUACCAUUUACCACGAUGUGACGCAAGCACGCUGCGGCUGCCCCACGCACGACCCCCACAUCAUGCAUUGAACGCGGGUCGUGGGGAAUCGCAACGAGCAAGGGAGUUACUACAGUAAAAACUCUGCCUCGCGUGCCCGCGCACCGUUCUGGGCCUGGCCUAACAGCGCUCUGCGCUUAUGUGUGGUCCAGGCCCGGGGGCUCCUGUCGGUGUACAAAAGUAGGGGUCCUUUUGGUACCCCUUUACUUGUGCGCGAGCAGUUGCAGCCGCACCUACGACCACGCUUGGUGGGGCAAAGGAGGCAAAGACGCAAGACUACCAGAGCAGCGCUCAAGACCAAAAGCAUGAAGAGCAGAAGGGUGAGGGGGACUCCCCCGGCAAGGCCCUUGCCGGGGCGGCCUCCACAGCCCUGGCAAGAACCUUGCAGGGGCAACUUGCCCAAGACCAAUGAGGCCACCACCCUUGAGCCUGAGAGUUCCGACACCAUUAACGCAUUGGAACCAAGACUCGGGAGGCGCCUCCAUGGUGGCAUGCAGAUGUUUGUAAAGUCCAAGUGCAUACAAGACUAGAUGAGAACCAGAAGAUGAAGACCUCCGGCAAGAUCCUUGUUAGACACGCCCACAAGACCCCCGGCAAGACCCUUGCCAGGGACGCCUGCAAAACCCCGGCAAGAUCCUUGCUAAGGACAUCUACGAGGCCGCAGCCAGGCCCACGCCGAGGCUCCACCGCCGUUCCCACACAGCUGCCAGCCCUCCAACUAGGCAGGCACCUGCGUGGUGGCAUGCAGCUCCCAGGUCAACUCAGCAAGCACCUGUGUGGUGGCAUGCAGAUCUUCGUGAAGACUCUACCACCACACCAACUCAGCAGCCAGCCAGCCAGCGUGGCACUACACGCCUCGUCAGCCUGGACGCGUGUCGAAGCAAGGCGAAGCGGCGACAUGUGGGACGAGCUUCCUUGUCGUCCCCGAUAAAGCAAGAAGGUCACGUCGGCAGCGCAUUAAAUGCAUUUUGUCCUACGGUGCUAGGGAUAAACUCGACUACUUUUCAACUUUCCACCUCCUGUGUGCCACUAUGGCAGUCCCUUUGACUAUAAAAGGAGGCCCACGGCGUACUGAGAGAGGAUUCGAACUUUUUGGACCCUGCACGCUCUGUAGCAAGUCCAAGAACACCAGAUAAAUAUACACCAGCAGGAGUAGGGUAUUACGCAUCGCUUGCGGCCCGAACCUGGAUAAACUCCCCCGCGUUGAUCUUCUAAUCCCGCUCUUCCCACAGCCCUGUGCCCUGUCAACCGUAGAAGGGAUUCUUUGUGAUCCCAUAGGUGUCGUUUCCCCGAUAGUCACAUGCAUGGAUAGGACAGCUAGCAGAAGACUUCCCAACUCGUGCAAAACAGUGUAUUUGCUUCAUCGUAGGUUCUUACCGAAAAAUAACCCAUACCGAAAGAUGAAAGCUGAAUUUGAUGGUAUGGUAGAGGCAGCUGAGGGCCCAAGACCCUAUGAAGGGGAGGUGGUCCACAACAUGGCUAAAACAAUUAUUGUUGUGCUUGGCAAGAACCACCCUUUGACGGUGAAACUAACACCCAAGGAUCAAGUGUUUAAGAACAAAUCGGUGUUCUGGAAAUUACCUUACUAGGAGAUUCUACGUGUACGUCACUGCAUCGAUGUCAUGCACGUAGAGAAUAACGUAUGUGAAAGCAUCCUUGGUACUCUGCUCAAGAUUAAAGGUAAAAUAAAGGAUGGUGACGGUUCAUGGCUCGAUAUGCUUGCUGCUCAAUCACAACGCAAGAGUGAAGCGGAAGAUGAUGACAAAUUCAUCAAAGCUCGCCAGAGUUACAAUUUUAGAACAAAAGAAGCAACAUAGUUCUUCACCUAUUUGUUGUCAGUUAAGACACCCUCUUCCUACUGCGCAAACCUCAGAAGUCUCGUGGAUGUGAGCUUAGGUAAAAUGAAGUUGGGACACAUGAAUUCACAUGAUUUCUAUGUAAGGUUGACACAAAUCCUCCCGGUGGCCAUCAGGAAUCUGAUGGACAAAGAUAUAAGAAACACGCUCAUUGACCUCUGUGAUUUCUUCAACCAACUAUGGUAGAAAGUUGUAAAUCCUGAAUAGUUGGAUCAUAUGCAAGAUGAUAUUGCAAGAAUAUUGUCCAACCUAGAGAUGUUUUUCCCACCGUCAUUCUUUGAUGUCAUGGUCCAUCUCACUGUGCACCUUGUCGACGAGAUAAAGUAUUGUGGUCCUGUGUUUUUUUGCAACAUGUAUCCCUUCGAGCGGUUCAUGGGAAUACUGAAGCGCUUUUGUCGGAACCGAAACCAUCCAGAGGCAAGCAUCCUACAAGGUUAUACCACGGAUGAGGUGGUUGAGUUUUACACCGAAUACAUGAAACAAAGACCUAUAGGUUUGCCCCUCUCUCCCCACGAGGGAAGGCUGAAAGGUAAGCCGGUCCUUGCUGGCACGCAAAUGGCUGCACCCGGAGAAUUGGCAGAGAAAGCCCAUUUGACGGUACUGCUUAACAGCCCAGUUCUCAUCGAUUAUGCCGAAGAACACUUGGUAGAGAUACGCCAAAGCUUCUUACCAAUGGUGCCUUCAUCAGAAGUGGAGAUGAAGGAGCACACUAAGAAGUACGCCGAAUGGCUGAAGAAUCAUUUGGCACAAGGAUCCAUCGAUGACAUUGCUACAUGGUUGGCACAUAAGCCAUCACCUACGGUGUUGACGUACCAAGCAUAUGACAUAAAUGGAUACGCGUUCUACACUGAGGAACGUGAUAAGAAGACCUCGUAUCAGAAUAGCUCUGUUCGAAUAGAAUGCAUGACUGUAAAUGAAGCUGAUAAAAGGGUAUACUAUGGAACCAUCAAAGAGAUUUGGGAGCUUGACUAUGUUAAAGUUAAGGUGGCAUUAUUCAGGUGCGCAUGGAUCCCUCUUGGUCAGGUAAGGAUUGAUGAGUACAGGAAGACAUGUGUUAACAGGACAACGAUGGCAUAUCACGCAGACCCAUUCAUUCUUGCAGCAAUGCUACCCAGAUUUUCUUUGUGGAAGACCCCUUGCAUAAGAACGGCCAUUGCAUAAGAACGGCCAUUUAGCGAUGCAUGGGAAGAGAAGGGUACUGGGUGACGAUGUUGCCGAUGAGGACGAGUAUGAUGAAUUGGAUGAGUUGCCAACCAAGGAAUCACCGCACCCGUGCAACAGAGUAGCGUAAAAUCAUCAAAAACCACAAGUUCAUUCGGGGUCAACUUAAUGAUCCUAGUUCUCCCAUGUACAUGGGAAUUAAGCCGUGAGACUAGUCUUUUUGCCUACCCUGCAACUUAAUUCGUUCAAUUUAGAACUGUCGCGUGUACUGAAUUUGUGAGUUAUGCCCGGUUUUCUGUUGAUGUAAGAACCGUUAAUAUAUUGACCUUGAUAUGCUGUCAGCUCAGGCAAUGAAUAUGAACUUUUUUGUUAUUAUUAUUAUUAUUAUUAUUAUUAUUAUUAUUAUUAUAUCAUAGUGGUAGCACACUCAAUCGAUCUCACUACAGUAUGUGUGAACAAAAAUAUGCAAUCUGGUUUGCGAAUAGCACACGGUUCGUUGAUGAAAGCCGUGUGCCGACCAAACCCCGCCACCCCGCCCACGAUCUGAGUCGUGCUUUUUGCUUAGCCAGAAUCCAAACCCCACGGAUCGUACGUCUGCACUGUUGGAUGCUCCCAGAUCAAACGGCGAUCCUCAUCCCUUGCGACAACACAUGCAGUUUCGGUUGUAAUUUUAUUUUUAUGCACAAAAUGCACGUUAAUCUCAAAAAAUGUCUUAAAUAUAGCUAACGAUAGCUGACAUGUGCCAAAAAAUCAAACCCGUGGUAUAAUGGUGAUUGCGGACCGUGGAAAUUUUUAUGAGGCCAAACGAUGAAGUCACCGGCCACAGGAGUUUGACUUGACACGUCUCCUUUUGGAAAACCAUGAUCCUUCAUGCGAGAUGCUCCGGUUUGGAAGGAGCGGUUAUCAAAACUUGUGCCAAAGUUUACCAAUUUUUUCCACGGGGUCAUGAGAGCACGCCACAGGCACACAUUGAUUUUGAUGAUGUCCGAACUCCAUCUGAAAUUCUGUAAUUAAAAUACCAACUAGGCCUACGCCAGUGGCCGCACCUCGUGGCCGAAAUGUUUGAAACUUCUCCCCGCUUCUCGAACAAAUGGAUGAAAACUCACAAAGCGACGCACAAAUGAUCUGUACACCUUUGCUAGGCUGAUAGUAAGGGGAUAUCAUAGCUAGUAUCAUGCAUGCGAACUAGGCAAUUUUGAUGAGCUGUCAUAAAUUAAUUAAAUGAAGAAAGAGAGGGUUAAGUAUCAUAUCAUGAAACCGUAUCAUAAUAAAUGUUAUGCUACCAUGUGUCAUGCAUGACAAUAUAAAUAAAGUACUACAUAUGAUACUAGCUACUCUAUGAUACUAUGCAUUAGAGCAAGUAAGUACACAAUAGAGUGACAUAAGACUAGCCACAAUGGGUAGUAACAUAGAAUGGUACUAGUCCAUGUUACUACCUCUAUAGUGGGGAGUAACAUAUGUGUAGUAACAUGCAACACUUCAUUUAUUAGUCUAUAGACUCAUCUUGCCCUGAGAUGUGUGAUGUUACUCAGACUAGCCACAACGGGUAGUAACAUAGACUAGUAACAUGCCCAUGUGUUACUAGUCUAUGUUACUACCUCUAUAGUGGGGGGUAACAUGUAUGUGUGGUAACAUGCAACACUUCAUUUAUUAGACUAUAGACACAUCUUGUCUUGAUAUGUACAUGUGAUGUUACUCAUACUACUAGUAACUAGCUAUGUUACUACUUUCCUCUCUUUCUUCAUUUAUUGCUUGCCACAUCAUCUACUUUAUCCAGAUAUGUGUGAUGUUACUACCUAUGUUACUCCCAUUGUGGGUAGUCUCAUACUAUAGUAAGACUAUACCCACAGUGAGAGUAACAUAGGUAGUAACAUCACACAUAUCCACUUUCCUCCAUUUCUUCAUUUAUUGCUUGCCACAUCAUCUAUUUUCUCUAGAUAUGUGUGAUGUUACUCCCACUGUGGGUAGUCUGGCUAUAUAUAAGGAAUAGAAUAAUAUAUAUGUGCUUAUUAGUUGGAGGAAAGAGAAGAGAAGCGGGCGCUUGGUUAGCAGAGUCAGCUGCAACAUGAGACCCAAGACACUUUGUGAGGAUGUAACGUGGGCCAACUAUUGAUAAACUAGUACGUAUAUAAAACUUAUUAUUGUACAUGCUCCCUAAGAGGUUGGCGGUAUAUAUAUGACAUGGCAACUUAUAGCCGACCCUUGGUUGUAUUAUUAACAUGCUCUUAGUGAGGUAGCUAGUAUAUCAUAGACGACUAGCUAGUAUCAGACUAGCCACAGUGGGAGUAACUUCAGCAGUAACACCGACUCCAACUCAGCAAACUUGCUUAUGUGGCAAUAAGUUAGUGAGGAGAGAGAUAGUUUCAGUAACUUAGCUACUUAUUGUAGCAUCACAUGUCCCAAUGGAAUAUGAGUCUGUAACCUAAGAAAUGAAGCUUUGCAUGACAUUACACUUAUGUUACUACCCACUAUGAAGGUAGUAACAUAUAUAGUCUAGGGAUAUGUGUAUGUUACUAGUGUACUACUCUCCAUUGUGGCUAGUCUCAUACUCCCUCCUUUCCGGUUUAGGCUGGUUGUAAUGGUAUUAUCAUAAGCGGUAUCAUGCAUGCCAACUAGACUUUCUGGAUGAUGUGGCACACAAGAGAGGAUGUGGUAUAUAUCAUGAUACCCUGUCAUAUUAAAUGGUGUACUCCUACUUUGUGUGAUGCAUGACAAUUAGUAAGGCAACCUAAGAUGUUAACUUAUGAUACUAUGCAUUAUGGAAGUAGUAUCCUAGCUACACUAUCAUAUAUAUCCAUGAUACUACUAGUAUAUUUUGUACUCCCCAUUACAACCAGCCUUAUAGGGCUCAAUUCAAAAAUCUCACAAACCAAGGUAGAUGGUGAGUGGUGGAAUAUUUUUUUUAGUUUGCAAAAACAUCCAAUUAAUGAUUUUGUUUUCCUAAAAAAAUUAUGUUUUCCAAUGUAUUAAUUGCAAUACAUGCAUGCAUAUAUAAAGUACAUGCAUUGAUCAACUUUCUCUUAAUACUUGCAUGCAAUGAUUUAAUGCACCUUAGAAUCUGGACAUGUGAUGGUGAACAACCAAAUUGAGCCCUAUAAAAUGGAAAAACUAAAAUUUUGAGAUAAGCCUAUAAACCAGAAAGGAGGGAAUAUAUAUGCAAGAUACUAGUAUAUGAUCGGCAAUACCUCUGUAAUGCGCGCAUGCAUAGUAUCAUAAGUUAGUAUCUUAGGUUCCUUAUUAAUUACCAUGCAUGACACAAAGUAGUACAACAUUUAAUAUGAUACGGUAUCAUGAUAUGAUACCACAUACCCUCUCUUUCAUCAUUUAACUAUGUGCCACAUCAUCCAAAAAGUCUAGUUGGCAUGCAUCAUACCGCUUGAUACUCCCAUAUUACGACCAGCCUUAUUAGAGUGGCCAUAGUGGGGGUAUCAUAGCCAGUAUCAUGCACCCGGGAAUAGAAAAUAUGAUGAUGUGGCAAAGAAGCAGUAACAUAGGUAGAUACCGUAACAUAUAUAUAUAUAUAAUAAAUGCUAUACUACUUUGUGUCAUGCAUGGCCAUAAAUACGGUCAUCUAUGAUAUAUACUCCCUCCGUAAACUAAUAUAAGAGCGUUUAGGUCACUAUUUAGUAAUCUAAAUGCUCUUAUAUUAGUUUACAGAGGGAGCUAGUACUACUCUAUGAUACUAUAUAUGCACUAUGAAGGUACAUACGUAGUAUCAUACACUACUAUCAUAUGCAUGAUACUAUAUAUAUAGUAUAUGAUACUCCCCACUAUAUAAGGUUGGCCAUAGUGGUGGUAUCAUAGCCGACGAUGUCAUGCACUCAGAAAUAGCAAGUAUGCUGAUGUGGCAAAGAAUUAAAUAUAUCUAAAGAGGGUUAGAAUAACAUAUAGUAGGUAGAUACCGUAUCAUGUUAAAUGCGAUGCUAAUUUAAGUCAUGCAUGGCAAUAAAUAUGAUCUAUAUAUGAUACUAUACUCUAUGUAUUAUACUAUGCGAUAUAAUUAAUUAAAGGUAUAUCAUACACUAGUAUCACAUGUACUGUAUAUUCAUGAUACUAGUAUAUGACACUCUCCACUAUACUCAUGAUUUCUUACCAUGGAAAAAAAAUUAGAGGCGAAACAAUGAACUCAUGUUUUCAUUCGAACAAAAAUAUGAUAUUAGGUAAUGUAAAUGUUUUCAAAGAGCACAUGGUUCACUCACGAAAGCCGUGUGUCCACUAAACCAUGGUCGAUGCACCCCCCCCCCCACCCCUCUGCCACGCGCGCGAUCUAAGUCGUGCAUUCUGAUUGGCCAGAACCCANNNNNNNNNNNNNNNNNNNNNNNNNNNNNNNNNNNNNNNNNNNNNNNNNNNNNNNNNNNNNNNNNNNNNNNNNNNNNNNNNNNNNNNNNNNNNNNNNNNNNNNNNNNNNNNNNNNNNNNNNNNNNNNNNNNNNNNNNNNNNNNNNNNNNNNNNNNNNNNNNNNNNNNNNNNNNNNNNNNNNNNNNNNNNNNNNNNNNNNNNNNNNNNNNNNNNNNNNNNNNNNNNNNNNNNNNNNNNNNNNNNNNNNNNNNNNNNNNNNNNNNNNNNNNNNNNNNNNNNNNNNNNNNNNNNNNNNNNNNNNNNNNNNNNNNNNNNNNNNNNNNNNNNNNNNNNNNNNNNNNNNNNNNNNNNNNNNNNNNNNNNNNNNNNNNNNUGCACCGUUGGAUUCUCCUUGAUCAAAUGGCGAUCCUCAUCCCUUUCGACAACACAUGUACAUGUUUUCAAAUAGCCCCUCCAAAAAAAUGUUUUCAAAUAGCACACGGUUCACACAUGAAAGCCGUGUGCCUACCAAACCAUGGCAGAUGCCCCCCCUCGCUGUGCGCGCGAUCUGAGUCAUGUGUUCUGAUUGGCCAGAACCCAAACCCCGCGGAUCGUACGUCUGCACCGUUGGAUGCUCCUAGAACGAACGGCAAUCCUCAUCCCUUUCGACAGGAAAUAUAGUCCGGCUAGGAAUUGAUUUAUAUGCCAACAUGCACGGUAAAUGCCAAAAAAUGUCUUACAUAUAGCACACGAGACCUGAAAUGCGCCAGCAAAUCAAACCCGUGGUAAAAUUGUGAUUGGUUUACGUGCAAAAAAUUUAGAGGCGAAACGAUGAACUCAUGUCUUCAUUUCAAAAUUAGUACGUCUUCAUUUCAAACAAAAUUAUUCUGUUUGUGCACAUGAGCGCUUAGAGGCAACCGUUUGCAUAGGCCUUUCCGCGCGCGCGGCGACCGGGGAUAUUUUCACCCUUUUCACCUAGGCCACCAACACCCCCCCACCGUCCGCCCGCAUUUCACUCAACUAGUCCACCCAAUCUCCUUCGCCAGCUCCCCCUCCCCCAGAUCCACAGCAGAACCCUCUCUGGCGCCGCCGUGCUCACCCCGGUCGUGUGCCCGCUCUUCGGCGUCAAGCCUACCUCCACUGCCGUUCACAACACACGGUGGCCCAUGCCUCGCCGUCUUUAUUUGCUCGCCAGCCACCCUCGAGCAUAUCGAUGCAGUAACCCUCGCCUCUCCUGUGGUCUGGCCAGGUUUGCAUUAAGAAGCCUGUUAGUUACUGCUCACCAUCGCGGUGAGGCAUAAUUCCUCGCAAUCCCUCUUCCAAUUUUGUUCUGUAUGUUCCCAAAUUGGCUAUAAAAUAACAGAGAGCGUAUAUAUGUUCAUUAUUUACCUUCCUUACUACAUAUAAGAUGUAUUUGUUCCUAUAAGUUACUGCCUAUUUACAGAUCGCGGGUGCCCGAGUCACACAAACUUAACAAAUUAGCCGUACAUUUUCUAAAUUAUUGCAUGACAUGUUUAGAAAGCUUGAUACCAAGUUGUUAGUUUUAUGCUUAUCAUCCUUUCAUGAGUUUCGCAUGUGUUCUCUGUAGAUGCCGAGUAGCAGCGACGUCACUCAUUCAGGCCAUGUAUCUUCGUAUGAUUCGGACAACCCUUGGUCUUCAGCAGAUUGUGAGGGAUCAAGUAGUCUUGAACGGGAUAGAGCUGCAGCAAUUACCCUUCUGGUCAGGACACGGAGGAAUGCUCCAAGGAAGCCCACACACCAGCCUAAAGGUGUAUAUGAAGUAACCGAGAUUCAUUUAAAGUCCUGGGCUCCAACUAAACCAGAUAAAGCAUCCAUGAGGUUCAGGAGUGUGUGUGGAUUUGUUUGCAGGGCAGGGCUCAACAUUAAUCUACCGGGGUUUCGGAAGGCUGACACAGAAACACGGCGAAGGAUAGUCCGGGAGAUCAUGGAUCACUUCAACGUUCCAGAGCAGAGGAGAAUGCAGGUGGAACACGCUGCACUGAAGAAGGCUAGGGAUGCUUGGAGAAACUGGAAGCAUGUGUUGUACAAGAAGUACUUGAGUGAAGGCAAGGACCCAAUCCCCGCAUACCCCCAAAUUACAAAGGCAGACUGGGCAGAAUUCAAAAGGGUCAGGGCAACUCUAGAGUUUGCUUAGAAGAGUUUCAAGCAAUCGAAACUUCAGAAGAAGAACAUACACCCCCCACCGUAUGGGUGUGGCAAGAUAUUACGGCAUGAAAGUGAUAUGGGAACAGGAGGACAAAGAAGCAGUAGCGGCGUGUGGGAAUCCGGCCUUUAGUGAAAUCAGGGGCGAACGCGCUAGAGACUACUUGCGGGCAGGUGCACAGAGGCGUGAUGACGGAACUUAUUACUUUGAAAACGCAUGUGACGCCAAACUGUAUGAAGUGAUGGUAGAGGCUUCCAAGAUCCCUGGAAGGUUCUACAGCAACUCGGGGCCAUGUGACAUUCUGUCCAUUGCUCUGGACACAAAAGAUCCCCCUGGUCGUGCAAGGGGUAUAGGUGUUAAUGUCCCGCACAAGAGGGCUUUCACACUCAGCAAAGAAGAGAGGCUCAGCAUGAAAAAAACAAGGAGUGAAAUGAAGAAAAAUGCAUUGUUUGAAAAGUUGAAGAAGGAGAUUUAUCCGGUUGUUCGAAAGGAUGUUGAGGAGUCAAUGAUGAUGUAGAAGACUCUAACACUGAUAGAUAGCCAGCUGAUGGGAGGGGAGGCGGGCAUGGAUGAUGUUGCUUAUUGCGCGACAACACUGCACAAGAGUAGCUGUGCAUCAGCUGACCCCAGCGACACUGAGACUGUAGCUACUUGUGAUGAUGCUAUAUCUGAUCUAUCUGGAAUAAAAGAUAGACUGAAGGGCAUGCUUACACAUUAUGAAGGUACAUUAAAAUGUGCAACAGCCUGGGUUUGCCCAUCCUUCUUGGAAGAUGGCCUCUUCUUGGACAAUGUGCCAUUGAAGCCGGGCUGUGUGAAGUGCUACGUGACUGAAGUAAAGCCUGGAUUCAGUGAAUUUGCCCUGAAGAAUGUCCUAGGAGACUUCGAUGAGCAAAGGACCUUGGGAGAAACACUGUUACAUCACAUCCAGUGGCCACGAAAGGAAAUAGAGUUCAUCGAUGAGAUUCCUGAAGCCCUGCCAAGAGCAACCACUGUCGCCCCUCAACCGGUGACGCUCUCCUUGCCACAGCAGCUCUCGCGGGCUGAUGCAUCAACCUGUGAUCAGCCGAACCGACUCUGUGGCGUAUAGGCCAUGUCAUCCUCCGCCCCAAAGCAGCCAGUGGCAAGGCCUACAACUGCUGAUGAUGCACCACCGGUUCAGAUGCCGGCCGCUGAAGCAGCAGGGGGAGACCCAGCUGCAGCACAUGCUCAGCAGACCAACCUGGUGGAACAGACUGCUAAGCAGUCUGAUGCUUCGGAACCGCCUGCUAAGCGGUAUGUAGGUCCAGAACCGACUGCUCAUCAGUCUGUCGGUCCGCAGGCGCGUGAUCAGCAUACCAAUGCGUCAGCACUUCCUGCUCAGCAAACCAACGCGUUAGCACGGCCUCCUGAGCACACCGACAAGUUGGCACCACCUGCGCAGAAACCCGACAUAGCUUCAACGCAUGGUCAGCAGUCUGAUGCCUCUGCUCCUACAGCCCAGCAAUUCGUCACAGCAGCACCGCCAGCUCAGCGGUCCGGCAUAGAUAAAUAGUCUGCUAAGAAGUCCGUCUAAGCUUCACCAUCUGCUCGGCAGUCUACCGUGCAGGCAACCAGACGUUCUGCCAGAAAUGCUUCAAGUACCAAGAAGGAAGUGGCCAAAAAGUCUACACCCAUGACCACGAGCAAGCGCAGCGGGAAAGUGAAGAGGAAAGAGAACGAUUGCCUCUUACUUAAAGCACUAGUAAUAUUAUUUCUGACGCCAUGGAUGAUGAAGGAGUAGAAUUGUUGCUUGCUAAAAGAAAAGCAGACGUACUUGAAGCACACAAUUACGUCCAUGGCCAGCCAUUUCUUGUUGGCGUAUACUUUGAUGAGUGCAGCUCUAGUUGCCGCGAGUUACAUGAAUAUUGCAUGGAUCAAAUGUCAGAAGGUCAUCACCAUUUGCUAGUCCACUACAACAGAGAUCAUUUCCGACACGAUGUUGGUUCCAUCAUUGUGAGUUUCGAGGACUUACAUCUCUUCUUCAACUUCAACGUGCUCGUUGCCACUCUUAUUAGAUGCGUGAUUUUGUAAGUACUUAACAAACUCUGAUCAACUUCUCCAUACAAGGCUAUAAAUGAUAAACAAUUCACUACAUUUUAUUCCUCUCAGGGGAUUGAACGCGCAAAGAAGACAAAGUGAGAGUGUGUAUUUCAUAGAUCCUGCAUUAGCAAAUGGCACAACAUUACAUGAAAAGGACCGACGGGACUGGGCCGUUAACACGAUCGUCCUAUCUUCGAAAACACGUCCCAUGCAUGCAGAAUCAUUUCUCUCGCCAUAUCAUGAACGGUAAGUCAAGUAAACAACCACGCAUACACUGAUUGUCUUUCAGAUUUCGACAUCAUUCGUAAGUUCAUGGCUUUCUUAAUAUGUAGCAAUCACUGGAUAUUGGUAUUCAUUGUUCCAAACAAGAACACAGUUUACUACAUCGAUUCUCUCAGAGAGACAACAAACGCUCAGGAUCUGACGCAUCUUCAGCAAUUCUUGGAUAGGUAUUGAAUUCUAUGAUGUUGAAAUUAAUUUGCAUUCAUAUCUGGUUCAAUAAUUGAUGUUGUCAAAAUUCAUCAUCAUUUGCAGUGUGCUCGCAUUGUGGCUAACUAAACCAGGGAACCUGUUCAAGAGGAAAUUACCUCUGCAGCACGAGAUCGUUUCUCCGGUAACACACCGAAAUCCAUUAUUUUCGGAAAAUUUAUCCAACAGUCUGCAAAUGCCUUUCCUUACGCUAGUCAAAUGUUCAAGCUUCUAAAUAAACCUCUUUAUAUUUUUUUCCAAAAAAAAAUUAAUACAUCUAACACCGGUUAGGUUGUUCCUAACAGGACAAAUACAUGACUAAUUUUGUACAAAAAAUUUCAGUGUCCUCAGCAAGAAAGAGGGACCAACCUUUAUGGAUACUAUGUUUGCAGACACAUGAUCUCCAUCUGCAAAUCUGCUGAUAGUUGUGACGAUCCUCGCGAAUUAGCACCUGUAAGUCUAUCUUAAUUAAUAUCUUCUACUCCACUCAAAUGGCACAUUCUGAUCUUAAAAAUACUGCAGCUCAUCUUAAAACCGAGGAUCCCUGAACCGCUCCCGGCUGGUGAAUUGUUGAUGGUUCAGUGAUUUAUCAGCGACUACUUCUGGAUCACUACAUCAAUCCCACUAGUGAUAAUGAAGAUUUCAGCAUGCUUUCUCCUGAAACAUUGAGUAAGAGUUAGCCGCUAAACAUAUAACGCAUGGAUCCAUUGUUUUCCAUCUGAUGAGGUCUUCGUAUUUCGUACACUAUGAUUAAUUAUGUAAUGCAUAUAUGUGUGGACAAAUCAUUGGAAUUUAGCUACCAUAUGUUCAAUUGCAAUUGUUGCAAAAUCUGAUGAAUGUUCUUCCUGUGGACACUAUUUGUUCCAUUGAAUAUUGUGGCGAAUUUUCUUUUUGCGUGCCGAUUCAAAAUGGGAUAUUUUUUUUAUUUGUUCAAUUGAAUAUUGUGGCGAAUUUUAUUUUUGUGUGCCGAUUCAAAAUGGGAUAUUUUUGUUUUAACCUGGCAAUUGCUCCGCACACGGUUCAAUUAAAUGAGUGUGUGCUAUCCACAACGGAAAGCAUACGUCAAUCGUAGUGGAACCGUCGGUGAUACACAACAGAUCGCAAACGAUUUGCAGCGCUACUACAUGUGUGUAGGUUCUCCGGAACCAUAUGUGAUAUCGCGUUAUCGCACACGAGAACUGGGAGUAAACCGUGCCCAAUGCAAAAUACAGUCCCAGUCAUAAUUUUUUCAGGAAACGUGUGGGAUCCCAAACGAAAAGCACACGUCACUCUUGCGCCAACAGUCGGUCAUACCUAACAAAUCACAAAUGGUCUGCAGCACUUGUAUGUGUGCGAAGGGGCUCCUGGACCGUUAGUGAUAGAACAUUAUCACAGACUAUAAUUGUUGGAAAACGUGUGCGAUGGAGUCUAGCAUGGCAGACGGGUUACGCAAAAAACUCGUGUGCGAUAGGGCACAAAUCGCACACAGUACAUAUGUUGGCCCGUGUGCCUUACAUACUGUUUCCCAAAUAGUUCGUUAUGACAGACCGUAUGGUUUCACUGCGUCAUUAGAAAGGCUUAAUUUCCGAUACCACACGUGCGAAAGAAUUUAGUGUGUGAUGCAUCGCACACGAUUACAUUUUGGAAGGCCUCUGGAUCACUGCUCCAUAUCCCUGAUGGUUUUUGGGUCGGGUGGGAAGGACACCCUAUCGCACACACUCACUUGGCGACGGUUCCAAAUGCUGUCGCGGAAAGAGGUUAAAAACCGUUUGUUUAGGACCAACGCGCACCAGUGAAUUAAGCUUGGGGAUGCUGAUACAUCUCCAACAUAUCUAUAAUUUAUGAAGUAUUCAUGUUGUUAUAUUAUCAUUCUUGGAUGUUUUACAAUAAUUUUAUAGCAACUUUAUAUCAUUUUUUGGGACUAAGCUAUUGACCAAGUGCCCAGUGCCAGUUGUUGUUUUUUGCUUGUUUUUUACAUCGCAGGAAAUCGAUAUCAAACGGACUCCAAACACCCCGAAACUUUUUGUGGUUUUUUUAUGGACCAGAAGACAUCCAGUGGGCCAAAGAAGCACCUGGGGGGUGCCCUGAGGGGGGCACAACCCACCAGGGUGUGCCAGGGGACCCAAGUGCGCCCAGGUGGGUUGUGCCCACCACAGUGGCCUCCCGCACCCCCUCUUUGCCCUAUAAAUCACCAAAUAUUCCAAAAACCCUCGGGGUUAACCUAGAUCAUAAGUUCCACCGUCACAUCUGUAGCCACCGAAAACCAAUCUAGACCCCGUUCCGGCACCCUGUCGGAUGGGGGAAUCAUCACCGGUGGCCAUCUUCAUCAUCCCGGUGGCCACCACGACGAGGAGGGAGUAGUCCACCCUUGGGGCUGAGGGUUUGUACCAGUAGCUAUAAGUUUAAUCUCUCUCUCUCUCGUGUGCUUGAGAUGUCACGAUCUUGAUGUAUCGCGGGCUUUGUUAAUAUAGUUGGAUCAUAUGGUGUUUUCCCCUCUCUAUCUUGUUGUGAUGAAUUGAGUUUUCCCUUUGAGAUUUUGUUUUAUCGGAUUGAAUACUUUCAUGGAUUUGAGAGCACUUGAUAUAUGUCUUGCAUAUGAAUUCUCGUGGUGACAAUGGGGUAUCAUAUUGAUUCACUUGAUAUGUGUUUUGGCACUCAACUCACGGAUUCCCGAGGUGACAUUGGGGUAAUCUAUGCAUAGGGGUUGAUGCACGUUCUUGUCUUUGUUUCUCCGGUAGAAAUCUUGGGGCUCUCUUUGAAGUUCUUUGUGUUGGAUUGAAUAUUAUAAAUCUAAAUUUGCUUUGGUGUUAUUUUAGUACAAACUCUUGGUUAGAUCGAUUGGAAAGAAUGGCUUUGAGGUGGUUUCGUACCCUACAAAUAAUUAUGUGCUAUGUUCUCCGCUAGAUAGGAACUUUGGAGUUAUUCUUUAUCGCACGUUGAGGGAUGGUUAUAUGAUCCAAUUAUAUUAGCACUGUUGAGAGAUUGCACUAGCGAAAGUACGGACCCUAGGCCUUAUUUUCAAGCAUUGCAAUACCAUUUGUGCACACUUUUAUCGAUUGCUACCUUGCUGUUUUUAUUUAUUCAGAUUAUAAAAAUAUAUUUCUACCAUCCAUAUUACACUUUUAUCACCAUCUCUUCGCUGAACUAGUGCACCUAUACAAUUUGCCAUUGUAUUGGGUGUGUUGGGGACACAAUAGAUUUCUUGUAUUUGGUUGCAGGGUCGUUUGAGAGAGACUAUCUUCAUCCUACGCCUCCCACAGAUUGAUAAACCUUAGGUCAUCCCCUUGAGAAAAAUUGCUACUGUCCUACAAAACUCUGCGCUUGGAGGCCCAACACGUGUCUAUAAGAAUAAAGUUGCGUAGUAGACAUCAACCACCUUAGGUGGUGGUGGUGGUGUACAAAGCCCAUGUAUUUCUUCAAUAGGAGGUAAAUUUUUGACAUCCUUAGCCUUAAUACCUUUUUCCUUCAUAGAUUUCUUUGCCACUUGCAUAUCUUCAGGACUGAGAUAUAAGAUACCCCUCUUCUUCGGAGUAGGUUUAGGCGGUGGUUAGGGAAGAGUCCAAUCAUCAUAAUUUUUCAAUAUGUUAUUCAAUAAUUCUUCAGCUUGUCCAAUAGUUCGUUCCCUGAAAAGACAACCAGCACAACUAUCUAGGAAAUCCCUAGAAGCAUCGGUUAGUCCAUUAUAGAAGAUAUCAAGUAUUUUGUUUUUCUNNNNNNNNNNNNNNNNNNNNNNNNNNNNNNNNNNNNNNNNNNNNNNNNNNNNNNNNNNNNNNNNNNNNNNNNNNNNNNNNNNNNNNNNNNNNNNNNNNNNNNNNNNNNNNNNNNNNNNNNNNNNNNNNNNNNNNNNNNNNNNNNNNNNNNNNNNNNNNNNNNNNNNNNNNNNNNNNNNNNNNNNNNNNNNNNNNNNNNNNNNNNNNNNNNNNNNNNNNNNNNNNNNNNNNNAUUUUUCAGAGAAGUAAUAAAUCAUAUCCUGGGGAUUACGCACACAACCAGGAGCAAGAGUAUUAUACCAAGUUUUAGCAUCACCCUUUAAUGAGAACAGAAAUAAUUUGAGAAUGUAAUAGUAGCGAAUUUUCUCAUCAUGAGCAAAAAGGGUGGCUAUGUCAUUCAACUUAGUAAGAUGUGUCACAACAGUUUCAGUUUCAUAACCAUGGAAAGGAUCAGAUUCAACCAAAGUAAUUAACUCUGGGUCGACAGAGAAUUCAUAAUCCUUAUCAUCAACAAAGAUAGGUGUAGCAAACUUAAAUAGGCAUGUAUAAAUAUAAUGUAGGCAUGUAUUCCGUAAAUAGUCAUAUGUGCUUAUGGAAAGAACUUGCAUGGCAUCUUUUGUCCUACCCUCCCGUGGCAGUGGGGUCAUGUUGGAAACUAAGGGAUAUUAAGGCCUCCUUUUAAUGGAGAACCAGAACAAAGCAUUAACACAUAGUGAAUACAUGAACUCCUCAAACUACGGUCAUCACCGAGAAGUGUCCCGACUAUUGUCACUCCCGGGUUGCCGAAUCAUAACAUGUAGUAGGUGACUAUAACUUGAAAGAUCGGGUCUAGAACAUAGAUAUAAUUAAUGGUGAUAACAUAAACGGUUCAGAUAUGAAAUCAUGGCACCCGGGCCCAAAGUGACAAGCAUUAAGCAUGGCAAAGUCAUAGCAACAUCAAUCUCGGAAUAUAAUGGAUACUAGGGAUCAAGCCCUAACAAAACUAACUCGAUUACAUGAUGAAUAUCAUCCAACUCCUCACCGACCAGCGAGCCUACGAAGGAAUUACUCACUCCCGGUGGGGAGCAUCAUGGAAUUGGCGAUGGAGAAGGGUUGGUGAUGACGAACAUCGAUGAUCCCCCUCUCCGGAGCCCCAAACAGACUCCAGAUCUGGCCUCCCGAUGAAGAACAAGAGGUGGCGGCGGCUCCGUGUCAUGAAACGCGGUAAUUCUUUUUCCCUGAUUUUUUCUGGAAAUAUGUGAUUCUAUAGUAUCAUGGUUGGAGUCUGCGGGGCGGCCAGUUGGGGACAACCCACCUGGGCGCGCCUCGCAAAGUUUCGUUCCAAUCCGAGAACUUUUAUUUCUGCACAAAAACAACACCAUGGUAGUUCUGCUGAAAACAGCGUCAGUCCAGGUUAGUUUCAUUCAAAUCACGCAAGUUAGAGUCCAAAACAAGAGGAAAAGCGUUUGGAAAAGUAGAUACAACGGAGACGUAUCAUUGCUCUCGGGUCAUAGGUUGCCAAGCGAAGCCCCCCAGAGUUUGAACCUUAGUUCUUGGAGAGUUUCUUGGAUGUAGCUCCGAGACUCCAACAAUAUCAAUACACAUAAUUCAAGUUUAGAACUUGAUAGACCCUUUAAAAGACUUAAAGUCUAAAGUGUAGUGAUGGAUCUAUAAAUUGACAAAGAUAAAAAAUGUUUUAUAAUGUUUGGCUUGUUGCAAAUAGUUCAUGACAAGAUCUAGGAGUUGAUUAUGACGAGAUUGUCUCAUCAUAAUAAUACUUAAAGUCAGUUCAGAUUAAACUAGCAAUUAAUAAAUAUUUCAGUUAUGAGAAAGAACAAAUGGAUGUCAAAAUGAUUCCAAUGAGGUGGAAAUAGACCAAGGAUGUAUAUUUUAUACGGUCCAAGGUAUUUUUCUCGAUCCAGAGGAUGCUAGUAAAUGUCCAAACUUCAAGAGAUCCAGUAAUGAUCUGAAGCAAGCAUAGUCGACUUGGAAUCUUUGUUUUGAUGAUUUGAUCAAAUAAUAUGAUUUCAUUGAUAGGAACAAAGAUGCUUGUAUUUACAAGAAAGUAAGUGGGAGCAUGAUAAUAUUUCUAAACACUGUGUGUACAUGACACACUAUUGAUUGGAAAUUAUAUAAAUUUCUUAACACGGAUUAAGACUUUAUUAAAAAUAGUUUUUCAGUAAAGUACUUAGGAAAUAUAGUCCUUGUAAUAGACAUAAUAAUCUAUGGAGAUAGUAGUGUCUAAUCGGGCAUAGCCAAAAUACAUAUUGACAAAAGUACUAAAGUAGUUUAGUAUGAAAAAUGUCAAGAAGAGUUUUCUUGUCAAAGUCACAUGGAAGGAGUUCUUAGCAAGAAUCGGUAUCUUGAAAUACGGAUGAGUGAAAUACAUGAUUUCAAUCAUACUUGUGUUAAUUCCAUGGUAUGUAAAUAACCAGAUAUGUCCAAGUACUCCAAGUAAGUUGUGAGUAAAGUUACCAGAAUGGUAAAUAUGUUGAUCAUAGGACAACAGUGAAAAUAUCGUUAAGUAUUAACGACAUGUUUCUCGCAUAUGGAGAGAAUGAAGAGAGUGUUGUAAUGAGUUACAUCAAUACAUGCUUGAUGUAAGUAGUACAUCGACAAAAAAAAUCUUCAAUUGGUGCUCCAAGCAAAUUUCAAUUUAAAUGAUUUAUGGUGGCACAGUAAAUUGGAAUUGGUCCAAGAAAGUUACUCUGGUGAAUUCUAUAACAGAAAGUUAAGUAUAUUGUUGCUUUAGAAGCAACAAUAGAGGGUGAUAAAUCAAAGGUUCACUUACGAACUUGGUAUGGUUUCUAGAUGAUUGUGCAAAAAGAACAUUGUUCUCAUAUAGUGGUUCAGUAGCUCAAUCUAAGGAAUCAAAGGUCUUACCGAUGAUUCAAUAUAUACUAAGCUUGUUUCACACAAAUUAAAAAUGUAUAUGAAAGCAUGAUGGAUGCAAUGAAAUGCAAAUGAUACACAUGGAUCUGAAGUUUUCAGAUUCGAUAUGCCAAAAUCUAUACCACAAGCAAAGCAUGGACUGACACCGGAUUGCCAUUGGUGUCAAAGUUAAAAGUGCAAACUAGAUUAUUGGCUCUAGCGCAAGUGGGAGACUGUUGAAAAUAUGCCCUAGAGGAAACAAUAUUUGUAUUAUUGUAUUUCCAUAUUCAUACCUAAGAGUUUAUAUUCUAUGCUAUAACUGCUAUAUGCACGUGUGGAAUGAUAAAUGGUAUGUAAAAGAUUGCUAGUCUCGCCUCUAAGACUAGCUCAAGUGUUGUUGGUGUCUGGAUCUUAGGAUAUCGUUAAGUGUAACGAUAGUCCUAAAACAACACUGAGAUUAUGACGUUGGAAGAACGAUCAUAUUGAAUCGACGCAAUCUUGUUUGUUAUGAAUUGAUUUAAUAUCGUAUAAAUUCAAUUAUAAUAACACGGAAUGUUAAUGCGUGAGAGUAUCGUGGUCACUUCUUACCAUACUAUGGGCUUUGGAGUUGCUCAAACGUCAUCUAUAACACGGUGAUCAUAACGAUGACUUGCAGGUUCAUCGGAAAGUUUGACAAGUGGCCAGAUAGCUCGAGAGUGGGAUUUGCUCCUCCGAAGAUGGAGAGAUAUUCUUAUGGCCUUCUUGGUCUGAUGGCAUAAAUCAUCGUCUGGCUAGACACAAGUGACUAUAUCACGGGGAUAUGCCGGAACACAAUAACGAGAAAGAAGAACAAAACCAGUAAUGAGGAUUUCGGUAUAGUGAUCAUGGUGAUAACUCAUGAGGACACUGAUACAUCUUGGGUUUUGUCAAGUAUCGCUAAGCGAAGGGAACAUCACAUGAUAACCAAUGGUUCACUCGAAUAUCAUUCGUGUGCUCAUAGGGAUCGAUACGGACAUCCACGGUCCCGCUCUUGGUCAUUAAAUGAACAGUUUCGUUCAUGUCUGUGAGUUACCUAACCUAUGGCGUCACAAGCUUAAGGAAAUCACAAUAUGCUGAGUGUUUAGUAGGACAAGAGUGAUGAGAAUAUAUUUGUGGAAUUGUUUCAUUAAUAUUCGGAAUAGUUCCGAGAGGAUCCGGAAGCGUUUCGGGGUCACCAGAAGGGUUUCGGGGAAUAUCGGGUAUUACCAAUAUUAUAUAUAUAGGUGAAAAUGUUUCUAGAGAUGUUAAAAUAUAUAUAUAAUGGUCUGGAAGUACUCAGAAUAGUUUAUAUUUAAUUUAAAUAUGAACGGGCCUUAAAAGGCCAAGAGGUGGAAGCCAACUUGGGCCACGAAGGCCCGAGUGGAGGAGGCGCCCCCCUCCCUCUCUUUCCUUGUGGGGGGGGAUCCCCCCUUUGGAUGGCGCCCCAAGGAGACUUUCCUCCUUGGGUGCAGCCCUCCUCUUCCCCACUAACCUAUAUAUACUUGAGGUAUUGGCCAUAAUUUAAUACACAAGUUUUGCAGCCUCCUUUAGGUCUUCUAGUUCAUGUUCUAAUUGGUCCUAGUUGACUAAUUAGAGCGUGGCUAAUCAUCUUGUCCUCAUAAUUAGAAGCUCAGUGUGGUUCUAAUCUCUUCCCUCUAAAUCUCCGGCGACGAUUAGCUCUAGACGACGAAGCGUUGCCGGAUCAUGAAGGUUGCAUGCUUGCAACCAAGUAGAGAGGUUGUGCUUUCGUUCUUCAGUUUGAGGAAAUGCUCAUGGGCGAUACAAGGGAUCGUUCAUCUACGGUUCGAGGGAUUGCAAGUAUGACCUACACCGACACGUUCUUCUUCCGCUGCAAAUCAGUGAUGGUAACGAUCGUGAUCCCAACCCAUUAUACAUCUUCAUAUUGAUCUUGGGUGACCGUAGGCAUGAUUUUUUUCUACCACGUUUCCCAACACCUCUCUUAUAUAUCGCCCGUAUAUGGUGGACACUCCCUCACUGAUAUUUCGAUCAUCGGUGAUGGAAUCAUCCUGCCUUCCCUCGUGCAUUACCAAGGUCUAUCACUGAGGAGAAGAGGAGGAAGUGACCCCCAUGACAAUAGUCGGGAUUCUUCCUCUCUGAUAUUUCGACCAUAUAUUGGGGACACUCCCUCACUGAUGUUUCGACUGCCAGUGAUGGUGGCUUCCCCCCUACUCUCAUGCAUUACCAAUGUAUAUCACGAGAAGAAGAGGAGGAAAUGACCCCCACGACAACAGUUAGGAUCCUUCCUUCAAGAACAGAUAGAAAGUCACACAAGGAGCCCCGACAUACUCCAAGUCAACCCUAAGAAGCAGUCAAUUAGCAAUACAUAUAUCAAGUAAUGACAUAAAAAAUGGUCUAUGUUUUGCCGGAAUGCCGUUUAAUUCCCGUUUCCUCAAAUCCCACGCGCUCGAUAUGUCCUAUUUUCUAGCACAAGUCAUGCCAAAAUUCACGAAUUUUUUUGGCAUGACCUUUGGUAAAAAUAGGACAUAUCGAGCGCCUGAAAUUGCCAGAAUGAAAAUGAGUCAACAUGCCGGCAAAGCAUAGGCCAAUCGGAUUUGUUCCCUGCAAAAUGGAUCCAUGCAUCCAUUUUUUUUUGGCUUUUUCCAAAAUGAAACAAAAGUGCAUCAAUCAAUAAUGCAUCCAUCCAUCUAACAAACAUGCAUCCAUCUACAGAUAUAUUAAAAAACUAAACCUAAAACUAAACAGAGAGGAGAGGGACGUGAUCACGUUGGGCGGGGCAGGGCCGAGCGGGAGAGGGAGACGCAACACAAGAAAGCCUGCAUAUUCCACCGAGUGAAAAAAAUGAUCAUCAAAUCACAUAUAACAUUCUUUGAUGACAAAGUGAUAAUGACAUAAAGAUAAUUCUCUUUUGCUGAAUUGGAUUACCUCCUUGCCCUAGAUGGCUUGUACUCUAUAAUUAAGUAAAUAUGUAUGGUUGUACAUAGGUAAUAGUGUUAGUUGUUUUUACUUUUAAGUACUGAUAAACUUUUGUAUUUGUGGGGUUUUGAUUAUGAAUAAAGUACUGUGGCGCUGUUGCCUCACAGUUUUCAAAAGAGACAUAAAGAUAAUUCGCAAUAUAAUUGGUAACAACAUUUUUAUAUUUUAUUCGAUACCUAAAAUAUUUAAAGGUAUUUGGUUAAUGUAAAUACGUAAUUUUUUCAUAUUUUAUUCAAAACCUAAAACAUCUUUGUAUUCAAAAAACUUAUUCGAUGCCUAAAAUUUUCUAUUCUAUUACUAUAUUUGUUUACUGAAAAUUAAUAUUCUAUUACUAAAUUUUUUACAGAAAAUUUUCCAUUCUAUUACUAGUUUUAUAUUUUUAGUGUAUACUAGUUUUUAUAUUUUCUACUCUGUUUCUAAGUUUUCUAUUCUAUUACUAGGUAUAGGAGACAGGAGGAGGAGGGAAGAAGGCGGCCAUAGGAGGGUGGCGGGAGGAAGAGGGAGGGAGGAGACAGGAGGAGGAGGAUCGAUGGCGGCCGGAGAUAGGAGGAGGAGGGAGGAGGGCGGCAGGAGGAAGAUGGAGAGAGAUACCUCGGGGGCGACUGCGGUGGUGGUGGGCGAGGGCAACGGCGACGGCAAUGGCGGGCGGCAACGACGGCCAUGAGAUGAAGCGACAUCAGAGUGAAGAAGUGAGAGUGAGGAGGAAAGGGACGACGGAGAGAGGAUAAGCGGAGCUUAGCAGUAGCGCGGAGUGUAGGACCGUGCUACUGCUAAGGCAGCUACCUAUAGCGCCUGUCUGGUGGCCCGCGCUGUUGCUAUGUGGGGCCCACCACCUGGCGCAGUGUAUAAAUAGCAACAAGGCGGGUUACACGGCCCACACUUCUGCUGCUUUAAUAGUUGCAGCGUGGGUCCUAGAGAGCACCCUGCUACUAUAUGUCCUGCCCCGGGGUAUCGUUGGACCCUCUUAGUAGUAGCGCAGGAUUGGCAAGCCUACGCUGCUACUACUUGUUAUUUGUAGCUUGGUAUUAAUCCCCGCGUUGCUACUAAGUAACAAUAGUGGGGGCUCCUACCCAGCAUUGUUGUUAAGUGUCUAUCUAUAGGGUUUUCCCUGGUAGUGACGCAUCCUUAUGUUGCUUCUAUUCCAUAUGUUGUGUUAUGUGUUGCUAAUGUUGCUUCUUGAAAUCUUGCUCUUCUGUCUUGGUAGAUGAAGUGGAUGUCAUGUACUUAGGGAGGACUCCGGGAAUCUAUGGUUCAUGGCAGACAUUGCCAUGAACAGGUGAACGGUUACAAGAAUAGUUUCUAUAGAGGAUUUGUGACUAGAGAGGAGGGAGAGGAUUAGUAGUACAAGUUCGUGCUCUAAGAGAAGAGCAAUCAUGAAAGGCAAGGGUGCAUGUCAGAUUGGGUUAAGUGAGCUGAAGAACUUCAUAAUUUUCGUCCAUUUUAUUGUUGUUUUGUUGUGUUGUAACAUGCAGUAAAAGCAUUGAUUUGAGUGGUAGCUGGUAAGCUCACCACAUCGGGGUGCAAGGUAAUCACAUCAGACACAAGGUGUGCAACCAAACAAAGCAUAUAGUCGAAAAUUAUAAAACGCGGGCAACCAAACAAGAUGUAAAACAUGGGCCAGAUAUGCAAGGGGCCAAAAAUCGAUUCAGACAAUGAAACUAGCUAUACUGAACAAUCGAGAAUCUUGAUCAUAUCCAGGAUUCAAUUAUCACCCACCCGGCUGUACUAGAUACACGACACGUACACGGAUAUGACACCACAAGUACCUCGAUGGUAACCAUGGAUUUAUCUGCUGGCUAAGCUAGCUGAGCACGUAUCACAAAACUAGCUAGAACCUCAACCUGACACACUAGCUGAAAUAACGUACACGUACUUACUGAAUAUAUUAUUAACGUUUUGUUUGACAAAAUCAAGAAGGCCAGGUAUGAAAAAGCAUAAGCAAUCGAACUGCAAAUGAUCGAGGCUGAACCAUCGAUCUUCUAGUCGUGGAGGUGGCGGUCGAGAUGGAGGAUGGUGGAGAGGUUCAUGGGGGAGAUGUAGUCCGUGGAGCCGGUGAGGUAGUUCUGGGCGAUGAGGCGGUUGGCGCGCUCCGUGGGGUGGAAGGCGUCCCAG